CUUAACUAUCUUGUUAUUAAACAUUUCUGCAUCAUUCAGUUGCUCUUGAUUUUCGUCUUUUAAGCGAUCUUAUUUCUGCGAUCUGACUUGAGGAGGGUUUUUAGACCUAUGGUUGUGGGUGUUUUGUCUGACCCCAUUAAAUUGGUUUCCGAGAUUUGUAGACUUGCGAUCGGCAGUCAAACAUUUUGUGAUUCUUGCUUUUUUUCCGACUGGGAUUGACGAAUUUUGGCCGAAUCUGUUUCCUGUUUUCUUCUCUGUUUGAGCGGCCGCUGCCUUUCGGUCGUUGAGCGCCGGCAGUCUUUAGAUCUUUGGCAAAUCAAUUUAAUACAACCGAGGUAUGUUUUAUAACUGCUGUCUUUCAAUUUUUGUUCUGUAUUUUUGUUAAUUUGGAUGAAGCUCUAAUAAUUUUGUUUUGGAUCAGUUGUGGUCCUCUGUUAGGAUUUUCCUGGCUAAGAGGGUAUUUGCGUUUUUGUUGCUUGGUUGGUCGAUCACAGAUUUACGAACAGCUGUGGUGGUCCUGUUAUUUUUUUGGUAUGUUUUUUCUCCUUUUUGGUUUUUUCCCGGUUUGAGCACCCAUUCAUGAAGAAUUAAAAUGUGUUUAUAGUUUUUCAGGAGAGAUUAGAAAAGUGAUUUCAAUUUGGGAAAAUUUAAUGUUGGUUAAAAUUUGUCUAUAAUUUUUGGGAAGGAAUGAGAGGACCCAUUGAAGUAUGUGUUGUGAUUAUUUUUUAUUCAUAUUUUUAACAAAUUGGGCAUGAAUUGGUAGGUUAACUGUGUGUGUUUAUUAUUUGAAUCGGCCAUGUUUGUCUUUCUAUGGUUCUAAAAAAUUUGUAAAGGCUGUUAACUUGGAAGAAAAUGGGAUCGAGGGUGAGGGGAAAACGGCAGAGAAAGCAUGGAAGAGAGAUUUGGGAUUAGGGGUAGGAAAACAGAUGAAAAGAAUAUGAUAGAGGAAUGAGUUCAGUUCAUUUUCACUAUUUUUUUUAACUGAUUUGGAUUUUGUUUGGGUUUGAGGCCAUCAUUGGCGUUAAGACGUUUAUUAUCAGAUCGUGUGUGUUUUUUGCUAACUUUUAUUGGUCAUUUUUAUGUUGUUCUUAUGAUUUUGUGUGGUAGGGUUUCUGAAUUUUAUCGUUAUUCAUUUGGUUUUUUGUGUGUGUUGGUUUGUUUAUUUUGCAGGUUGUGUUUGUGCUGGGACAACAUUUUCCACCUUCUGUUUGCACUGGGAUGAUUGCGUUUUAAAACUGUUGGGGUGAGAUUUACAUAUGGAAUCAUUCCAUUUUUUUUCUUCCAAAUAUGUGCAUUUAGUUCUUUUUAUUUUAAAUUUUAAAAAUUAAAUCGUUAUUUGAGUAAAAUGUUUUAUUAAUUUAUGUUAUGUGUUGUGAUCAGGAAUUCUGUUGGAUUUGCAAAUUUUGGUUUGAUGAGAGAGAUGAGGAGUUUUUUUUGUUUGAAUUUUUUAUUGGACCGAUUUUCAAUUGGAUUGCAUUCUGCCUUUUUGCACCAUUCUUAUGCAAGCAAUUCAUUGUUUUAAAUACAAUUUGAAGAGAGCUGGGUUGCGGGUUGGAUAUAAAAUGUUAAGGUGAGAUAAAAUCGAGAUACCAAGGGUGGAAGAAUGAUUCAGAAUUGGGGGAGGAAAACAGAGGGAAGAUGGAAGAGUAUAAGAGAAGGAUAGGGUUGACCUCAUUUAGAGUUUUUAUUUACUUUUUUUUUUAUUAUUUAUAAAUUGAUUCAGGACUAGCAUAUCAUUUCUAAAUUUCUAACAUUUUUGUUUAAUUUGACUCCAGUUGAUGGAAAACAGAGCUCUUACUCCUAUCAAUCAGUUGGUCCCGUACAUAAAUGCAGAAAAAUCAAGGUUCGAGUUUGCAGAGUAUGCAGACCAAGGUUUCCUGAAACUACUGGUGCUGUCACGCCCCAAUCCCGACCUAUGUCCAGGAUCGACACGUGACGUUAACAAAUACCCAUAUCUCUAACAUACCCCGCCUCCGGAAUAUGGGCAAAGCACAACUGCGUAAUAAUUUUUCGUAUACUUUAUGGCUGCAUCUAACAUCCUCGUUAGAUUAUCAUACCUUAUGGCUACAUCUAACAUCCUUGUUAGACUGCCUACGUACUCUCAAAAGGGAUCAAACCAUUCGUAGUUCACCACACUCCAAUCCACAAAAAUUUGCACAUGCACUGAUUAUAAAAUGGAACUGCACCUAUAGAAACCUAAUCAUAACCCGUGGGCGAUUUGCUCCCACAUAAGAAAGACGUCCACAGUACCAUGAAAUACUUCCACAUCUUUCCUUCCCAUUUACACAAUAUUUUAUUUCACCUCCCUGAUAAAUAUAGCAUUUACAUUACAUGUGGCAGACAAAUUUGCAUAUUCAACUAUAAUAAAAUACAAUCUUAGUAGGAAAAACCUACAAGACCACCACUCGUUUGAGCCAAACUUUAGCUUAGCACUCAACUGGUGCUCACACCAUGUGAGUGCACGAUCCUUUAAGAUGGAUGCGAUGGUUCUCUUUUGAGAUUAAUUUUGUUACAGGUAUAACAUAGUUGGCAACCGUUUAGAAAUAGAUGCCUCAUGUUCAAAACUCUCAUUACCAAAUGUUCUAACAAGUUAGUAGAGAAGGUAAAAGAACCCAAAUGGCGAGAAAUAGUGUCCUGAUGAAACAAAAGAUGUAACCCUCAUUCAAGCACGAACAUCAUUUCCUUGAGAAUCUGCGAUUUCUUCCCUCAUUUGGUCAAUAUAGCUUGUAUUCCAACUGCAACUUACUAAUAGCAUUUGUUCUCUCCUCGAAUGAAACCAUAACCAGCCAUUUUAAAUAAAGCUGAACAGUUUCACGUUGGGAAAAUAAAGAUUAUAACAUACAGGUUUUGGAUUAGAUUCCCAAACCAACAGAAAAUUAAGAUAGGAAUCUAUUUUGGGUUAACUGAGGUAUGAGUGGUAUACAAAUGAGAAAUUCCCUACAAAAGUCAAUAAAACCAGUUACAUAACAUGUUGAAUAUAAUACAACAUGAAAUAAGAAGCACCACUUGUUUAUCUGACUUUUUAUACAUGUAUUUUCCUAAGGGAUAAAAACGUGCGGGUUUUGGGAUCAAUCUGAAGAGGGCUUCACCACGAAUACAUAGCCUUUGACCGUGCAUGAUUUCGUUGCCGUAUGAGAAAGUUAUCAUUUUUUUUUUUUGUGAAGAAGAAUUAAGGGGGAGAAGAACAGCUGCCCCCUCUGUUUCUGCAUCUGCCCAGCGGGGAAAGAAAAAGAAGAGAAGCCCUUGGCUUCUAGAAUACUCCCUCCCCAAAAUUACAAUUUUGCUCUCUAACUUUGAUUGUUUAUAUCUUAUUCGUUAUAACUCUGUUUCACGAACAGCUUUUGCUUACAUGCUCACAUAGUCGUCAUCUAUUUAAAUAUAUCAAGAAAUACAAUAAAAUACAUCCUCGUAUAAGUAUGUUAACCAAUUAGGGCACUUUCGUCAUUUCCACUUAUCGAUAGAUUUUAACACGUUAAUUAUAAUAAUGUCCGGAAACAGCUUUAAAAUUUCCAAAUUCUAUUUCCAUAACCAUAAAUCGAUUUAUUAAUUUUUCAGGGUAUCACAGGUGCAUAUUCAGGCUUGCAUUGUAUAUUACUUUCCUAUUAAAAAUUUGUUUGGAAUUUGCUUUUCCCACAAAGGAGAAGAGCUGACAGUUACGCUGUGGGCAGAUGUUGCUCGAAGUAUUGCUUCUUUAUCCAUUGAAUCAUUGUCUCUGCCGAUCUUUGCGGUUUUCACAAGUUUAAAGGUCAAGCUGUACCUAGGUGUUUGACUUAAUUAAAAACUAAUCUAUUUAUUUCGGAGGCGGAGCAAAAUGCUAUCUGUCUUACCCCUCUUGGUGAUCUUAGUCGGAAAGAUCGGCUAGUUUGGGAUGUGAGUAAGAAUGGGCAGUACUCGGUUCGAUCGGGCUAUCAUUGGCUGCAAUCUAGGUCUGUUGGGUUCAGGGAUCAACGCCAGCUUGGUGCUUGCUUAGUUCCGAGGCAUUUGUGGCGCAUGGUUUGGUAGUUGAGUGGGCCUCAUAAGCUCCGUCAUUUCUUUUGGUUAUCUUUGCAUAAUGCAUUACCGUCAUUUCUUUUGGUCCGUGACCAGGCAUGAGGAGAGCAUGGAAAUGAGAGGGCAGACAAUCCACCUCCGCGACUUUCUCCCUUUUCGCCAGCCCCUCUUUUGCUCUCAAAUCCUUGCUCUUUCUUUUGCAAAAUAGUCUCAGAAGAGAUCCUGGGUUUAUCGAAUCCUUUGUUGUUCGGCGUUUUGUUCUCAUCUUGCGAUCGUCGGGGUAGCAGCUUUAAGGUAAGUUUGUUUUUAAUGAUUUAUCCUCAUUUUACUAAACUAUUUAUGGUAACUUAGUAUGGUAACUUAACUAAGUAAGUUUGCUUUUAGCCCAAGGGUUGGAGAUGGUCUUAGUAUGGUAACUUAACUAUUUAAUUCCAUCUCAUUAAACUAAAAAAAACAAUUACAUAAAAAUAAGGGAAACCUUGUCCAGAGAGACCUGAGAAAGUCCACCCCUAAGGACUUUGCGCCAGCACCCAGCGUAUUUAUCUACUCAAGUGAACAGUAAUAGACUGGAGUGAACAGUAAUAGGCCAAGGCAUCUCCACCCCUAAAAAAAUGCGCUGGCACCCAGUGCAUUUAUUUGGUGUGUUUUUUUUUUAAAGUUUAUUUCAGAUAAGAUUUUUAACCAAUUUCGGAUAAAAUUUCAAAUAAACUUAAAAAAAAACACUCUAAAAUAAAAUUACAUACUCAUCAAAUAAACUUAAAAAAACACACUAAAAUAAAAUUACAUAAACUCAUCAAAUAAAUUAAGGAUGAGCUUUUUGGUAUUUUUUUUUCACACAAAAAGUAUAUGAAAGCUUUGGUAGAAGGUCUAGAAAAUAUUGAAAUGUGGUGUAAGGUGGAAGAUGAGGGUUAGGUAUUUAUAGAAAAAAAAUAAUAACUUUUUUAAAAUUUUACUGUAUUUUAAAAAAAAAUCUGUAUUUUUUUAUAUUUUUAAUUAAUUUUAAUGUAGUUAAUUAAUUUGGACCGUUGGAUUUGAAAAAUAUUCAAAUCCAAUAGCCCAGGAUCGGCCACGUGGCCAACGCCAGCAAAUGGCCCAGCUUCUUGGUCAGCCUGUUUUGUGCUGGCCCAGAGACCAGUUUGGGCUGGGUGCCAGUCUGUUUUGUGGGCUGGAGUGAAUGGACAGGGUCCCAGCCUGUUUUUUGUGCUGAGUGCUGGCCUAAUCCACCACCGGUGGACUUGCUCUGAGAGAAAGUGACGACUUCUCCUCUCAUUCCACUCCAUACUUGAUCUCUAAAGUCCAUUUGGCAUGUAAUUGAUGUUCAAUUUCAAAUUUAGUGGUAGCAAUUAGCAAAGCUAAUGAAAGAAUCAAAUAAAAUGAAAGAAAAAGCAUCAUGAAAUAAAUCAAGAUGAAGAAUGAAAUUUUGGCAACUCGCCAUUCUCUUCUUUUAUAUAAAAGAUACAUCCUAUUUGUAGUGAAAACAGGUCCCGACAAACCCAGUUAUCCUCAAGAAGUAUUUUGUAUGACUUUAAAAACAUAAUCCGUGAAAUUAUCUCUUGGCUGAGAACAACAACAAAUCUUCAUGCAUAGCUUGUACAGAAAGACAUCAGGCAUACAAAAGAACACGCAAGCAUAAAAUAAACGACGCAGGGAAAACCAAAAAUACUAUAGAACACGUCGCUGUCAAAAGAACAUGAAUAAAUGAAAAUUACAAAACAAAGAAGUGAUGAGAAACCAAAGUACCCAUUUCAUAAUCUAGUUGCUUUUUAGUUUGCUUGCCAUUUUUAGUUCUUCAAUUUAGAGAGAAACGAUAAUUCAGCACAUGAAUAAAGUGAAAACGUAAAAGAUAUGUGGGAUAAGCUGACAGCCAUCCCUGAGUAAUGCAUUCACUUAUGAACCCCAAACACAACGAAACAAAAAUUCACACAUGAACUACAGCUCCGCUAUGUAACAAGAAUUAAAAGCAUCUCAAGACAAAAUGGCAAACUAUAAGAGCACUGUAAAAGUAAAAUUGCAAGAAAUCUAAUACUUGGAGGGCAAGUACUACUCAGACGAAAAUGAAAGAUUGAACUACCUCGCGUGGAACUGUGCCUUGGUUUUUUCCCAUGCUUACAGGAAGCUUUGCACUGAGCUCUUAUAGCCCAAAUUUUCUCUGAAAGAAAAAAACACAAUUUUGAAAUAAGAUUUUCAUAUUAUACCUUAAAGAGAAGAAUUAGAAAACAAAAAAGAGAACAAUGAGUACUAUUCAUCAUAUAUUGUUAGAGUGUGUGGUCCUUUGGUCCAAUGGUCCUGCAGCCAUAUUUACUUUAUAACUCUUUCUUUUAGUCUAAAAAACAUCUUGGAUCUCAAAUUAAUAUGAAUACGGAUUCAUACGCAUGCAUUGCAUUACAACCACAAUGCAAUAUCUCAUUAGAAAUCCCCACACAAAAUUUUUUUAUUUCUACUUUGAUUUUAGUUUAUAUUUUUUCUAAAGCACGAGGGAGCUAAUUUUUUUUUAAAUUUUUUUUAUUCCAAUAAUGUUAUAGGGUUGAAAGGAUAUUAUCAAUUUAAUUGAUUGUAUUUGAUUGGUGGAACUUCUAUAUCUAUAUUUCAGUUUUUCAAAUUCAGCACUGGGAGAGUCAUUCAUAAAAUGUUUGACAGUGAGAUUACCUCCAUGGAUUAUGCUCACAAUGGACAGCUCAUUUUCCGCAGUGAUGGGACAAUAUAUUUCAGUCAUUCGCCAUUCAAUCAAUUCAAACCGAGGAACAAGCAACAUCAAGAAGAGGAUCUGCCAUGUCAGGAUCACUGUCGUCCAAUUAAUACAAAAAAUCUAGAUAAAAACGAUCAAUUUACAUAAAAGCCUUUCAUUUUCUCAGCAACCAAGCAAAAGAAAAUACCUAUCCGUUAACACUCGAUUUGGGAGUAAAUGUUGCUGAAACUGGACUUCAAUCCCCUCAACCGCAACAACCGAAUCGAGGUGUGCAAGUCAUUGAAAAACUCACCCAAGAUUUCAAAAUCUGCAUAAAUAAAUAAAUAAGCACAUAAAUUAGCCAACCCUGUUAUGAUCCCACAUCGGGUACACAAGAAAUUGUGUAGUGGUACUUAAGUGCAAGGGGUCCUCCCACCUAUUGGACUAGUUUUUUGGAUUGGGCUCUUCCCUUGGGCUUGAGUACCUAACAUUGGUAUCAGAGCCUAGGUUCCCGACGCUGCGGGACUUGGCGAGUGGUGCAGCCUCGUGGUGCCGCCUUGAGAGUAUGGGCUCCUAAGGGUCUUGGCGACGGGCAAGGUAUGAAAUGCCGAUAUUAUCGCGAUAUUUCGCCGAUAAUAUCGGUUUUUUGAGUUACCGAUAUUUUAAUACUUAUCCACUGAGUUUUCGUCAAAAUAUCGCGAUAAUAUCAACAAUAUCGCGAUAUUACCGAUAAUAUCGCGAUAUUUUGGAGAUGUGCGAAUCGGAGAAGAACGCCGGAGCUUUUACAGCUCCGGCCGACUGUAAAAGAGCACCCUAGACUCCGAUCUAGGUAUCAAAAUGAAAUACAAGAUGAGAGGAAUGUUUUUAUAACUUCCGUUUGCCGUGAAACGGUCGAAGGUGUUCGGAAAGUUCGUCGACACCCACGGCCUCGCCAGAGAUGGGUGUGCCUAUUCCCGAGCCGAUUUCGUCCCAAAAACCUUGCAAAAACACGAGAUAGAACUUAAAUUUCACGUCUAAGCUUCAAUCUAGAAUAGAAUGAGGUAAACCCGAAGCUUACCUAACCGGAGAAAUUCAAGAAACUCGUCGGAGGGUUCCUGCGUCGCCGAGUUGCAGAGACGAGAAGGAGAGGGAGAAAGACGAGGUUGCUGAUGACGAUGGGUGUCUUCCUCAAGCAAGUGCGAUGGUGUGCGUGUGUGUAUGUGGGUCUCGGUGCAGAGAGAAAGGAGAGAGAUGAGAGUUUCGAGAGAGAGACGGCACCGACGAGAGCUAUUUGUUUUUUUUUAUCUUAAAAAGAGAGAGGUCUAAGAGAAAUGGGAAGAGAGGGCCGAGUGAAAUGAAAGGAGGUCCUUGAAUUAUUGAGAGAUAUCUCUGAGAGAGGCCUAGGAUUUCUAAAAGGUAAUCAUAAAUGGGAAAAAUGGGGCACAUCUUAGCCUUUAUUUUGGAAUCCUAAGAAGUUCACCACAUGGAUGCAUGACAUGUGUGCAUGCCAUGUUUGUUGAAUGGGAAAAGUCUGACACGGAAAGACAAAGAGUCGUUUGGGGCUCUGGGCUCGAGGCAAGACAGAAAGUGCUAGGGUUUUUUUCUGAAAUGAACAUAAGCUGCUAAAUUCGCAUAUAUUAUAGUUGUUGCUAAAGAUUGUCACUAGUGUGGACUUGGACGUGUUGGUCAACAUGUCCUCACAAUCCCCAAGUUCUCUGGUUCGAACCCUUGCGCCCAUCAAAUUUUCUUUCUUUUUGAUGCGCUUUUCCCAUGGCUCUAGGUCUUGAUUUCGAAUCCAAGUGAGCCCUUUCCUUUUUCUUUUUUGUUCUUUUUGUUUUAUUAUUUGUUUAUUUUAAUUUAUUUGUUUCUUUUAUGUUUUUCUUUUCUUUUAGUUUCUUUGUCUUAGGCGUUCGUUUUUAUUAAAGUAGGAUGUAAAAUCAAUUAUCUUAAAAUUAUGUGUUUUUAAAUUUUGGACUUGUUUGUUGGAUACUUUUUUUUCAUUUUAUCAUUCUUUUAUUAUGAAAAUAUGCUAAAAUAUGCUAAAAUAUCACUUAUGUUUUUGUGAAAAUAUGCUAAAAUAUUUAUAUAUAUGAUUUUGUUUUGAAUUCUUUUUGUACUAAUUCAUUAUAUAUAAAUGAUUAUGGUGUGUUUAAACUUCUUUAAUUAAUUACUACAUAUUUUCUAUACUCACAAUGUUUGCCAGCUCGCUAUAUAAUCAACUUAAAUCAGUUAAAUCCAUCAUGCAAUGCAUUUCCUUCCAAUUUUUUGUGAUAAACUUGUGAACACGGAAAAUUCCUGAAACGAAAGAGACAAGAACGAACGUGCACAAACAAAUAUUAUGUAUUUGAUGAUUUUGGGUUACAAUCUCUCUCUAUUUGAUCCUCUGAUUCAAUCUCCGUAAGGUGUGUAUUUGUGGAUGUGUGAUUGAUCCAAAGGGCCGUUGGGCUUGAUCUAAUGAUGAACGUUCUUCAAGGGCCGUGGACUUGAUCUUGAAGGUGGAUUUGAGCGGAUCUUCAAAGGGGCUUUUGGGCUUGAUCUUGAAGAACGGUUGGAUGUGUGGAUUUGUCGAAGUUGUUGAUCCAAAGGGCCGUUGGGGCUUGAUCUUGGAUGAACGGAUGAUGAACGAUGGUGCUUUCUUCAAGGGUCGUCGGGGCUUGAUCUUGAAUUGGUGGAUGGUUGAUCCAAGGGCCGUCGGGGCUUGAUCUUGGAAGAACGAUGAACGAAGAACGAAGAACACUUUCUUCAAGGGCCGUCGGGGCUUGAUCUUGAAUUGGUGGAUGAUUGUUGAUCCAAAGGGCCGUUGGGGCUUGAUCUUGGAAGAACGAUGAACGAAGAACAAAGAACGCUUUCUUCAAGGGCCGUCGGGGCUUGAUCUUGAAGGUGGAUGAUUGUUGAUCCAAAGGCUGUCGAGGCUUGAUCUUGGAAGAACGAUGAACGAAGAACACUUUCUUGAUUCUUCGGGAACCUGGACGCUUGAGAGCUUCGGAGUUUCAGAGCUUCAGAGCUUCAAGGUGUAAUAUGAAUUGGUCCCCCCUAAAUGAAUGAAAUGGGCUUGUAUUUAUAGAAUUUUCCAAGGCCUAAUUUUGAAUAUAAUAUCUCAGAUGAAAUAAGUCGUUUCUGCCAGGUGUUAACACGUGUCCUAUUUGAUGACUUUUCCAACUCAUUUCAAUUUUCGUUUAGUCACACGCUACGUGUAAAAUUUAUGUAAUACAUGAGCGUUGACACUUUGAUUUAUCGGUCAACAUUUAUUUACCGAAAUUUCGAUGUCUACAAAUGCCCCCACUUCAAGGCACGUCGUAUACCUGUGCUUGUCACGUGUAGGAGAUGCGUUUUGAAGUCCCUUACCGUAGAUGCCGAUUCAAGGGCCGUUGAAGCUUGAUCUUGAAUUGGGCUUGAGAUUUCUUCAAGGGCCGUUGAGGCUUGAUCUUGAAUUUUUGUUUGAAAUUUCUUCAGGGGCCGUCGAGGCUUGAUCUUGAAGGUUGAAAUUGGGCCACAAGGAGCUUCAUGUGGUAGAUGAUCUUUGGCUUUGGUAGUGGAUGAAUCGGCACGUAUUUUAUUGCGCUUGUUGACUUUCCACAGCUUUGAUCUUGAACUGGGUUGGAGGAUUUUCUGGAUUCCUCCAAUUGUUGAUUUUCCACAGCUUAUUCUUGAACUAGGUUUUGAUUCAAGGGUGGUAGACACUUGAUCUUGAAUCGGACUUGUGAUUUCCUCGAUGGCCGUCGAGGCUUGAUCUUGAAUUUGGUUGGAAACUUCUUCAAGGGCCGUCGAGGCUUGAUUCUUGAAGGUUGACUCGAACAUAUGGCAAGCAGGCACGAGGUGAAGGUGACGACUUGUUGCUUUGUUCAAUCUUUCUAAUUCACACCUGAGCAGUUUGGUCAACGGUAUGAUCCUCAAGAUUGAUGGGCUCUUCUUCCAGUUGGUGACUUGAUCUUUAAGGAUUUGAUUCAAGGGUGGUGAAUCGGCACGUGCAGCCCACAACGCCUAGUAAGCCGACCCAAGAAUUUGAGGGUCAAAACGGAUUCACCGUCAGAGUGAUUGCAACUUUGAUGAUAUGAGAUACUCUUGCUUUUGAAGAAGUAGUGGAUGAAUCAGCACGUGCUUUGUUGCGCUUGUCUCCACAUGCUUCAAGGUAUCAUCUUUAUUUCCUUUAUCUAUUCCUCAGGCAGAUGUGGCAUCUUCUCGAGUUCUUCAUCUCAGACUCUUUCUGCUGAGUUGACUGUUCAUGCUGCAUUCUUCUCUGCUUGUUCAUUCUGCACGUUGUCUCCACAUGCUGCAAGGUAUCAUUUUCACUUGCCUUAUCUGUUCUCCGGGCAAAUGUGGCAGCUUCUUUGAAAGUACAGUAGCAGCGGGAGGCGAGUACUCGAGAGCAGUGCUAGGUAGGCAAUCAGGGAAGGGUUCCAAGCAGUCGGUUCCUUACCCGAGUUUGAGUGGAAGUUCCGGCAUAUUGUUUUUUUUAUCCUUGUCUUUGUAGGUAAGAACAAGGACAAAGGAAAGGACAGGGAGAACGCAUGAUAUGAGAUACUCUUGCUUUCUACCCUGGUGAUAUGAGAUACUUUUGCUUUGGAGUCAUUGGCUUGCAGAGGUACCCCAAGGAAUAAGGAACACUGAAUGACUCGAGAGGCUUCGUUGGGAAAACAUCUUUGGAGAUGAAGAAAGACUUUGUGUGUCUGCCUUGCUAUGGAAGGCGAAGGUAGACAAUUAUAGGAAGUUCUUUGAUACCUGUAGAUGUACUAUUCUUUCACUCGUGUCGGCAACCAAUGCGUGAUUGAUCUAUAUGGCUUCACGUGCUUCCUUCUUUAUCAGAAAUCUUCGACAAACUGUCCGUAAUUUCCGCCAAGCUGAGUGUGCAUGUGAUAGGUGUUGACGCGGCUGAAAAAGACUGGCGCUUAUUCGAUAACUGGGAUCUGCGCUUCGACAAAUUACCCGUGAUUUCCGCAAAGCUGAGUUUGCGUGUGAUGGGUGCUGACGUGUCUGGAAAAGACUGGCGUCUCUUCGAUGUCUGGGAUCGGCACUUCGACAAAUUGCCCGUGAUUUUCGCAAAGCUGAGCUUGCGUGUGACGGGUGCUGACGCGUCUGGAAAAGCAAGAUGCUUCUUCGAUUUCUGAGCUUGCCUCUUCGAUUUUUGAAUGGCCUCUUCGAAUUCUGAGCUCGCCUCUUCGAUCUCUGAAAUCCCGUCGAGUGUUGAUUUUUUAUAGAGGCAUGCUGUUCGUUUCAAAGCACACUUGAAUUUUACUUGUGAAAACUCCCUUCUUGCACUUCUAAGAUCUUGAUUCGUCUGACCUCUUCUUCCUUCAACACUUUGAAAAUGUCUGGACCCUCCGACCGUCGUUUUGAUUUGAACUUUGGUGAAGAUGUAGUCCCGUCUUCUCCAGAUAACAUAUGGCGCCCAUCCUUCAUAUCCCCUACUGGUCCUCUUACUGUUGGGGAUUCGGUGGUGAAGAAUGAUAUGACCGCUGCGGUGGUGGCCCGAAACCUUGUCACUCCCAGAGAUAACAGACUACUUUCCAAACGGUCUGAUGAGUUGGCUGUUAAGGAUUCUCUGGCUCUCAGUGUGCAGUGUGCGGGUUCUGUGUCCAACAUGGCCCAACGCCUAUUUGCUCGAACCCGUCAAGUUGAAUCGUUGGCGGCUGAAGUGAUGAGUCUUAAACAGGAGAUUAGAGGGCUCAAGCAUGAGAAUAAACAGUUGCACAAGCUUGCACACAACUAUGCCACAAACAUGAAGAUGAAGAUUGACCAGAUGCAGGAAUCUGAUGGUCAGAUUUUACUUGAUCAUCAGCGGUUUGUGGGUUCGUUCCAACAGCAUUUGCCUUUGUCUUCUGGGGCUGUACCGCGUAGUGAAGCUCCUCAUGAUCAACCUCCAGCCCCUCUUCUUUCUGGAGUUCCACCGAGUGGUGUGACUUCAAACAGUCAACCUCCGACGUCUCUUUUCCCUAGAGCUCCACCGAGCACUGAGACACCACCUGAGCAAUAAAGACUCCCUCCCGUUUGUUUGCACAUUUGUAAAUUUUUUUUUUUUUUUUUUUUUUUUUUUUUUUUGGUAUGUAGAAUGCAAUUUUAUGUAAAAUUUCCAGAAAAAAUAAAUAAAAUGGAUUUUUAUUUCUCUUAAUGCUUUUUUUUUUUUUUUUUUUUUUGCUGUAUAUAUUAUACACACACAUUUAUACAUACAUAUAUACAUACAUAUAUAUAUAUUUUCACGUGGAGUGAUCCACCAUCCCAAAACCCAUUUUCCCUUUGUUUUUUUUUGCAUGGUGCUAGCCACCAAGAAUUCACCUUUUUUUUUUUUUUAAUUAAUUAAUUAAUUUAUUUAUUUAUUAAUUUAUUAUUAUUAUUUCUUUUUCGUCUGCUUUCACAUGGUGCUUGAUCCACCACUCUCUUUUCUUUUUUCACGUGGUGCCAGAUGCACGCCCCUUUUUUUUUCACGUGGUGACAGCACCACUCUGCUUUGCUCUACCACAUUUUUUUUUUUUUUGUAUAAAUUAGGAUGCUUGGCUGAGGGAUUUUGUAGGGAAGGACGAAGACGGACGGAGAGCCGGAGUUUGAGGAAGAGCUUCUCGGCCGGCUAGUCGUUUGACAGCGGUCUUUGAAGUUGGUGGCAGCUGCGAGGCAAGAGACGGAGGAGGACAGGGCAGCUGUGACGGACAGAGACGCCAUGGCAGGACCUCGAGGAGUUUUAAGAUACUGGUGCAGGUACUGGCGAGGUGAUUUUGACGAGAAAAGCAUGAAGAGGGCGUCGAGCACCAUGGGCCUGCAAUCCUUAAGGUUGAUCUCGUAGUCCUUGAGCUCUUGUUCAGGCAUGACGGGAUCCGCUGCGGUCUUUUUUAUCGGCAAUAAAGUUCUUUGCCUCAUAAAACAGCCCAGAACGCGAUAGAAGAGUUACGAACAAAGCACAAUGUGCAACUGUAGGUGUCUUGAUGCAGUUGAAGUAAAACUUCCCUUCCUCGACCAUGCGUGCUGCAACGCAAGCAUGAAGGACAGCAGCAUAGGUGAUUUCAUCGAUCUGUGUACUCGUUUCCUUCUCCAUUUGGCAGAAUAAAUCUACUCCGAUCUUUCCUUGUCCGUGUAAGCUGUACCCAGUUAUCAUCACUGUCCACGAAACAAGAUCUCUUGUACUUCGACCCUGGCAAAAACUUUUGCAGCUGAUUUGAUAAAUCCCGACUUGACAUACAUGUCCAUAAGAGCAUUCAGAACGGUGAGAUUCAUUCGAAUACCAUGUCGCAGCAAGAAUCCAUGAGUCUCUUUUGCCAUGUUUACCUGCAGACAUUCUUGCGCAUGCUGGGAGAACACUAGAGACCGAGAGCGGAUCAGGUUUCACCCCGUCUCCAACCAUCUGCCUAAACAGCUUAAGACCCUCAUUGAAGCAUCCCCUCUUCACAUUGGCAUGAAUCAUUUCUGUCCAAGAAAUGACAUCUUUCUCCGGUAUUUGGUUGAAAACUGCCCAAGCUUCGUCGACACAGCCACAGUCCAUGUAUAUUUUCAAGAUGGUAUUGCUCACCAACACAUCAUACUCCAAUCCACGUUCCUUGGCAACCCUGUGGACUUUUGUUCCAUCAAUCAACGAUCUCAACAUGCCACAGGCACCAGCCGCCGUCGCCACAGCCACAGAAUCUAUCUGUGCUCCGGACUCCACCAUUCUCUCAAACACAUGAACCGCCUUGCCGGGUUUACCUUCCGCAAUGUACAGCCUGGCCAGCAUUGUCCAUGAAACAGAGUCCGUAACCAGGGACUUGUCAAACAGCCCUUUCGCGGAGUCCGCGCUGUCGAGGCGACCGUACAACUCAAUGAGAGCAGCAACCACGUACCGGUCACCAGAGCAGCCGAGCUUGUGAGCGUGGGCAUGGAGUUGCUUGCCGAGGGAGAGAUCAACCGAAAGGCGAGAGGCAGACAAGACGCGAGGAAGAGUGUGUCUGUCGGGCGACGAACGCGCGGAUGAGCAUUUGGUGGUAAGUGGCGAGGGCGUGGUGGAAGUCGGCAUUGGCGAUAUGGGUCUGGAUAAGUCUGUUCCAUGCAAAGGUAUCUGAGUGGGGCAUUUUGUCGAACACCUUGUGGGUGACGGCCACCUUCGUGGUGGGUUUAGCAUUUCGGGAGUGCUUGUAGUGGGCUGUGUUGAUUGGGUUCUCGGUGACGAUCAAGCGCUGGAUUUGGGCGGAUGGAAGGGCUUCCAUUUCAGUUCAGUCGCACCCAAUUCAGCAUUGCCCGUACGGAUUCGAGCGCAGUUAUCGAGGAGGAGUUUCCUUAAGAAUAGAACCAAUCACCGACUCCUCAAACCCAUCCGGAUAUGCGAUUUUCAUGAGGUGCAAACAAGAACCCUCUGCCAUAAGUGGCAUGAUCACCCAAAGGUUUCUUUCAACGACAAAUGAACAAAACGCCCUCACGACAUUGGGAUGAUCUAUUAAUCUCAUCGUCUGCGCCUCCCUCCGGAUAUCCUCGAAAUUGCUAUUGCACCGAUCGAGAUCCAAGCACUUGACGGCGACGACUUCAUUGAAAGGGAGAUAGAUCGCUCUGUAAACCGUUGCGCUGGCGCCAUAUCCGACCUCUUCCAGAAGCUUGUAGUCGUUCGGAUUCGCCGAGUGAAGCCUCGAAUUGCUACCCAUCCUCCCCAUCUGUUCGAGGACUUGUGCUUCAGAUAUGUCGUUUUGAGGCUACGGGCUCUGCGUUUGGGCUGUGUGCCAGUUUGGGCUUAGUGUUGCUUUGGAGAGAUCUAGGUUUGGUUGAAGAGGUACGGUGAAGCCAUGGGCAAGGGAGAUGACGAAUUGGGCUUGGAGGCUGACACUUGGGCCUGGAUGGCCUCCUUUUGAGAGGCUUGCUGCUGAUGGAUAUACAUAUAUAUAUUUGUAUGUAUAUGUAUGUAAAAGAAAUCUUUUUUUUUUUUUUUAAUUUUUUAAUUUUUUUUUUUAUGUGACUGAACUCGAAAAAAUUGAACAUUCGAGCUGCCUACGUACCCCUCCAAAGAAGAGAUCAAGUCGCAACGUAGUUCAAAUACAUUUUUGGUAUUUUCUUUUUGUGUCGUUUGCAGUUUUAACUCAUGCAGGCAAGGAGUGUUGGUGUCGUUUGCAGUUCCAACUCUUGCAUACAAGGAGCGUUGGUGUUGCCUUUUAUGCUCGUGUAGGCCAGGAGCGUUGGUUCGUGCAGUUUAGGCUCGUGCAGGCGAGGAGCCUUUGGUGUCGUUCGCAGUUUCAACUCGUGCAAACAAGGAGCAUUUGGUGUCGUUCGCAGUUUCAACUCGUGCAGACAAGGAGCAUUUGAUGCCGUGUUGCAGUUUAGGCUCAUGCAGGCGAGGAGCGUUGGUGUCUUGUAGUUUAGGCUCUUACAGACAAGGAGCUUUGGUUCGUGCAGUUUAGGCUCGUGCGAACAAGGAGCAUUGUUGGUUCGUCAAGCGAUCCGAGAGAGUUGUUCCUCACAAUCUUCAUAGCAAGGAGCCUUGACCGCGUGAUUGAAGAAGUCUUCGGGUAAAAAGUCGCGCAUCGUGAUGGCAACAGACAAUCUUUGUGUCGUAGUUUCAUCAUCUUCAACACGUUCACGUUGCUUUGAAGGUUGACAAUAGCUGCUUUGCCCCCUUUUCAAUUGGCGGACUUGUGGAGGAGACGUAUGCUUCUUGUGCAAUUUCUUAGGAGUGACUUGAGUCCAUCCUUCAAUUUUGCUUGUCUUGGACGAUGCCCCCAGCGGUUGAGGUGAAAACUUUGAGUCGGAAGAGCCAGAAGUGAAGGUGGUAUAGUUUGACUUUGCCACUUCGUCAAGAUCUAGCUCGAUGAUUCCUUUCUGAGCCAGCUUCAUGAUGAGAUCUUUCAGCACGAAACAUUUUUCUGUCGGAUGACUGAUGAAGCGGUGGAAUUUACAGUACUUUGGACUGUCGGUGCGAUUCAUCUCUUCUGGCCGUUUGCACUCAGGCAAACCAAUCACCUUCUUUUCCAACAGGUCAUCCAGUAUGGCAACCACAUCAGAGUCGGGGAAUGGAUAAGUCUUCUCCUCAAGCUCCUUUAAAGUGCGUCUACGCAUUUCUUGAUCACGAAAAGCUUCGGUUUGAAUCGCCUUGCCUCGUGUGGAUAUUUUGACGGGAGAUGUGUUGACCGUCAUCGCUUCCUUGGUGGGUUUCCAUGCAGCCUUUUCCACCUUUGUCCCAAGAACUUUGUCGUUCUUGUAGUCGGCGAUUGGUUCUUUCUUCCCAUGAUGGGCGAUGCUCAACUCCAUGUCAUGGGCGCGAGUGGCCAAUUCCUCGAAGGUCCGCGGUUUAAUGCCUUGAAGGAUGUAUUGCAAACCCCAUUGCAUGCCUUGGAUGCACAUCUCGAUUGAAGAGGUUUCCGAGAGCCUGUCUUUACAGUCGAGGCUUAGAGUGCGCCAUCUGUUGAUGUAGUCAAUGACUGGCUCGUCCUUCCACUGCUUUGUGCUUGUUAGCUCUAGCAUGCUCACAGUGCGGCGAGUGCUGUAGAAGCGGUUGAGGAAUUCCCGCUCCAAUUGCUCCCAGUUGUUGAUGGACUCAGGCUCUAGGUCAGUGUACCACUCAAAGGCGUUUCCUUUUAGUGAGCGCACAAACUGCUUGGCGAGGUAGUCCCCUUCGGUCCCUGCGUUGUUGCAAGUUUCAACAAAGUGGGCAAUGUGUUGUUUCGGGUUUCCCUUUCCAUCAAAUUGCAUGAACUUUGGCGGUUGAUAACCCUUCGGCAUCCUUAAGGCGUCGAUUUUCUUUGAAUACGGCUUCGAGUACAACCCGGAGGUAUUUGAGCUCCCUUCGUACUGUGCCUUGAUGGUGUUGGUGAUCAUCUAUUGCAGCUGCUGGAUAGAAAGAGAUCCCAUGAGUGCCGCUGCUUGGUCUGGCUCCGGCUUUGCAUCGUUUUUCUCCACCUGAGGCUCAUCUUCUUCGUCAUCUCUUCUCUUUAGUGGAUCAUUCUCUGGGUCGGGUUUAUCGCCGUCCUGCGCCUUUAGUCGAUUGACGAGUGCUGCAAUUUGCAAGUCUUUUUUCUUCCACCGUUCGGGUCAGCCUUGCGAUUGCUUCAUUCAUCUGAGCCAGUUGUUCUUCAACGGAGGUAACGCCGAUAGUCAUGACUUGUGCGACCAAUAUACGUGACUUUCCUUUAGACAUCCAGGAUGCUGAUGAAGAACGUCGUUGGCUGCUUUGGGAUGUCAUCUUAUGUGCCUCAGCAUCAUGCUUCGGUGCCCCCAGCGAGGUCAGGUUGAUGACAGACUCGCACCUUGGAUGCUCCCCUUGCUCUUUUAGCGGCACCAAUUUUGAAGUAGCAUGUUGGGGAGCGGUUGUGGCGCCAAUGGAUUGUCUGUUUGCGGCAGAAGUGCUUAGGAUCCUUCCCUCAGUGGUUGCGAGAAUGGCUUGUCCUUUGCUUGAUGCCAUUGACUUUGAGGUGUGCUUGGAUUCCUUGAACGAAGAAAGAGAUGAGAGGUAGAGAUUGUCCCACCGGGCGUGCCAAUUUGUGAACACGGAAAAUUCCUGAAACGAAAGAGACAAGAACGAACGUGCACAAACAAAUAUUAUGUAUUUGAUGAUUUUGGGUUACAAUCUCUCUCUAUUUGAUCCUCUGAUUCAAUCUCCGUAAGGUGUGUAUUUGUGGAUGUGUGAUUGAUCCAAAGGGCCGUUGGGCUUGAUCUAAGGAUGAACGUUCUUCAAGGGCCGUGGACUUGAUCUUGAAGGUGGAUUUGAGCGGAUCUUUAAAGGGGCUUUUGGGCUUGAUCUUGAAGAACGGUUGGAUGUGUGGAUUUGUCGAAGUUGUUGAUCCAAAGGGCCGUUGGGGCUUGAUCUUGGAUGAACGGAUGAUGAACGAUGGUGCUUUCUUCAAGGGCCGUCGGGGCUUGAUCUUGAAUUGGUGGAUGGUUGAUCCAAGGGCCGUCGGGGCUUGAUCUUGGAAGAACGAUGAACGAAGAACGAAGAACACUUUCUUCAAGGGCCGUCGGGGCUUGAUCUUGAAUUGGUGGAUGAUUGUUGAUCCAAAGGGCCGUUGGGGCUUGAUCUUGGAAGAACGAUGAACGAAGAACAAAGAACGCUUUCUUCAAGGGCCGUCGGGGCUUGAUCUUGAAGGUGGAUGAUUGUUGAUCCAAGGGCUGUCGAGGCUUGAUCUUGGAAGAACGAUGAACGAAGAACACUUUCUUGAUUCUUCGGGAACCUGGACGCUUGAGAGCUUCGGAGUUUCAGAGCUUCAGAGCUUCAAGGUGUAAUAUGAAUUGGUCCCCCCUAAAUGAAUGAAAUGGGCUUGUAUUUAUAGAAUUUUCCAAGGCCUAAUUUUGAAUAUAAUAUCCCAGAUGAAAUAAGUCGUUUCUGCCAGGUGUUGACACGUGUCCUAUUUGAUGACUUUUCCAACUCAUUUCAAUUUUCGUUUAGUCACACGCUACGUGUAAAAUUUAUGUAAUACAUGAGCGUUGACACUUUGAUUUAUCGGUCAACAUUUAUUUACCGAAAUUUCGAUGUCUACAAAACUAAUAGAUAAUUGACUAAAUAAACAUCCUGCAAAGUUUCAAUAAAAAUUUCCAAGUUUUUCUUACAAUUUCUGUGGUUUCCAUAUUAUUUUUAUCGAUAUCGAUAAUAUCCCGAUAUUUCAAUCGAUAUUUCCGUGUUUUUGGACUACCGAUAUUUCCGAUAUCAUCGAUAUUUUAUACCUUGGCGACGGGGGACUUGCCGACUGGUGCCACCGUGGACGUUGGGUCUUUCGAAAUGUGGUGUAAUGUUAUGAUCCCACAUCGGCUACACAAGAAAUUGUGUAGUGGUACUUAAGUGCAAGGGGUCCUCCCACCUAUUGGACUAGUCUUUUGAGUUGGGCUCUUCCCUUAGGCUUGAGUACCUAACAAACCCAUAAAUCAAAGAAAUCAAAAUCCACCCAGAAUCAAAGAAAUCAAAAUCCAUCCAGAACCAAAGAAAUCAAAAUCACACACAGAUAUACAAGGUGUACAGUACUGACAUGCCUUAAAUGAUAUUAUUCACAAGAUUUAUAAAGCUCAUGUCGUAAUACUUGUGCAGAAUCUAUCAUUCACGGCGUCACUUUUGUGCAAGUUGUAAAUAAAAUUAUUCACAAUUUAAACAUUGUGUGUCGUAUUUGACAAUUUAUACUACGCACUUUCUUUUUCUUUUAAAGCUUUGCGUUAUGUCGUGAAGUUGACUUUCUAUAUAUUUGGGUUGUACCUUUUAUGGCGCAAAUAACACGUCGUAAAUAAUGGCUUUUAGCACAGAAGUUUUGUGGUAAAGAAGCCCGCGCACUAAUUCAUUCUCGCGCCUUCUCUUUUUUAUUUAGCCGCUUCUUUUUUUAUUUUUUAUUUUUUUUGUUAAAUUCCCCUCAAAUGUUAAAAGAAAAAUUAAUGAAAUAUUUGAAAACUUUGAGUUUUAACGAUAAGGAUAAAAUAAAAGGUAAAAUGAAUAGUACCAAAAUUGACUUUUUAGUGUUAAAAUAUGAUUUUUCGUUAAAGUGAACAGUGCCGAAAGUUUUUCGUUAAAGUUCAAUGUUAAAAGGUUUGUAUUUUCUUGGUAAACUUGAAAGACAAACAUUGCAAUUGCAUUUUCAUUUACCCAAUAUUAAUUGUCGAGAGCCCACCCCCUUCCCUUCUCACUGACAUCGUAACUCUCUCCUCUCCAUCGAUCUCGCUCCAUCUGCUCGCCGUCGCUCUAUAUGCUCGUCAUCACCGUCGAUUCGUCUGCUCGUCGUCACCGUCGCCCAUCUGCUUUCCGUCACCGUCGAAGUGCCCCGCCAUUCAAGAUCUGAAAUCCCCAAUACAGGGUGCUUUGCGGCAUUUCGUUCUCCAAAACUUUAGGUAUGCUCUCAAUCUGUAUCAACCCUAUCCUGUCCCCUCUAGAUUUUUGUUUAGUCUCAACUUUAUGGUGCUUUUCUUAGAUUUGUUCUAUCACUGUAAUUUUAAGGGAUUUUAGGUAAUAAAUUUGGUUGAGAAUCUCAGUUAGGUUUGUAAUUGUUUUCUUGGUUGCCUGGGUUUGAGGAUGAUUAAUCCACUUUCUGAAGUUUAAUUACUUUGAACUUUGAUUUGUGGGAAACUGCAAUCAAAAUGUUGCUAUGGCUUUAUAGUUAGAAUCGAUUGUGAGUCUUUGCACCACAUCAAGCAAUACCCCGGUGUUGUAAUUCCGAGGUUUGUAAUUGCCGCUGUUAAUGAUGGUUUGGUCCAUCCUUUUUAGGGAGAUGACUUCAAUGAUUGAAACUAGUUUAUCAUUAUUUCAGAACUCUGUAAUACGAGACAUGAUAUUCCAAAAAAUAUUUGCAUGAAUAUAUGUGCAUUGACUGACUAUUUUUCAGUCUUUGAUAGUGGAGAUAACUCUUUCAGGUCAUAUGUAGUUCUUACAGAAAUUGUAUGGUAUUUUGGUUGGUUUUGUGUUCUGGUUGUAGCAAACUGGUGGAUGCCCUGAGAUGAGUAGUUAUCUACAAAGUGGAUGGAUCCUGAAGAGUACAAAGUCUAAGGCAUUUUAUGUAAAGGUAAAUCCUGUUACUUUUAAUUACUUAUAUGUGAAUGCCUGCCAUUUGAAGUAAAAAUUCUUUUAGCCAUUACAUUCUUCAUAAAGAUCUUUAUAUGCUCAAAAGAAGGAUUUUUUUUAGAUGCCAUGUAACUGGUGGUGGCUAGCCUCUUCUUUUUAAGACUCUAGUGUGUUUCAAUUACACUAGUCAAUCGUUCUUAUGUGUAUUAUGUUUUGUUGAUAAGAUGGCCAAGACAAAGUUGUAGAGCCCUAGUAGCAGGGUGCUGUUGGCAUUUAUAUUUUUCUUUUGAAGGGGUGUUUAUUGCUUUUAUACUUUCAUUGUUUACUCUCAUACAUACAAUACUGAAAAAUAAGCAUGUAUUGACGCGUAAUUUUAGAUCCAUAUUUAUACAUAAUUUUGAUUACAUGUCCAAAUUACCCAAGAUUCUUUUUCCUUUACAAAUUUGUGGAGUGCAUUACAUGGAUAUGAUUCAUGUAUGAAAUACACAUGACUCUCACUAAUUUAAGGGCAGCAUCAUUGACUGUACAGUUUUCAAUUCUUUAUAAUCAUGAGUAUAGACAUUUUUUAAUUCUUUAUAAUCAUGAGUACAACAAUAGUUUCUAUAACAAAAUUCUGUUAAAUAUGUAAUAUCAGUAUUUGUUUUCCAGGUUCAUUAGUUGAGGAUGAUUUUUCCAAGAAAGAAAAGAUCGCGGCUUUCAGGCCGAUCUAAAGAACAUUAUGUUGAUAUUGCACCUGAGAUCUUACAAGAAGAGGACGAAGAAGUACCAGAUGACCUAUUUACAGAGGAGUCGAAUCAAACUAAAAGAAAGAGGGGUCCUACUAGAAUGAAGACAAUUUCCACAAAUGAUGGUCAACGAAUUGAGAUUGAAUGGAAUGAAAACGGCCAGUUUAUUGGUGACGGAUCUAUUGACUUAUCUUCUUACAUGGGUUCUUUGGUCCGAGAGGUUGUCCCUAUAACAUUUGAUACUUGGAAGGAUGUUCCUAAGAAAACAAAGGACAUCCUAAUCAAGGUAAUAUGCAGAUAAGUCAAUUCUGAUCCCUCUACUUCAAGGUGAACAAUUUAUAGUUUAUAAAUUUUACUUGUGUUAAUAUAUAUUUUUUGGUAAAUGUUAUGGAUAUUUUAUCAAAUCAGAGAGUAAAUUCGUAUUAAGUGAAGAUUGGCAAAGAACAUAUUGUUUUGAAAGGAUGAAUAAUGUUUGCAGAUCACAUAUAUCAGUAGUUGUGAAGUCCAUAAGAGAAGCAAGAAAUUGGAAAGCAAGGCUUCGUCUAAAACCAAAUAAUGUCAAAUUAAUUCAAGAUUGGAAGACUUCCCUUGCAAAGUGUAAGCUCAUUUUCCUUUUCUUUUAUUUCUAAGAUUAGUUAUCUUCUUUUGAGUUCAAAAUUGGGUCAGAGAAAUCAAACUGAUAGUAGUUAAAAGUCUAUUUCAACACCAAGCCUUGUCUACACAAGAAUUUGGUGUUAGUUAAACAUGUGUAUGAUUCUAUCUUGAUUGCAUGUUAAUUUAGUUUGAAGAUAGAUUUGGUACAUGCUAGCUAAUUGAUACGUGAUAUGAAUCUUUGGUUUCCUUUUGAUAGGACAAAAGCGAAACAUUCAGAGAGAUGAAGUCUAAGCAACUCCGCACACAUGUAGUCGCAAGGGAUAUGGUAGGUUGGCGGAGGAUUUGGUAAUUACAUUUCAUUCUAGUGCCUUCUUUUCUACAGGACAAGAACAAUUUACUAAUUUUAUUCUGUGUUCUACUGUGUGUUUACUACAUUUAUGUUUCUAUUUUGUAGAAAAGAAAAAGUGUAGACCCUUCUCUAGUUUCUAGAGGUGAUGUUUGGAUUGCAGCACAUACUAAAAAGGGUGGUGGACCAUCCAAUUUGCUUGCUGCAGAGACUAUUGUAAGUAAUUUUUAACCAUUUAUUUCUUCUUGUUUGUUGAUAUGCAAUGAUGAAUGAGGUCUUAACUUUGAUGUGCAACGUUAGGAAAAAAAUUAAGCAAUAUGGAAAUGGAUCAUCAUCUGGUUUUCGAGGUGACGUUCUUUCCAAAGUUUUUGGUGCUGAGCGACAUGGUCGUGCAAGAGGAGUUGGAGGUGGUGUUCCUCCUACAAAGCUUGGAAUAUUUUCACAACAAAAAUUGCGUAAUCACCAAAUGGAUGAAAAGGUGCACAAUUUAACUAAUCAGGUCAGAGCACUGACAGAAUUGGUGUAUCUUUUUAUGAAAAAUCAGGUUAGUGAUUUAAUAACAUUGGUAUCAUAUUGAAUAUUUGUGAAAUCAGUUUUAGUGACACAUCAAAUCACAGGGUAAUGAUCUACCAAGUGAGGCAUCUCCUGACACACAGGUUGCAGCUCCUGAGGCACAUGUUGAUACUGUCGCAAGAACUGAAACUUGUCUUUCCCAUUGCGCAACAAAUGAAUCGUGGUGGCGAGGUUGAUACACUUUUUCAAUGAGCCUUCUAACUAUUAAUGCUCAUUGACUCUGUUAAAAGCUCUGCCAUUUUCAAUCUAACUAGACACUAGAAAUGAUCAUUGACUCUGUUAAAAGUUAUGAUGUUUUGGUCCUUCUCCAUAGUUGCGCAUCUACUGAUGUCUAUUUUUUUUCAAAUACUGCAGGUUAUUUCUGAAAACAUUGAAACAUCGUGGUGUACCAGAUGGUUUGAUUAUAAGACACCUUCCUUUUGGUCCACCAACUUAUUUAUAACUGCUAAAUGGUACGUAGUGUGAUAAUUUUCAAAUAUUUUGAUAUUAAGACAGGUGUAGGACAACAUAGAAAUUCUUAGGGCCUUCAGCAACAAAAUUAUGAAAAAGUGAGUGAGAUACAAUUAAAAAAAUGAAAGAGAAGGAUCAUGAUUCAUGAUCUAAAGGUUUGAAUAGGGUAGAAAGGAUUUAGUUUCGUUGUUAAAAUCGAUUGUGAGUCUAUUGUUAUUGUAUUGUCAAUUUGUUUAUUUACUUGAACUUCCUAGUAUCAAUUUGGUUCGAUAUAUCUAGCACCACCAUAGAUAUAUCUAGUAUCAAUUUGGUUAGAUAUUGUCAAUUUGUUAUUGUAUUGUCAACUAUAGAAUGUGCAUCAGUUGUAAAAGGAACAAAACAAUUCAGAUUUUUUGUUUAUGUCCAAACUUAGAAUUGUAUUGUAAUUGACAAUUUCUACUAAUUAAUUUAAAGUAUUUGGAGUUUAAUAUGUUUAUGAUCAAUAUUGUUAUCCUUCUAUUGUAUCAGUUUAGAUGUUAUGAAGUGAGGUCUGUCUAAAAAUGAUAUGCUAAAUAUAGAUGUAAAUUACGGCAUCUAAAAUCAGCAAUAAUUGUUGAUGGUAGUCUUUUUUUACGAUGCACGAUGUAUGCCGUAAUCACCUUCACAAUAUUACGACACUCAACAAAUGCUGUAUCAAAUAUAAAUUACUGCACACAAGUAUGUCGUAAUUGUUUUUCAGUAUUACGACACCCUAUUAACGCUGUAACUAAUACCAAUUAAGGCGCGUAGGACAUGCCUUAAGAACAUUUAUGGCGUGUUUUACUUAAAUUAUUCACUACUAUUAGAGUACGUCGUAUUUGUCAAAACAUCUUUUACAACAGGGGCUUUUACUGCUUGGAGGCUCACGUCGUGAAUUUCCAUUUACGGCACCCUUUGUGCGCCGUAAAAGGCCAAUUCUAUUGUAGUGAUCCAUGGGUACAUUUUUAAUCUACAUGUUUCGUUUUAAUAUAUCUAUUGCUAUAAUAUGUUUUGGUUGGUUCAAAUUCGUUUUACAUAAAUAUAUGGGUACAAAGUUUUUGGAGAAUAUUAUGUAAAAUGGUUUUUAAGGUUGUUGCAUUUUAUGUACCCACAUAUGCAUGUCUAUAAAACAAUGUGGUAUGAUGUACAUUCUUUUCCUUGAGUUUUUAAAUGUACCCAUGAGUUUUCUUGUAAAUUCAGUAUGUAUCCAUAUGCUAUUUAUGUUAUGGGUACAUAAAUUAUUUUUGGUCUAAGUUGGUGGGUACAUUGCUUUUGUAUGUAUGAAUUCAUUGGGUACAUUAUUUCCCUUAAUACUACUCAAUAAAAUUCACAAAAAUAUGUGCAGUGUGCAUGAAUUUUUAUUGUAGAAAUUGUUUUUUUUUAAUUUUUAAUUUUUAAGUCUCAUAAUUCGUGAAUUUUGUACAUAUUGAUCCCAUAAAUUUUUGAAUUUUAUUAAAUUUCUUUUAGACUUGAUCGAUUGAUUGAAUCUCAUAAUAAUCCCUUAAAUGUUCCAAUCAAUAUUUUAAAUUACAGCUUUUUAUUUAAGAUUUCAAAAAGAUGACAUGAAAAUAUAGUAAUACUAAAAUUUUAUUUUAAAUUACAUUUGUGUAACAAUCAAUGGUAUGUUAAAACUGGGCAAAAAAAAAAGGUAUAUUAAAAAAUUAUAAUUUAUUCUUUUUUUCAUAACUGUCUUCUGCUUAGAUUAAAUUUUUACCAAUUUGGGGGAAUUAGUUCUUACCAAUAUAUAUGCACAGUAUUUGCUUUUUACCUGGGCUUAACACAUGAUUAAUUACUUUCCUACCUGCUAACGCGUUGAUUUGCGCAUCCAAAGUAUUAUCAAAGUCACUGCCACCAAAAAGGUGCCCACUCCACAACCUUUGGUUGAACCAAAGAACAUCACAACAAUAAGGAAAUCGUUAAAUCUAUCUCCGCAACAUUUUUAUUAAUCAUUAGAUAGAUUAAACGAUUCCCCUGUUCAUAUUGUGUUCUUUUGUUGAACCAAACCAUGUCAACAAAAUAUAUCUAUGGUUAAGCAUCUAGAUUCAUGCUUUUGGAUGUGCAUCUUAAACCCCUCAAUGAAUAGCCAAGCAAUUUAUCAUGUGUUUACAGUAGGUCAAAAGAAGAAAGUGUUUGUCUAUAUAUUGGUAGGAACCAAUUCCUCUGAAGAGGAGAGAUGGAAGUGAUGAUAAUACUUUAAAUAAUCAAAGCCCAAACAUUUUAUCAAAUUUCAUCUCUGUACUCCACGGAGACACUAAAUGAGACAUAUCUGGUCCAUCUCUGAACAUCUUUUCUUACCGUUCUUACAAUAGAAAGGGCACAAAAUUGACUUACACAGUCUUGCACAAUACUCACUUUGCUUCAACCCAUAUUUCACUUUGUCAAAUCAUACACGUUCCUGCAAUAGGUGAACUCAUAUGUAUCUACCACUUCUUGCUAAUUUUAAUUUUUCCAUUCCCAUUUUUGCUACAAGUUUCACAUAAAUUUUUUAUUGCACUUGUCAAUUCUUUAUACUUUUUUAUUGUAUUUUUUUUUUGUCUUUUUUUUGUAUUAAACAAUUACAUGUCCUCCAAAAGUUUUGCUUAUUGCCCUAUUUCAUCAAGCUCGGUAUAAAUAGAUCUUAAUUUUUUACUACAGUUAAAUACAUGGACAUGCCUCCACAAAUACAAAUUAGUUCUUGCUUAAAUACUUUGUGUGUUUACAUAGAAAAUGUUCCCAUCGUCUACCAAAAUCCUCCACACAUGAAAACAAAAAUUCUUACUCAAAAAUACAUAUUACAAUACCACCAUAUCUGUUGUUUUUUAUUAAAUUAACACACUGUUUUCAAUUUUAUCUUUAACACAAAAGAAAAUGCUCUUACACAAUAUGCUUGUUUACAUUUUAUAACUUAUCUACCACAUGUUAAUCGCAAUUAUAUAAAUAGGAAAACACGUGUCAAUAGAAGUGUGAUGCAUGCUACUUCGUUAACAAUAGUGGCAACUAAACAAUUAAAUAAUUUGUUUCAAUUAGUUAGUACAUUUUAUAAAUUUCUUAAUUAGAACUGUUUCAGUAUAUUCAAUACAUUUUUAAACAACUUUCCAGUUAGUUGCCCAAACUAAUUAUUCCAGCUUAUUCAUAGUAUAAUACCAACAAUUUAACAACCAAUGAUACUUCGUUUAACAUAAACUUCAUUUGGAAAAAACAAAAAAAUAUCUUUUUCUCUGCUGAAAAAUCCAACAGAGUUAUUGAUGCAGAUCAGUUAUACCAACAAAUUACCAUAGUUUACCCAAUGCUAUACAGGUUUGACUUUUGUUUAUAUUCUUGGAUCUGUUGCUUGGUUGUAUAAUUUGGUUGUGUGUUUUGUUUCAGGACAAUUUGUUCUUCGUUUCUUGAGGCUUUUGUGUGUAGAUUUGAAACCGUUUAGCUUUCAAGCCGUGUAUACUCAAGGUAAAUAAUUUCGUUUUUUUCUUUGUAACCUUUUUUGUAAGAAAUUUUUAUUUAAUGUUGUGAGAGUUGUGUUUUCUAGAGUAUGAAAAUUGAAUCUUUGUGAUCUUAUAUCCUUAGAUAUGUUUCUUGGUUAUAUGAUUUGGCUGUGUGCAUUGUUUCAGGACAAUUUGUUCUUCGUUUUUUGGGGCUUCGGUGUGUAGCUUUGAAGCCUUUUGUAGUCAACAUAAAUAAUUUUAUUUUUCUUUGUUUCUAGUCUUCUUUGAAAGAAUUUCUUAGUUAAUAUUCUGAGAAUUAUGUUUACUAUAGUAUGAAAAUUGAAUCUUUGUGAUCUUGUAAGUGAUGUAACGUCAUUGCAACAUGUAUGACUGCCAUUAUCGAACAUGAAGAGCUUUUUGAUUUUUGUACUCCGUCCUUUCAUACGAUCUGACUCAAAAAUUGUUUCAUCACAGGUUCUAACAUGAUUUUUGCGACGUCUUAUGAAAAUACAAUGUCACUUCUGGUAUUCCAACUUAAACAAAUUACAAGGGAUGUCUAGUUUUAAACCUGCAGUUAGUAUAUACUAAAACGACGGUUUUGGCCCUGCUCUCGACUUCUUCAGAAACCUCGAGAAACUUCAAACUGAGAAAGCUUCUCCCUUCCAUCUCUGCUACGCGAUCUCUGCUUUGCGAUCUCUGCUUCCUCCGUGAUUUCUUCCCUCCUGAUCGACAUCUAUUCGAAUUGAAAACCUUCUGGAGCUCUCUUCCCCAAAUUUCAGCAGCAACUUUGCUCCAGAUCUUUCCAAUUGAAAUUCCUCUCCUUCACAUUUUGCAUAUUGAAUUUCGCAUCAUUAUCAUCUCCCUAGAACCUAGGAGUUUGGUUCGGUUUCGAGUUUUCCGACGGAAAUCCGGCGACAGCGGCCAUCGAGGUUGGUCUGAAACUAUUCCUCAUCACCACAAGUACUUUCUACACCUAUUACACUUUAGAAAAAAUUUCAUGAUUUGGUGGAAUCCAAUUUAAUGAUUAGAAAAAUUUUCAUUAAUUUUCUGGGUUCGUGGGUUGGAGGUGGAUUAGAAAUUUUUUCAUUAUUUUUCUGGGUUUGUGGUUUUUUUCCAAAACGUUUUUCCUUUCUACUAAUCCAAGUUCCUUCACAUCAAUCUCUCUGUUUCGUUCUUGAUCUUCCGCGAGUAGAAUACCUCUCCUUGCUCUCGAGCGCGUGGGCAGUCGCUCCAAGGCAGCCCAUGACGUCAUUUUCCGAUUCGACUCGGAGGAGGUUGGCUGCUCUUCUUGGCUGAGCUUCAUGGCUGGCCGAAUUCCCCUAUUCCCUUCCUCUUAUACUCUUUUGUAUUCGUUCACCAAAACAAUAGGAAAACGUCUCCGUCUGUUUGAUUGACGGCGAAGAAAAAAAGACGGAGAUAAAAGCCUGACGGAAGCUGAAAGCUUGGACUCUGUUUGUAUUUUUAAUGGAUUUUCAGAACACAGGUCAAGAAUACUGCGAUUUGAGAAAGAAAGAAAGAACCACGUUGACAUAAUAUAUUCACAAUAGGCGUACAUAAAGCUUUACUGUGGUUCCAUUUUUUUGCAUAUUUCAAAGGCUCUGAAUUGUUAAGGGAAUUAGCCUUUUGUUUUAGGAAGAACUUGGAACCCCCUCCGUCCAUUCUAUUCCCGAUGGAAUUAACACUUAGAUAGUACUAUGACAAUGUGUCAUUAAUUGAUGCAUACCUGUAUAAAUUUAGGCCAAGUGUUUUAUACACAAAUUGAUACAGAUUAAGCUUCUGGGUCGAAAUCAUAUACCGGUGAGCUAACUACACAAUGAUACAUUCUUAUCUGUUAAUUAUCUUUGGUUACCAGCUAUCCAUGUUGCUGACAUAUUAAACUACACAACAUCUAUUGUAAUUUAUGUCUUAUUAGUAUCAUCACUUUUGUUCUUUAUUUCAAUGUCUAACAUAAUGAUCUGGUUUCAAUUUGCUACAGGCAUUAUUUCCAGACAAUAGCUAUGGUUUUGAUUGUAGCGGUGACUGAAAAAUUAUUCCGAAACUAACAUUUGAGGAAUUCAAGGUUUGUUAGUUAAUUUGUACAUCAGAAUACCAUGACAAACUAUGAAGUUGUAAUUGUUGACCUUACAAUGUAUCUUUUUUGGUUUGGAGCAUUAGACUUAUAUGUGUUGCUUUCACUUCAUGAAGGCUAACUCUUUAUUUUAGGCCUUAGAAUAUAAUUUUUUGGAGAAUCUACAUUGUUGAUAAUUUUUUGAACAAUAUUAUCCCCAAAAUUUCUCCGCAUGUUACCCUCAACGUAGACAUCAUAUAACCAUCAUUGAACUUCUGAACCAAAAAUUUGAGUUUUAUGAUUAUAACUAAACGUCUAUAAACACAUGAUACAGAUUGAGACGAAUGUCAAAUUUAAAAUGGCAUUAAUCAGGACAGCUGCAAACUCUGAUUUGCGGCCUUUGAAAUGGAGCAGUUACUUCUUGCUUCACUUCAACAGCAUAGUCCAGCUUCUAAAUUCAGUUCUCAGGUAUGAGGUUUCUCAGUUACCUCUUUUUUGUAAUAAAACAUUUGAUCAGUACUUGCCAGGAUAUCCAAUUAAUUAGGUCAGUUUUUGUUAGCGGUAAUAAUUUGUUUUUGUAGCUUUAUAUGUGUCUCUGUCUCCAAAUAUGAUGAUCUCUUAAUUUGCUUCUAUAGCUUUUGUAAUAUAAUGAUCUCUUAAUUUGCUUUUGCAUAUCUUCUUUGCUUCCUCUGCUAGCUCUAUAUGAGAUUCCAUCUCCAAAUAAUUAUUCCUUAUUUCCUAUUUUUACAGGAAGCAAAUCAUUGAAUACACAUGGAAAAUUAAAAGGGUUUUAGUUUUUGGAGUAGUUUAAAUUUUUUGUUUGUUAUUGCUUGUAUUGCUGUUAAAUAUUUGAUGGGUAGUUUGAAAUGGGGAACUUGGUUGAUUGAGUAUUAACUUUUAUUAAAUUAAUAUUCUUAUUCAAUAUUGAAUUAAGACUCCUCUUAUUAAAUUAAGACUCUUAGAGUGCGUUUGUUGCGCCAGACUGUCUCGGACUGGACUAGCUGCCGGGACUAAGCUGGACUGGCUUAGACUGGACUAAGCUAGACUAACUUAGUGAAGCGUUUGGUGUAAUGUCGGACUAAGAAGCAGGAUAAGAAAAACAGUACUGUUCACCAGAUUUGUGUUUGCUUAGACUAGGAUUACAAAUUUUUGCCAUUGUGUAAUAGAGUAAUGCUACAAAUCUCAUGAUAUGGGUUAAUUGGAGCAUAUUUUUGCCAUGUAUAUUAUGAAUCUUAAAAAAAAUUGACAAUUGUUUUGUUUCUAUUACCUGCUAAUAGAAUUGGGUUUAAUUUGCAAAUGUAGCUUAGUUUAAACUCUAUCACCCAACAGAAGAAAAAUAAUAGUGCCCAAUACAUGCAACUUCAACAAAUACAAGUACAUAAGAAGAUCUCCAUAAUUUAGAAAAUCCUAGUUAACAUUAGUUAACAUUAGCCAAAAUAGAUCUCCAUAAUUUACAAAAUGGCUAGUUAACAUAAGCCAAAAUACUAGUGCAAAGCUAAGUUAUAAGCCAUAACAUAAGAUUGUAUGAUUAAUAAAAUACAUCCAUGUUAACAUUAAUAAAAUACAUCCAUGUUAACAUUAGCCAAAAUCCUCAUCCGCUUGCGUUGUCGCUUAAAAGCCUUUGGACGAACACUUUCUUGAGUUCCGGUUUGAUUGCCCUGAACACUCCCACAUUUUUUGGUUUAUCCAAAAUAAGAGACAAUGCAUCAAUUUGAUCCAUAGGAGAGAGACCCAUUACUUCAAGUUCAUUAGCUAUGUCAGUAUGAUCUGCAAUACCUUGAACUAAAGCUUCAGUUACCAUUUGCAUCCUCUUCCCACUUUCAACAUAAAAAUCUUUCAGUCCACUGAUAAUUGCCUCGGUUCCAUCACUUGAAUUUCCCACAGCUCUUUUCCUCUUUCUUUGGCUAUUUUCAGAUGGGGUGCUUUGUUGGCUUUGUUGGUUCAUUGAAGAAACAAAAUUUUCACCUCCAAUAUCACUUUCACCAACAUGAUCAUGACUUUGUUCCUCCACCAUUUGAGCAGGGGUUUCGGCUACAUUACCCGUAGCCCGAUCUUUUCCAAAUAUAUAUGCAAAUCUAUCAAACAGUGGAAAAGGUUUGCUUCUCCAUCCAUCGGCUUCUUUAUUUCUCUAAGAUUAUAUCAACAUAGCAAAACUAAAAUUUAGCAUGCGUAACAAAUAUAGCAGCAAGAAUAUAACUAAUGUAUAAAUAAAAUAGGAUAUGAACCUGCACAUAAGUUUGCCAUGAGUCAUCACUGUCAACUUCAACGCACUUUUUGACAUCAUUUCAUGCAAAUCCACUUGUGUUUAUCAUGUCAACGACCAUACUAUAUGUUUUUUUCCAUUUCUUCAACUUGGACUCAAUAUGUGGAUUUGCCUUUAUAUUUGAAUGAGGACAUAAAACAUUGACAACUUUUGCUAUUUCAACCAAAGUACCUUGUUUGAAAGCACCGGUGUCACACCGUUGCUUCCGAGCAACAAAAUCCUCAAGAACUCCUAGUAAUACUUCUUCCUCAAAUGCUUCCCAUUUACGCCUUCUUCCUUUUGGCUCUUGAGUAGCAUUCAAAAUAUUUUCGUUAUCCAUACCUAAACAAAAAAUAUUUUAAUGAAGGAAAAUACCAUACAAAUAAUCAAUUUGCAUAAUAUCCAAUCAACUUGCAUAAUAUCCAAUUAAUUUGCAUACCAUCCAAUCUUUGUGCUAAUAUCUAACAAAUGCAUGAUAAAAAGGAAUACUAAAAUAAAAUGUUAUCAUUAACACAUAUAGCUAGUUCGGUUGCUGGUUCCUAAUUGCUCUCCAUUCAUUAUACAUUUCCUGAGCCAUGUCAUUCCUCUUUGCAGUCCACUGGUCAGAUGUUUGAACACUACCAACAUAUUCACCUUCUUCUGUAUUUUGUCCAUCUUCUAUUAUUGGAAAAUUCUCCAUUGGAUCUACAGACAUCUCUUGCCUAAUAAGAUUGUGUAGUAGGCAACAAGCGGUAAUUAUUCGACCUUGUGUCCUUAUCGGAUAGAAAGAUGGACUCCUUAGUAUCGACCACCUUCCUUUUAGCAAGCCAAAACAGCGUUCAAUUACAUUCCUUGCCUUAGAAUGCUUCAUGUUAAAAUAUUCUUCCUUAUUAGAAGGUGUUCGUCCCUCCCAUUCAGAUAAAUGAUAAGGUAUUCCUCUAUAGGGUGCAAGGAAUCCUUCACCAUUUGUAUAACCACCAUCUACAAGGUAAUAAUAACCUAAUGAAAAAAAAAACAGACCUUAUUAGUGUUUUGUAGUUGACAAACAGAACUAGACCUAACUUACAAAGUUGAGACUAAGUAAUAGUCUUACCCGCUGGUACCUUAAAACCAUUAGGCCUAGUAAUUGCAUCAUGUAGCACUCUAGAGUCUGAUGCAGAACCCUCCCACCCCGUAAACACAUAUAUGAACUGCAUAUCUCCUGAACACACACCUAACACAUUAGUUGCGACUCGACCCUUUCUUGUUCGGUAUCUUGGUUUGUCAAUUUCAGGUACAUGCACAUCAAUGUGUGUUCCAUCCAAUGCUCCCAAGCAAUUCUUAAAAAAAAAAAAAAAAGUUUUUGUUAAUUUAUACAAAGGGAAUGAAGAGUUAAAGCUUAGGGAAAAUGAAAAAAAAUUCUCAUCAUACCUUAAAACAUCGCCACCUAGGAUCUGUAGAAUCAAUAGGCACAGGCUGAGGGACUUUUAGUAGGAUACCUUGUAAUCGCAAAAUUCCUUGCAAUACGAUAUUGAAAUACCUACUUAUAGUCUCUCCCGACCUAUAAAAUCUACCGCCAACACUACGAUUCUUAGUAUGAUGUGCUAAUAUUUGUAAAGUCAUACACACAUGCUCCUCUACAGACACCAAACCAUCAGUUUUUACCCUCCCAUCUUGACGAAGUAAGUCACAUAAUAUGCCAAAAGUCCUUCUAUCCAUUCUCAAUUCGUUGACACAUUCAGUAUCAGUAUUCCCUAUUAUACCAUUCAGAUAACACAAACUAAUCUCUCGUCUAAUAAGUGAACGGUUAGUCAAUGUGGGUCGUUCAACAUGUCUCUGUUUGCCACGUAGCAUCAUCAACACAAGAAUCGUACAAAUGCAAAUUGUCUCCAAAUAAGACAUCUCUAACAAUAAGAUCAAUAAAAGCUUCCUUCGAUCCAUAUCUAUCCAAACAAAAAAAAACAAAAAACAAAUUAAGGACAUUAUAUAUGUAAUAUUUACUGUUAUUAAGGGUUAUGGAAAUGAAGUGAUUAUGAUACGAAAUGAACUAGAUCAAAGUAACUAGCGAAGUCACAAUCCGAGGCAUCAAAUAUACGGGUGGUGUUGGAAAAAAAAAAGUUAUCAUUAACCCGAGGCAACAAAUAUACAGGUCAGAUGCACACACUGCAUACACACUCACACACAUACUCACACGGACAUACACACUAUCACACACGGACAUACACUCACACACACCCUACAUACAUACAUACAUACACACACACACUGCAUACAUACACACACACACACACUGCAUAUAUACACACACACACACACUGCAUACAUACACACACACACACACACUGCAUACAUACACACACACACACACACACACACACUGCAUACAUACACACACACACACGACAUACAUACACACACACACACACACACUGGUCAGAUGCACUGCACUCACACGGACAUACACACUCUCACACACUGACAUACAUACACACACACCCUGCAUACAUACACACACACACACUACAUACACACACACACACACACACACACACACUGCAUACAUACAUACACACGCACACACACUGCAUACACACACACACACACAUUGCUUUAUGAAAACCCCAAAUUCCAAAUUUGAAACCCCAAAUUCCAAAUUUCUAAUCUCAAUUUCAAACCCCAAAUUCCAAAUUUCUACUACAUACUUACAUACACACACACUGCUUUAUGAAAACCCCAAAUUCCAAAUUUCAAACCCCAAAUUCCAAAUUUCUAAUCUCAAUUUCAAACCCCAAAUUCCAAGCUUUAUGAAAACCCCAAUUUCUAAUCUCAAUUUCACCCAAAUAUCAAAACCCUAAAAUUUGUUCAACUGCAGAAUCAAAUAAAGCUCAAACCCAAAACAAAUCCGCCCAAAUCGACGAAAAAAAUCCACCCAAAUCGACGAAAAAAAUCGAACAAUCGAAGCUUACCAGACAACUGGAGGCAGAUGAGGGCGAGCAGAUCUGUUACGUGAAGACGAGGGAGUGGACGACGAGAGGAACAGAUGAGGAGCAUGAUGCAGAUGAGGGCGACCAGGAUGCAGCUGACGGCAAGCAGGAUGCAAAGAUAAGGAUGAGGAGGACGACGUGAGGGAGGAGGACGUCGACGACACUCUCUCCUAGGAUGAUCGAGGUUCUUUCUCGCAAGAGCGCAAUCGGAUGAGGAGGACGACGUGAGGGAGGAGGUUUUAUGAAUCUGGACGUUUUUGGGGUGGUUCGCUAAGAACUCCUAGCGAGGGUUUAAUCCGUGCGAGUCAGAUCUAAUCCCAUUAAACCUAAUCCUUGCCCCUACCAAACAUCAGACUACAAUACCAAUUAGUGGAGUCCAGAACAGUCCCCCCUAAGAAGGUCAAACAAACACGCCCUUAAGGCUCUAAUCUAAUGUUCAUGCUCAACAUCUCCUCUAUCUUUCUACGAUUGGUAAAACUUUUGUAUUAUUAUUCCAAUUUUGGUUACUGGGUUGUGGAAUUUUCCAUUUUUUUUCUCGGUAAUCAAUACUAUAUAUAUGCAUGACAAGUAUAAACAAUAUUUUGGGGCAAAUUUAGUUGUUUAAUUUUUAAUUUUUAUGUGACAGUGAGAUUAUGGUAGGAUUUCGUUUAGAUUCUGCGGCCCAAUGGGAGUCUCUGCUUUGAUAAGAUUGGGGUUGAUGCCAAGAAAGCCAAUAAGCCUACUGUGGACGCCGUAGCCGCCUGGCGCUGUUUUCCAAAAUCCUCUCUCACUUGGUUAAGCAAUUAAGACUUUUUGGUUCAGUUUUUAUUAUGCCCAAUUUUGUAUUUAAACCUUAAAAAAAUUUAAACUGAUUUGGGGAUACUGAAAUAGGCUGCAGAGCUGCCAUCCCUGAAUCAGAAGAUGUUCAGAAGGAAGAAGAAGAAGAAGAAGAAGAAAGUCGUGGAAUAUCAAAAGCUUUUAGCUUUGUGAAAGUAUGCUUUUUCCCAACUCACCUCUUGCUUUUGUUGCACUGAAUUGGUAGAUUGGGUUCAAAAAUAUAUAUAUGUGAUUUUUCGUGUAACUAUUUCUUUACAUAAUUACCAAUUGGAGGUGAUUUUAGAUCAUGUAACAUUUCCUCGCUAGAACCAAAGAUUGUCGUCGCUCAGAGCUGCGUUUCAUGAAACAAGUUCAUCUCCUGCCAAAUUUGUGUACCCACCUUUUAUUCAUGAGGGUUGGUGCUUGCUUGCAACACAAUUUGGUGUUAUUAAGUUUUGCGGUUUUACAAUUUGUUCAUGCUUAAACCUCUUUCAAAUUUUCAUUUCUGUGUAAAUCUUGCAGGUAGGACGACACACCUAUCUUGGCAAUGUCGGGAUGUCUAGGCUUGGUGGAGACGUGGUCUUAUGGAAGAGGUGAAGUAGCUUAGCUCGAUCUCAUUAGCUCUUAUCUGUUCUAUUAUGUUAAGAUCAAUAGUAAAAAGUUCUAUUGAUUUUAUAAUCAAAGAUACAUAUAUUAUAGAAAUAGAGGGUAUAUCAUUAAUUUCUUGAUGUAAACAAUCAUAACUUGAGGAACCAUUUAAAGUAUUUUGGUAAUCAACAUACUUAAACUUAAAUGUGAUAUAUCCAUUUAGUAUUUUUUUUAUACAAUGAUAAUACUUAAGUAUAAUUUACAUCAUAUAUCUUUUGAAGUACAUGAAACUAUGAAGAAAAUGAUAAACCAAAUCCCAUUCCAUCUCUGUUUGCUACUGCACAAUCACAAUCCAAUUCCAACAUGGAAUCCUCAGACGACAUGCCUACUGCAGAACAAGUUUCAUACUGACUUAACUUAUAUUUAGUCCACGUCCUGUUUAGAUUGUAAUCCUAGUUCUACGUGUGUUUGUAUAGUACUCCUAUAAAUAUCAAUGAACAUCGCUCACUCUAAUUAAGAGUUGAGAUUUUGCAAAUCAUAUUUACUAUCUUUCAUGGUAUCACGAGCCAGCGUCUAACGACAACGGUUCCUAUUAUAAUUUUUUUCUCUUUUGCAGAUCCUAAACUAUGGCAUCUUCUUCCUCCUCCGCUGCUCCCUCCAUCACAAAUUUUCUUACGAUCAAGCUCGACCGCAACAACUACCCUCUCUGGCAUGCUCAGUUUCUUCCCUUGCUGCGCAGCCGCAACUUACUCUCUUAUGUUACUGGCGAAACUCAAUGCCCCUCUGCCUUUCUUCUUGAUGACAAUGGUAAAUUCACCGACAAAGUCAUUCCAUUAUAUAAUGAAUGGAUCCAGACUGACCAGAUGAUCCUAUCUUGGAUUACGAGUUCUCUUACUCCCAAGGUUCUUGCUACGAUCGUCAACAAAAUUGAUUCGGCCUCUGCUUGGUCGUCAAACCCGAAUUAAUCUAAUUGUGGGGGUUUUGUUUUAUAUCAAUAUAUUGCAACAGAAGUCACACUUUGAAGAGUUCAUGCUGCACAGAAAGAUGAUGAAAUGUUACCCGUUGAGUCUAUCAUUGCUCCAUUGGAGACAGAGCUGAAGCUUACUGCAGGAGUUAUACAGUUGUUAUGCAAUAUGACCCCUUUAAUUUUAUUUUAAAACUGAUACAAAAUACUACAAAAAUUUAUGUAGUAUUUUUGUAUUAGUUUUGAGUGUCUAUUUUGGCUUCCAUAUAUCGUCUGUACAUGUGAGAGGUAUAGUGUUCAAUAUGUAUUUGGUUUCUAUAUUGUUAAUGGAUCCUUUUUUUUUUAAUUUAAUUUAAUUUUAUUAAGGUAACCAAGUUGCAGGAUGACAUCAGAACACUUGAUCUGCAGGUAAACCUUCAAUUUCCAUAUGAAGUUUGCAUGUUCGUUGUUUCUGGAAUUUGAGUUUUUAUUAUUUCUCAAUUCUAUCACAUAGAUUAUGAUUUCACAUAUGGGAUUAUUAAUGGCAAUUAUAUGAUAGAAGAAUUGGGAUUAGAAGAAGAUAUUGAGUUGUUUUAUUUAUGGGGAUUAGAAAAUGAUUAUCAUACGAGUGAUAUUUAUUUUUGUGUGGAUUGUUAAUAUAUAAAACUAUAAGCUUUUGAGAUUGGGAGAUAAAACCCACAAAUUCAAAUCAGACAAAAUAAAUAAAAAAUUUAACUGACUUAAAGAUCAAACUCCAAAAGGGUAUUAAAAACAAGGCUUAUUUGAUCCAUUGAGUGUGAAAGUUUUGAGCUUUGAAGAAGCAUAGGAGGAGAGUUGUUAACCAAGCUGCAUUAUCCAUGUAUUAGGAUGUUGAGGGUAGGCAGGAAAAAUACUUUUUGACGCCAUAUCCAGAGGAGCAUAACGACAGGCCUGCAUUUUUGCAGCAAGGACCAAAACAAGUAGAAGUGAAGGCUUGACUAUUUGGGUAUUAAUCCUAAACCUAAUUAUUCUUAUUUAGGUUUAGGAUAAAUGAUUGAGUGUGUCUCGAUGAUUGUAUUACCAUGUUUGAUGAAUGACUUGAGGAGUUGGAAAUGCUUUAUUGCUUAUGUUUUUCUUAGGUGUGUACUUUGGUUAUUUCCGAGCUUUUCACGACUCUUGAUACCUAAUAGAGAAUAUGGAAACCCCAACUUUAAUUUUAUGAAUUGGUUUUGGUGCCUAAAAUGAAAUCUAGCAUAGUGAAAUCUUGCAUAAUGAAAUUAUGACAAAUUUCCCUUCAUCUUUAGAUUUUCAUUUAGUUCAAUUUGUAUGCAAUUUAGGGUUAUUCAAUUCAUGAGUGAUCAAAUUAUGUUUUUAAUUCCUUCUUCUUUUGAUUUACAGUUCAGCAUUGUCGUACAAAAUGAAAAAGGUGCCAGUAACAGAGUUAUGGAUUUGGAUGCCUUUAGUGGAAUAAAACUGAAUUUUUUAACUUUGUAUAGUUGUAAACAUAAAAUACUCCAUCAGAUAGACUCAUAGCAUUUGAAAACAAUCCUUGAGGAUGGCAUAACAACAUCUCCAACUUUUGUCAUGUAAUGUAUGAAUGUAAAUAGCACUUUGUAAACAUAUGGAUGUAAUAUAUGUAUAUAAACAGUCUUUAGCAUGUAUAUUUUUCAAAACUUUCUACAUCUUCAACAAUGUUUCAAUGAUUUCUUGAUGUAAACAAUGAUAAUUUGAAGAACCAUUUAAAGUAUUUCGGUAAUCAGCAUACUUAAGCUUAAAUGUGAUAUAUCCGUUUAGUAUUUUUUAUACAGUGAUAAUACUCAAGUAUAAUUUACAUCAUAUAUCUUGUGAAGUACAUGAAACUAUGAAGAAAAAACCCUAAUUAAUCUGAUUAUGGGGGUUUUGUUUUAUAUCAAAAUAUUGCAGCAGAAGUCACACUUUGAAGAGUUCACGCUGCACAGAAAGACGAUGAAAUGCUAUCUGUUGAGUCCAUCAUUGCUCCAUUGGAGACAAAGCUGAAGCACACUCCAGGUGGUAUACUUUUGUUCUGCAAUAUGACCACUUUAAUUUUAUUUUAAGACAGAUAGGGUUGAAAAGAAUUUAUGUAGUAUUUUUGUAUCAGUUUUGAGUGUCUAUUUGGACUUCCAUAUUUGGUCCGUACAUGUGAGGUAUAGAGUGUUCAAUAUGUAUUUGGUUUCUAUAUUGUUAAUGGAUCUUUUUUUUUGUUUUAUAGGUAACCAAGUUGCAAGAUGAAAACAGAACACUUGAUCAGCAGGUAAACCUUCAAUUUCCGUAUGAAGUUUGCAUUUUUGUUGUUUCUGGAAUUUGAGUUUUUUGCAGGAUGAAAACAGAACACUUAAUCUGCAGGUAAACACUUGAUUGGUUAUUUCCAAGCUUUUCACGACUUUCGAUACCCAAUAGAGAAUAUGGAAACCCCAACUUUAAUUUUAUGAAUUUGUUUUGGUGCCUAAAAUGAAAUCUAGCAUAGUGAAAUCUUGCAUAAUGAAAUUAUGACAAAUUUCCCUUCAUCUUUACAUUUUCAUUUAGUUCAAAUCGUAUGGUUUAGGGUUAUUCAAUUCAUGAGUGAUCAAAUUAGGUUUUUAAUUCCUUCUUCUUUUGAUUUUCAGUUCAGCAUUGUCGUAUUUUGGAUGCCUUUAGUGGAAUAAAACUGAUUUUUUUUUAACUUUGUAUAGUUGUAAACAUAAAAUACUCCAUGAGAUAGACUCAUAACUUUUGAAAACAAUCUUUGAGGAUGGCAUAACAACAUCUCCAACUUUUGUCAUGUAAUGUAUGAAUGUAAAUAGCACUUUGUAAACAUAUGUAUGUAAUAUAUGUAUAUAAACACCACUCUUUAGCAUAUAUAUUUUUCAAAACUUUCUACAUCUUCAACAAUGUUUCAAGCCCCGCAGCAACGGGCGGGUACACUUGAUAGUAUACAUCUAAAAUUAUAAGACUAAAUCCUUUAGUUCUUGGAUUCAUCUAAGAACUACUUAUUCCAGCAGAUGCUAUGCUUGCACUACUAGAAUUUAUGGCUUGCCCUGUCAACUAUUGCGCGACAGAAGAUUUCGUCGGUUUCACUUUUUUUAACCGACAUAAUAUAAGUUUAGUAGGGCAAAAUCAGUCAACAAACUGGGUUGACUGAAUAAAUUUACAGGAUGGCUAGAGUUCGUAGGUUAAGACAUCAGUCGUUGGGCAAACAUUUGGAGCGAAGAUGUGAGUGUUUUAACUGACGAAUAAGCUGGUCGUCAUGUAGAUCUUCUUUCCCGACUGACGGUUCAACAUGUAGCUCUUUGGAUAAUAAUUCAUCUUCAAGGGGAACAGGUUGCCCCUCAGAUGAAUGGUUAGAGGCAAUUGUGAGACUAUAAUUUUCUAGGGCCGAAAUAAAAAAUACAUAAACCCUCACUCAUUCUGUCUCUGUAACCAUCCACCAAAUACCCUUUCUUCCCUUUCUAUUUCUCUCCUAGUAAUAUCCCCUGACCGAAUCACACAAUCCAACCAACUCUCUUUAAGCCUCCCUCACUGAUUCCAUGGAUUUCAUGGACUUAUCCCACCCUCUCUCCUUCCCUCUAUAUAUAGCAAGUCCCCUUGCCUCAGUGUCCCUGGCAACAGAAUUUAUGGCAUUUCUUCGUUCUUUCAAUUAUUUGAAAGCUUCCUAGCCCUGCAAUCUUGUACAAAGGCGUAUGGUGUUUCAUCAGUUCCAUUUGGUGGUUGGGUGGGAAAUGAAAUUAAAACACUGCAUUUCAAAUGCAUUUCAAAUGGUCUAAACCAAAUUGAAUCAAAUGUGAAGCAAAGGGCAAGAGGUGUAGAUUGAAGAACAAUGGCACCAAGAGCGAAAUUGAACUUGUUGACAGGAGGAAACCAAGUAAGGAUAACACGUCUAAAUCUUAUUUUGAAUCCAUUCAGCUCAUGAUGUUUUGAAUGAUGAUGAUCGGUAUACUCUGCUACAUGCUGUGAUUUUUCCGCUUUCAUGUAAUUAACGGCUUAUAUGUGGUAACGAUAUUGAUUAAAAAAGGUCGUACCCAGUGCAUAAGGCUCCCGCUUUACGCAGGGUCUGGGAGAGGUGAAUGUCGGCUAGCCUUACCCCCAUUUUAUGGAGAGGAUGCUCCAAAGUCUCAAACCCGAGACCUACCGCUCAUGGGCGAAGGCAUUUGCCAUCGCACCAAAUGCGAUAUUAAUUAAUUUCGAGAAAUGACAGUCUGAUUUUUGCAACUGUCUUUUGCAGGCAAAACAAAGACGUUUGCAAGGGUGAGUUGUGUAGGAGCUUUGUUUCAUGUCCAAAUGACACUUGAGAAUAAAUGUUUACACUCAUGGAUAAUAUCUAUCUAUUUGCAGGAGCAACCCUGGGUUCAUUUGUUCUGUAACUGCUGGUCAUUGCGGCAUAUCACGCCUAUAGCACUGACAAAAGUAAAAAGAGAAUCGAAUGAAAUUUGAUAAGUUUUCAGCGGACUACAAAGAUCUUAAGCCAAGCAUAUAUUCCCAUGCAGAUAUUAAGAGGUUUACAAAUCAAUUCAAGUACAAGUUGGGCCAAGGAGCAUACGGAACUGUUUUUAAACGAAAGUUUUUUUCUGAAUGCUUUGUUGCCAUGAAAGUACUUAACAUUUCCAAGGGUGACGGGGAAGAGCUUGUAAAUGAAGUGGGAACAAUGGGCCAUAUUCACCAUGUCAAUGUGGUUCACUUGGUUGGUUUUUGUGCUGAUGGAUUUAGAUGAGCUCUGGUUUAUGAGUUCUUUCCCUUUGGUUCACUCCAGGAUUAUAUUUCAUCAGCAGAUAGAUUUCUUUCCUUGGUUGGCAUAAGUUGCAAGAUCUUGCUAUCAGCAUAGCCAAAGGAACUAGGAAUGUGAUCUACAAAUCCUCCAUUUCGAUAUCAAACCCCAUAAUGUUUUGCUCGACCAAAAAAUCACGCCAAAAAUCUCUGAUUUUGGUCUGGCCAAGUUAUGCCAAACAAUUACAGACAACAGUUAUUCACUAAAUCACUUUAAGGCAAGAAUUUAAUUAAUAAUACAUUACUGCACUUUCUUAACCAUUUGACUAUCACCUAGCUGACAAUGAACACGUUAGCUCCGCGUUAGAACAUCUUGGGUUCAAUUCAUUGUCUUGAAUAUCACCCAUUGUCACAGGCGUCUGUUGGGGGCAUAGAGAAGGCCUGAGAGGCAUUUGCAGACAUUCAACAUCUCCUCCAAGCAUUUUGACAACUUUGGACAUCGAAGGGCGAUCAUUUGGUUUCAUUUGAAUACACCACAAGGCGGUUAUAACCAUCUUUCUUAUUACUUUCUUUUCCUCCUCUGUAACAUUGUCCAUUUCCAGGUCAUUUCCCACAAUAUAUUGAUCGUAUACCCACAUUGGGAAGUAGAUUUGGCUUGAAUGCUCUACCGUUGGAUUCAAAUUCUUCCUUCUGCUUGCCAUUUCCAUCAACAACAUUCCAAAACUAUAGACAUCUGACUUGUAUGAGACGCAUCCAAUAUUUUUGUAGAACAACUCAGGAGCAAUAUAUCCCAGUGUACCCCGUGCUGCCGUCAAAGAGACAAUGCUAUUAUCUACAGGAUACAAUUUUGCAAGCCCAAAGUCAGAAACCUUUGCUUUAAAGUUCUCAUCAAGAAGGAUGUUAUGAGGCUUGAUGUCGAAAUGUAGAAUUUGCAUUUCACAACCUUGGUGUAGAUAUUCGAUCCCUUGAGCCACUCCAAGAGAAAUCUCGUACAUGUUCUUGAUAGUUAAGGGGACACUUCCUUCUUUGGAAUAAAUGUAUUUAUCAAGAGAACCAUUAGGCAUGAAGUCAUAUACUAGAGCGCGUUUUGAUCCCUCAACACAGUAUCCAACAAGUUGUACCACAUUGGCAUGGUGAAUCCUUCCGAUUGUAGCUAUUUCGCUAAUGAAAUCUUGGCCAUCAGCUUUGGGCUUGCCCAAAACUUUAACUGCUACAAAUCGACCACUGCGUAGCUUUCCCUUAAAUACAGAGCCAAAGCCACCUUCGCCCAACUUGUCCUUAAACCUGCGAGUCAUUUUCUUGACGUCCGAGUAAGAGUACCUUAUAAGCAUGAUGUUGUUAUUGCAUUGCAGAAAAUCUUCUAUUGUGCUAUACAUUGAUAAAUGUCUUCUGCGCCAUGUGUAGAUUAGAAAUGCAGUCACAACUGGAACUCCAAAAACAAAUCUGGCUAGGAAAAAUAACCCUGCAUGCAUGGACAAUAAUAUGUUAGAUCCACUGUGUACUACUUUUUCUUCCCUUUCUUUCCAAAUUACUUUAUCUUUGAUGUAAUUAAAGAGAGAGAAUGGGAAAUCUACAUAUGUUGAUAAUAUAAUCUCGUCUUAGUCCUUACCGAUCCAUAUGAGUAUAAACCAUCCAAGUGCUGCAAAAAAAUCAAUCGACUAUGAGUUUGAAAAGUGCAUAAAGUGAAAAAAAAAAAAAAAAAAAAAAAAAUCAAAGGGUGCCUUUAUUGACACCCAAAUUUUAGUUAGUUUUACUCAACUAAAAAAUUUUUGUCAUCAAACUUUUUAAUUUGCCGUCGAAAUUGAGUUCACCCAACCACAAAGCAGCAACUACCACUCACAAAAAAACCAACAACACACAGCCACCAGUACCAUUCACCAAUAGAAAGAGAAGGAACACACAGACCCACCAAGGAGCCGGCAUCGACGCAUCUACGAGGGAGGGACCGGAGGGUGGUGUAGUUUUGUUGGGCGCGCGGUGGUUGUUUUGUUUGUUCAUUUUCUCUUUCUUUUGGUAGGUGGAGGCUGGUGUGGAUUUGGGCGAACUUAAAAAUGAGGGGAAACUAUGAAGUUUGACAAAAUGUUUUAGUUAGGGGAACUUAACUAAAAUUUGGGUGCCGAUAAAGAUACCCAAUUUCAAAAAUACUUGAGCUUAUAGACUAAUUAAAUGAAGUUGAUCUUACAGAUCUCGUGGCUGUAUGAUGAAUGCCACUUGCCAGCUGCAAUAGAUACCACGGAAAAGUGAAUAAAGACAUACAGUUACUAGGUUUAAGAAGUACAGAUAGAGCACACAAAAAAUAAAAGAAGCUUUUGGGAAGAAACUUCUUACGCCAAUAGUUGUGUUCUUGACCUACAGUAAAAAAUGUGAAGAAGAAUACACAACAUUAGCAAUAGCUCACCCAGUCUUCGGAAUUUAAAAAAUCAAGUUUGUCUCGAUCGAAAACUUGUAAAUAAAACAAAAAGAGGACCCCUUACGGAUUUGGUGCCAUAGAUAUUGAAAGAAACCUACAAAAACAAAGAAAGAACAAGACCACAUGCAUUAGCAUAACAAGUGUGAGGUGUAUAAGCCGUUAGAAAAUAAAUUUAAAAUUCUAGUGCUGUCAAUACAUUGAUAAUAUAUAUAUAUAUAUAUAUAUAUAUAUAUAUAUAUAUAUGUAUUAUUUUUCUGAAAAUUUAACUUUCUCCCUCCAAACUCAUUUUUCUAGUCUCUAGCCCAUCAUAUAAUAUUUAUCAGAAUAAAACCAAAUGAUUAGGAUCCAACUAAGAAACUUACCAAAUUAAGUUUGUGUGUCCAUUUUUAUAUUUUUUGGAUCCCUAAUAUACCCCAUCUAAGCCAGUAUGGAAAGUUCUUGUAAUUUUGCUUUAAGUGAUCACGUGCAUUGAAUUUGGCAAGGUCUUGUAGCCAUGAAAUAUGGUUCCAGAUGGAGGAAUGAAUUUGGAUUUUUUUUUAAUUUCGGCAACAAAUUUCAAUUUGAAUAUACCUAAUUUAGUGUUUAUUUUCAACAAUAUCUAUUGUUUAAUUUUAUGAAAAUAAUUAACCUAAUAUGAAAAUUAAUUUUAUGAAAACAAUAUCUAUUGUUUAAUUUUAUACCUACAGGAUAAUUACAUGAAAAUAGUUUACCUACUAUGAAAAUUAAUUUUUUGAAAGCAAUAUCUAUUGUUUAAUUUUAUGAAGAUAAUUUACCUACUAUAAUUACAUGAAAAAAUUUACCUACUAUGAAAAUUAAUUUUUUGAAAACAAUAUUAUUGUUUAAUUUUAUGAAAAUAAUUUACCUACUGUAUAAUUACAUAAAAAUUAGGGAAAAUUAGAAUCCCCUACAGUUUUUAUAUAUCAUUUAGAUUAAACAUUUGUACUUUUUUAAAAUUUGAUUAAAGUGCUUUGACCAAUAGUUACCUCUAUUUUUUUAAAUUAAAAUAAUUUUUGAAUUUAUCCUUUUAUCUGCACAAUGCACUUUUCCUUAUUUAGUGGAGAUAUUAGUAAUGAAACUAUAUUUUCCCUUCUUCCAAAUAUGUUUUUUCGAUCACAGUUUUUUUUUUUUUGGGUAUGCAAACAUUUGAUAUUAUUUUUUUUCCAAAUGGUUUUUUCUUUUUCAAAUAGUUGGUGAUCAACAUAUAAGCUCUGUGUAUUUUUUUCAAUGUUUUUGUGAAAUUAUAUUUUUUUUGCUGUUUUUUAAGUAUAGUUGUUGACGAAUUAUUAUUAGGUACAAUACAUUACGUAUAUAUUAUCUGCGGGUACGUUUGAAUUUACUAAAAUCAUUAAUUGGUACGUUUGAUUUGAUACAUAUUGUUAAUAUUGGUACAUUAUUUUUAUUUUGGUACGUUUUAUUUUGAACACAUUUUGUAUUGGUACGUUUAUAGUAUUCUCAAUCCUAUUUUCUCUUAACGUACUAAAAGAAAAACUCAUUUUGGUACGUUUGAUUUUGGGGGAUUUAAAAAUAUUUUAAACUAUUUUGGAAAAAAAAAAAUCUUAAAUCGUAGAUAAUUAUUGCUAAAUUGUAGCAUUAUUGUGAAAAUAAAUUGAAUCUAACCAACUUUUUUUUUUACAAUUAUCUCUAAUGGAGGAGAGUGUAAUCAAAAGGCUAGAUUAUAGGAAAUUUGUUACAAUAUAAUGGGCAUAUAGCACCAAAAUUAUGAUAAAAAAAAGUUUAAUCAAAUCAUUAAAAGGCAUGGAUGUUUGAUCUAGAAAAUUCAAAACUGAGGCGUCUAUAUCAAAAGAUCCCUAAAAAUUAAUGUGCCUACUUUUUAAAUUUGUAACAAAAUUAAUUUACCUACUUUUUAUGGUAUUAGUAUACAUAAAUGUAGAAUAUAUGUCCGUAUAUAUUUGAUCUAAUUAGGUUUUGGAUUGGAGGAGUUGACACAAAAUUAUAAAUAUAUUAAACAAAUUUAUCUAUUCUAAAGUUGGAGGGGAAUUGGUCUGUACAUUGCUACAGUAAACAAAUGCUACUCAAUUUCACGUUAUUUACAACAAAGCUAUCAGAUUUGGGUUGGGUUGGAGGGUAAUUUGUUAAAAGUUAGGAGGGUAAUUUUGUGCAUAGGGUUUAGGUGCCCUCCUAUACAUGACCCUUGAGUUUACUUUAUUUACACCACUGCCAUCAAAUAUGUGGCUGAAUUGGAGGGUAUUAUUAAAAGUUAAGAGGGUAGUUUUGUUCAAGGGGUGGGGGCGACAUUCGCAGACGGAGGCCGAUGGGAGCCAUGCCCAUUGCACAGAGAGAAAGGGAGUGAUGGGGGAAAUUACAGACAGAAAAGGAAGGGAUGGGAGGAUUUGAUGGAUGGUCACAGAGAGAGAUUCGGUGAGGGAUGUGAGGGGAGAUUACAGAGAGAUAAAUAAAAGGGAGGGAUCGGGGGAUUUGAGGGAUGGUCAGAGAGAGAAAUAGUGAGGGAGGGAGGGAUGGGGGGGCUGAUUUUCGGUUCCUCCUUCAGAUUUGUUCCGUAAAACCUGUUGGGUACAAUUCAAUUUCCUCCCCCUUUCCCCUGAACGAAAAAUUCGAAACCUACAAUUCAAUUUCCUCCCUCCUUGGCUUUCCGCUUUACUCAUCUCCCGGUGGUUCUUUCUCUCCAUACGAUUCGAUUUCGGUGAGUUCUUCGUUGCCCUCAUGAUUUCCCAGUUUGAUUUUUUGAGCGUCCUUAGUCGUUGUUUUUAUCUGGGUUUACUGCAUUGUUGCUUUUAGUUUCUGGAUUUUUAUUUGUUCCGCGGUUCGAUGAAUCGGUUAAUAAUUUCACACCAUGGGAUUUUCGCAUGGAAUUGAGCGCGGGGAUUCGGGGUGGGGUUUUACUGAUAAUUUGUCUUCAUUCAAAUGAAUGGUUAAAAUUUCUGAAGUGAGUGUGCAGGUGGGCCCGUUCACUAACUAAGCUUUCAAGGGAACCCAUCAGCGGUUUGCUUGCUGGGGGAAUUCGGAGACUACCAGUGUAUGAUUUAGUUAUCAUUUAUUUUUUUACUUAAAUUUAUCCAUAUAUAAUAUGUGGGUAAAUUUACACUAAACAAUUGUGAUAAGCCAAUAUGCCAUACGACUUUGAAAGCAUUGAUUUUGUGUUUAGUUUGCAUUUUUGCAUUGUGAAUGUUGAAUUUUGUGUUUGAAUUUGUAGCAUGAUCUUCCGCUGCAGCAUCCAAAUUUUGCAUUUGUAAAUUGUCAAAGAAAAACGAAGUAUGAGGAAAUUAUAGGAGAUUGUGUCGGCUUUGGCCAUGAAGGGUAUCAGCAGCUUGUUCCCCCAUACAGGUGAUUAAUCGUUUUUCAGUCUGUGUUCUAUUUGGAUGAGAAAGUGAUUGAAAAUAUGAUUUUUUUAUUUGUUGGUUGAUUUUGUAUGGACGAUGUAUUAAUUUUAUUUUUUUUGGGAUUUUGUGUAUUGGGCAUUGUGUAGAACCAGCAAUGCAAGAGCAGGAUCUGAUCAGUCAUGCCUGAAAAGGGGUUUGUUUCUCAAAUCACAUUAAUUAAUUAGAUUAUUAACGUGCGUUGGAAGGCUCUUCAAUAUGAUUUCUAAUUUCUCCUUUCCAGCAUUCUCUUUUUGGUUUUUGGAGUAUGUAUGUGAUUUGUAUUUUUUUAUAGAAUAAAAAUUAAUAAAACACGAGAUGCAGCAAUUAAUUUGCAUCCUUAUGACAACACAUAUGAAAGUGCAUUCAAUUUCAAUGUGCGAAUGUGUGACAGGAUGUGCCUGCCCGCUGCUGCUGGUAUGCUUGCUGUUGUUUCUCGCGUUGUUAAUUUUUUGUGUGUGUUGAUUUGAUUAACAACUCAAGCGUAUCUUUUUUUUUUGUGUUGGUUAGCAGCCAGUUUUAUGGCCCCGAUCUAGUGAUGCUUCUCAGUGACUGUGGUAAUUGCAGUUCAUUGCCACCAGUUGGUCAGCUACCUGCUCUGAAAGAGCUAUACGUAGAAGGGAUGAAAGUUGUUAAGAGUGUUGGUGUUGAGUUGUACGGGGGAAAUCAACCAUUUCAAUGUUUAGAGAAGCUAAAGUUUCGGGAGCUAUAGCAGCCUAGUCCAAGUGGAUGUGAAAGUCCAGACUUUCCUCAUCUUAAGGAGCUGGGGUUAUACGAAUGUCCGAAGCUGAGAGGAAACUUGCCCACUCAUCUUCCCUCCUUGAAAACACUUCAUGUGAACAAGUGUGAGGUUCUACAUAAAAACAGGGCCAGUAAUACCCUGAACGUGGAAUCCUUACGAGGAUCUCUUGAAAAACUGACAAUAAAUGGAUGCCCGGGUCUCUCAUUGUUACUAGAGUCGACGGAGACGCUGCCGUCGCUUCAGAAGCUUGAUAUUGAUAAUGUGGUGGGAAAGAGUUGUUGGCGCAAAUGGUGCACAACAGCAAUCGUCUUCAAAGUUUGACUUUAUAUAAAUGUUCCUCACCCUUGUCGUUCCUUACAAAUGGUCUGCCCACCACGCUGACAUCACUGAGCAUAACAGAUUGCAAGAAAUUAGAAUUCCCAUCACGUGAGAUGAUGGCCAAAUUGACUUCCCUUCAGUCUUUGCGUCUAUCCAACAGCUGUGAACGCAAAGGCUUGAGUAUUUGCAGUUUAGUUUUUUUUUUCUUCAUUUUAGAGAUUUUUCUACUGUUUGGUUUUUGGGUUUUGUCUAAUUUUUGUGGUCUGCUUUAUAGAUUGUUCUCUUUGGAAGCUUCUUUCCAGCCUUGACCUUCUUCUUGCCUGGUGCCUUCUCAUUGAGUAUUGGAGGAGCAUUAAAACACAGGUGUGUGUGUUUUGUCGACAUAAGAGAUGAAUGACAUAAAAACAUCCGUCUCUGUAUUUUUUUGUGCUUUUUCUAACCCAUCAAUUUCUUUUGAGUCAACCAAAUAGUCCCAAAUUGCAACUUAUGUUGUGAGGUAUUAUUGUCUAAAAUUAAGUAUGCAUGUAUAUUUUAUGUUUGUGCCCGCGCACACAUCCGCAUGGUGUUAAUCUCUGUGGGUCAUCUAUGUAUAUGUAGAUAUAUCUAUAUGUGUGUGUGGAAUGCAACAUAUCGGAUUUAGGUUAUACUGUGCAUAGUUUUAUUGCCUGUUAUUAUCUACGAUAUCACUAUGCCAUUUCUAUGCAGGCUCUGAAAGUUAUUCAUGAGCUUUAUAAGCACUUACCAUAAUUUAAGCAGUCUGUUUUGGGUUCUUUUUCAUUAGGUCAUUAGCUACAGAUUAAUGGAGAAACGAGGACCAUGCCACUGAUUUGGGUUCUUUUUCUAAUUUUCUGAUUUUGGGGUUUUGCAGGGAGAACUCCGCCUAUGUACUUACAUUGCCGAUCCCAAGCUCGGAUAAAGGAGGAGGGGGAGGGCGUCAGGUAGUCGACAGUCGGCACUCCAUGAUCACGUCGAAUCCUUAUGAAAAUGAAUUCAGAAUAAAAUUGCGCUAAAGCUAGGGCGUCACCCGUAAGUGGCGCGCUGUGUGGCCCGAGCACAGUGAUAAGUGAGCAAGGGUCGCUGUAUCUCCAUCGGCACCCGGAUGCAGUGUUAAAUGAGCAAGGGGGGCAUAGGAACUUCUUUUCGAACGACUCCACUCAAAGUUGUUUGGGAGCAUAUGCUCCUAUCAACUUUACACGGGACACACAAAAGAAGUACUUUGAUCCUAUUAGACGGGGGAGGGUGAAGAAGCUAGGACAGAAGGGUAGAGUUCAAGAAAGCAAAAUGCGUUUAGGAACGUGGAAUAUAGGAACCUUAACGGGAAAAUCUAUGGAAGUAGUGGAAGUUAUGGUGAGGAGAAGGAUAAAUAUUAUGUGCCUACAAGAAACUAAGUGGGUUGGUAGUAAGGCAAUUGAUCUAGAAAACUCAGGGUUUAAACUUUGGUAUUCGGGCACAAAUAGAACGAGAAACGGUGUUGGCAUCAUCGUGGACAAGACCUUGACACAAGAUGUUGUAGAUGUCAAGAGGGUAGGAGAUAGAAUCAUGGCAAUCAAGAUUGUAAUAGGACAAGAACUUAUCAAUGUGGUUAGUGCGUACGCACCUCAAGUAGGGUUGGAUACGAGUUCGAAGGAGAAAUUUUGGGAAGACCUUGGAGACUUGGUGUAAGGAAUUGCUCAGACGGAGAAGUUAUUUAUAGGAGGAGAUUUAAAUGGACACGUGGGCAGAGAGACAGGCAACUAUGGAGGUUUUCAUGGUGGCCAUGGUUUUGGGGAGAGAAAUGAGGAUGGGGAAGCUAUCUUGGAUUUUGCAAUGGCAUAUGAUCUCUUUUUAGCCAACACCUUCUUUAAGAAGAAAGAAGAACAUGUGAUCACCUACAAGAGUGGGUUGUCAAAAACACAAAUAGAUUUUCUUCUAAUGAGAAACGAGGAUGGGGAAGCUAUCUUGGAUUUUGCAAUGGCAUAUGAUCUCUUCUUAGCCAACACAUUCUUUAAGAAGAGAGAAGAACAUGUGAUCACCUACAAGAGUGGGUCGUCAAAAACACAAAUAGAUUUUCUUCUAAUGAGGAAAGGGGAUCGUAUAACUUGUAAGGAUUGCAAAGUUAUACCAGGAGAGAGCGUGGCUAAUCAACAUCGCUUGUUGGUGAUUGAUGUACAUAUCAAAAGAGUGAGACAAAAGAACAAGACUUGGAAGUGCCCAAGGACUAGAUGGUGGAAUCUAAAAGAAGAAAAACAAGCCAUUUUCAAAGAGAAAGUAAUCAUCCAGUGUGUGGGAUAGAGAUGGGGAAGCUAGCCAAAUGUGGGAUUCAAUGGCUAGUUGUAUCCGAAAAGUAGCAAAAGAGGUAUUAGGAGAGUCAAAAGGCUUUGCCCCACACCAAAAAGAAUCUUAGUGGUGGAAUGAGGAGGUACAAACAAAGGUGAAGGCUAAGAAGGAAUGUUGUAAAGCCUUAUACAAGGAUAGAACUGAUGAAAAUGGUGAAAGGUAUAGAAAAGCGAAGCAAGCUGUGAGAGAAGCUAAGUUAGCGGCUUACGACGAUAUGUAUAAACGACUAGAUACCAAAGAAGGAGAGUUGGAUAUCUAUAAACUAGCUAGAGCAAGGGAAAAGAAGACAAGGGACCUAAACCAAGUGAGGUGCAUCAAGGAUGAGGAUGGAAAUGUUCUUGCUACAGAGAACGCGGUUAAAGACAGAUGGAGAGGUUAUUUUCAUAAUCUUUUCAAUGAAGGACAUGGAAGGAGUGCUUCUUUAGGGGAGUUGAGUAACUCAGAAGAGUGUAGAAACUACUCUUUUUAUCGUCGAAUCCGGAAGGAAGAAGUGAUUGUAGCUUUGAAGAAGAUGAAACAUAGAAAAGCAAUAGGCCCAGACGAUGUACCAAUCGAAGUGUGGAAAGUUUUGGGAGAGACAUGUAUAACAUGGCUCACUGACCUUUUCAAUAGGAUUUUGAAAACGAAGAAGAUGCCAAAUGAGUGGCGAACGAGCACUUUGGUGCCUAUCUACAAGAAUAAGGGCGACGUACAAAAUUGCAUGAACUAUAGGGGUAUUAAGCUAAUGAGUCAUACAAUGAAGCUCUGGGAGAGAGUCAUUGAGCAUAGAUUGAGGCAAGAGACACGGGUUUCGGACAACCAAUUUGGGUUCAUGCCAAGGCGCUUAACCAUGGAGGCAAUCUAUCUCUUACGAAGAUUGGUGGAAAGAUAUAGAGAUGGGAAAAAGGAUUUACACAUGGUUUUUAUAGAUUUGGAGAAAUUCGUAUGAUAGGGUCCCAAUAGACAUUCUUUGGAGGAUUUUAGAGAAGAAAGGAGUACGAGUAGCAUAUAUCCAAGCUAUAAAUGAUAUGUAUGAAUGAGCAAAGACUGCUGUAAGAACUCAUGAAGGACAAACUGAAAGUUUUCCCAUAACUGUAGGAUUACACCAAGGCUCAUCCUUAAGUCCCUACCUUUUUGCGUUGGUAAUGGAUGAGUUAACAAGACAUAUUCAAGAUGAUAUUCCUUGGUGUAUGCUUUUCGCAGACGAUAUAGUGUUGAUAGAUGAAACACAGGAAUGGGUAAAUGCAAAGCUUAACCUUUGGAGAGAAGUGUUGGAAUCUAAAGGUCUUCGCCUAAGCCGAUCAAAGACAAAAUAUAUGGAGUGCAAGUUCAGUGCAAAUGGAGGCCAAAACGAGUUAGGGGUGAGGAUCGGAGAUCAAGAAAUACCAAAGAGCGACCGUUUUCGUUACCUAGGAUCUAUCUUGCAAAAGAACGGAGAAUUAGAUGGAGAUCUCAACCAUAGAAUACAAGCUGGAUGGAUGAAGUGGAAGAGUGCAUCCGGCGUGUUGUGUGACCGCCGUAUGCCACUGAAGCUCAAGGGAAAAUUUUAUAGGACGGCAAUAAGGCCGGCGAUGCUGUAUGGCACAUAAUGUUGGGCGGUGAAGCAUCAACACGUACACAAAAUGGGUGUAGCGGAGAUGAAGAUGCUUCGUUGGAUGUGUGGGCACACGAGAAAGGAUAAGAUUAGGAAUGAGGAUAUCCGGGGUAAAGUAGGAGUAGCCGAAAUUGUAGGAAAGAUGAGAGAAAAUCGGUGACGGUGGUUUGGACAUGUGCCAAGAAGGCCUACUGACGCUCCGAUUAGAAGAUGUGACUACUGGACAGAGGUUCAGGGCCGAAGGGGUAGAGGAAGACCUAGAAAAACUUUGGAAGAGACUCUAAGAAAGACUUAGAGUACCUGGAUCUAACGAAGGACAUGACACAGGACCGAGCAUAAUGGCGUUCUAAGAUUCAUAUAGCCGAUCCCACUCAGUGACUUGGAUUUUCCAAGUCUCCAGCCGAGAAGUUUUCCUCACUCAGGAAAUUAAGGGAACACUACCCCAACCUACAUGCUCCACUCACAAAGCUUCAACAAAAGAAAAUUCAAAGAACUUAGCGAAGAAGGCUUUGAUGUAUUUAACACAAUACGUUGAAAUGAAGGAAAGCUUAUUUAUUGAUAUCAUCGAUAAGCUACAAAUAUGUACAUAUACAUAAGUCAAAAUAAACAAACAAGAGGGAGCCUUCACAAAGGUUGCUUAGGAGAAGUCUCAGCAGUCGGUAGAGCCCCAGAAAGAGAAGGCACCGGAGGGGGAUCAUUCGGAGCCUCAGUACUGGACAGAACCCUAGAAGGAGGAGGCAUAAGAGGUUGAUCAUUUGGUGCUUCAUUACGCGGUACAGCCCCAGAAGACGAAGGCAAUAAAUGCCUUUGGAACAAACCCACAAAUCUCUGAUGAUCAAGUAAAACCUGACCAUCAGAUUCCUUCAUCUGGUCAAGCUUCCUCUUCAUGUUUGUAGCAUAGUCAUGUGCGAGCCGGUGCAACUGUUUAUUCUCAUGCUUGAGCCCUCUAAUCUCCUGUUUGAGACUCAUCACUUCAGCCGCCAAUGAUUCAACUUGGCGGGUUCGAGCAAAUAGGUGUUGGGCCAUAUUAGACACAGAACCUGCACACUGAACACUGAGAGCCAGAGAAUCCUUAACAGCUAACUCAUCAGACCGUUUGGAAAGUAGUCUGUUAUCUUUGGGAGUGAGAAGGUUCCUGGCCACCACCGCAGCGGUCAUAUCAUUCUUCAUCACGGAAUCCCCAACGGUAAGAGGACCAGUAGGGGAGACGAAGGAUGGGCGCCAUAUGUUGUCUGGAGAAGGCGGGGCUUCCUCUUCAACAAGGUUCAAGUCAAAACGACGGUCGGAGGGGCCAGACAUUUUCAAAUGUGUUGAAGAGAGAAGAGGUCGGACAAAUCAAGAUCUUAGAAGUGUAAGAAUGGAGCUUCUACUGGUGGAGAUUCAAGUGUGCUUUGGAACUUAAUGUCAGCCCCUAUAAAAAUCUGCACUCAACGGAGCUUCAGAAAUCGAAGAGGCGCCUGCUCAGAAAUCGAAGAGGCGUUUGCUUUCUCAAAAGCAAGGCUGCUCAGAUACCACGAGGGUCGAUCUCAGAAAUCGAAGAGGCGUUUGCUUUCUCAAAAGCUGGGCAGCGCAAAGACCACGAAGGCCGAUCUCAGAAAUCGAAGAGGCGCUCAAAAGUUGGGCUGCUCAGAGACCACGAGGGCCGAUCUCAGAAAUCGAAGAGGCACCUACUUUUCCAGCCUUGUCAGUACCUGUCACACACACACUCAGCUUUGCGAAAAUUAUGGGGAUUCGGUCGAAGACUUCUGGUGAAGUAGAAAGCACAUGAGUCUUACUGUUCAAUCACCCACUUCCCACACGCAACAGUAGCUCAUGGGUACCACAUAUAACUUUUCCAAAGUUCUCUGCCAAAGUUGAACACGUGAAGUUUGCAGCUCCCACUACAUCGCUCUGAUCAAGAAGGGUAAAAGAAUAGCAAAGAAACAACACUAACAAAGUUUAGACACAUAAAUUUUGAUGGUCGAGCUACCAUAUUAUUACCCACAAGGGUAAAGGAACAGUACCACUGCUGGAUAAUUGGAAAGUCCCUGUGUGUCAACCUCUGUGCUUCGUGGCAAGGUAGACUAUCAAACAUGCCCAACCUUUACUCACAUUCGAGAAAACACUCCCAACAAGAUUGCUUGCUCCAAAAUCGAAGAGGCACCGUCCUUCGAAUCUCGAGAGCCAGACUCCCAACAUGACUACUUUCUCAAAAAUCGAAGAGGGUAAAGGAACAGUACCAUUGCUGGAUAAUUUGAAAGUCCCUGUGUGUCAACCUCUGUGCUUCGUGGCAAGGUAGACUAGCAAACAUGCCCAACCUUUACUCACAUUCGAGAAAACACUCCCAACAAGAUUGCUUGCUCCAAAAUCGAAGAAGCAUCGCCCUCCGAAUCUCGAGAGCCACUCCCAACAUGACUACUUUCUCAAAAAUCGAAGAGACAUCGCUCUCCGAAUCUCGAGAGCCAGACCCCCAGCAUGAUUGCUUUCUCAAAAAUCGAAGAGGCACCGUUCUCCGAAUCUCGAGAGCCAGAUCCCCGAUAGGAUUGCUUGUUCGAAAACCGAAGAGGCAACACUUUCCCAAUUUCAAGAGCCGGAUCUCCUUGGAUAAAGCUAUCUGUAAUCUUCACUCGCAACAUUAGCUUUCCAGCUACCACAGACCACUUUUUCAAAGUGAUCUGACAACGUUAAAACAUGUGAAGCUGGCAGCUUCCACUACCGUGCUAUGACCAAGUAGGGUAAAGGAAUAGCAUUACUACUUGUUGUUAAGGAGACUCCUAUAUAUGUCGACCUCCAUCCCCAACGGAUAGGCAGACCUGCAAAAAUGCUCAACUCUUCCUCAUAUCUGAGAGGGCACUCCCAACGAAGCCUUUCGAAAUAUUCAGCUUUCUUUCCCCCCGAUAAUACCUCUGCAAACAAGCUAUACUAGAGCAAGAAUAUCUCAUAUCAUCAGGGUUAAAAGCAAGAGUAUCCCAUAUCAUGCUUUUUCCUUGUCUUUUUCUUUGGCCUUGUUCUUACCUGCAAGACAAGAAGAAAGAGAGCAAUCAGUCAGUACUUGGAAUCAAGCUUCCAGCCAGGAACUGACUGCCUGGAACCCCUUACCUGAUUACUUACCUGACAUUGUUCUCGAGUACUCAUCUUCAACAUCUUAUGCUUCCAGGGAAGAUACCGCAUCUGCCUGAGGAACAGAUAGGGCAAGGGAGAAGGAUAUAAGGAAGCAUGUGGAGACAAGCGUAACAGCACACGUGCCGAUACAUCCAUUACUCUGUCAAAGCAAAAGUAUCCCAUAUCAGUAGGGUCGAACGUACUCUAGAUUUGAUGGACUUGUUUUGACCCUCAAAUUCUUCAGUCGGCCUUAUACUCUGGAGGAAACCAGAAAUUUCUCCAGCUCAGUGCAAGAAUAAGCUUGUGGAAAGUUACUUCUUCAAAAGCAAAAGUAUCACAUAUCAUCUCUUCUCAUUUUCUUCUCUUUAUCCUUCAUGCUGCCUGCAAGAUAGGGAGAUUGUGAACAAUCAGCUGGAGCUAUGAUUGCUUACCUUGUCUGUCACCUCUUUCAGCAGAUCCCCUAGCUCGGCGAUUUGGGGGACUCCUACUACAUGGUUUGUAUCGCGCUUGACCAAGCCUGAAACUACAAGUAAGCUUCAAGUGAAAUUGAUACAUUACCUUGUGCAUCUCCACCAGUUAAAGAUACUACCCCUGGAUGGAGGAAGAGUACUUCCAGAGAAGAUGCCCCAUCUACCUAUGAGACAGAUAAGGCACGUCAAGACGAUACCACACUCUGAUACUUAGAAGUUUCGUGAUUACGAGAUCAUUCUCCCACAAUAUUUCCUAAUGUCAUUUGUACUAAAUCAUUCACUUGUACUCACUAAAGGAGAGCUUGAACCUAUGUACUUGUGUAAACCCUUCACAAUUAAUGAGAACUCCUCUAUUCCGUGGACGUAGCCAAUCUGGGUGAACCACGUACAUCUUGUGUUUGCUUUCCUAUCUCUAUCCAUUUAUAUACUUAUCCAUACUAAUGACCGGAGCAAUCUAGCGAAGAUCACAAAAAGCGACCGUUUUCGCUACCUAAGAUCUAUCGUGCAAGAGAACGGAGAAUUAGAUGGAGAUCUCAACCAUAGAAUACAAGCUGGAUAGAUGAAGUGUAAGAGUGCAUCCGACGUGUUGUGUGACCGUCAUAGGUCACUGAAGCUCAAGGGAAAAUUUUAUAGGACGACAAUAAGGCCAGCGAUGUUGUAUGGCACAGAAUGUUGGGCGGUGAAGCAUCAAUACGUACACAAAAAUGGGUGUGGCGGAGAUGAGGAUGCUUCGUGGGAUGUGUGGGCACACGAGAAAGGAUAAGAUUGGGAAUGAGUAUAUCCGAGGUAAAGUAGGAGUAGCCGAAAUUGAAGGAAAGAUGAGAGAAAAUCGGUUCCGGUGAUUUGGACAUGUGCAAAGAAGGCCUACUGACGCUCCGGUUCGAAGAUGUGACUACUGGACAGAGGUUCAGGGCCGAAGGGGUAGAGGAAGACUUAGAAAACCUUUGGAAGAGACUCUAAGAAAAGACUUAGAGUACUUGGAUCUAAUGGAGGACAUGACACAAAACCGAGCGCAAUGACGUUCUAGGAUUCAUAUAGCCGACCCCACUUAGUGGGAAAAGGCUUUGUUGUUGUUGUUGUUGUUGUUGGGGUUUUGCAGGGAGUACUAAUGUACUGAUUUUCUGGGAUUUUUUUUGUCCUUGCAGGAUUUUUGGUCUUUGAAAUGGGUAUGUGUUGUUUUUAAUGUUUCAGUUCUAGCGUUUUCCGUUCUUCGUUGCUUCGUGAUUCUCAUUUUUCAGUGUUGGGUGAUGGAAAUUUGUUAAAGUAGUUGGUAGUUUUUUGAGAAAGUUGGCAUUUUUAGUUAUAUUUUCUGUUUAAUCCUAAAUGUUUUGAAAACUCAUAAUUUUUUUGUUCUGGGAUUUAAAAGCAUCUUUUCCAGAUUGGUUACAAGGGUUAUGUUCUCUUCAAUUGGUUCACCUAAUUUUGAUUAGUUUUAAGUUUUGUCCUUUAAGUUUGUCUUUUAAGUUUUGUUCUUUAAGUUUUGUCUUUUAAGUUUUGUUCUCUAAGUUUUGUCUUUUAAGUUUUGUCUUCUGUGCUGUAAUGAGAGAUUUCCGUUGGCCUUUCGGAUUUUGGCAUGGGAAAGUUCACUUAUUUGCAAGGUUCUAAAAAACGCUAGGCGUUAGUUGGGCGGUGGGCUAGCGCCUAGCGGCUAGGCGGCUAGGCGGGAUCUAGGCGGGAUCUAGGCGGGCGCCUAGGCGGCCUAGGCGGAUUUAGGUAAAUUUCUUAUAUAUUUUAUGAAUUAAUUAAAUUUACUAUAUCAAAUGUAAAUAAUUAUUAACUAAUAUGUUAUUUCUUAUAGAAGAACAUACAUAGUGAAUGUUUUAUGUACAUAUAUAAUAUAUUUGUCUAGGAAAAAAAAAUAUUAUCUAAAUAAUUUUUAUAACAUAUAUAUAUAUAUAUAUAUAUAUAUAUAUAUAUCCCAAACUUUUAAAAAUAUAAAUAGCAUUGGGAGAGGGGCGUAGGGUUUCUAAAAGCACACUCAGAAAUAGAGCAUAUUUUAGUCUUUAUUUUAGAAUCCUAAGGAGCACCCUACUCGGAUGCACGACAUGUGUGCAAAUCUGGAGAUUCUUGCUGUAUCGGAUACACCAAUGCUUAGUCAAAAUUUCCUGCUAGGGUUUAUGGUGGACAUGUGUGUGUGGUCUUCAUUAUUAAACCCAUUAGCACCUCACCUUUUCACAUCACCCGUCCAUCACCUUGGGUGGUUUUGAUAAUUAAAACCAUCAACAUCCAUGGUUUUGAUAAUUAGAACUACCAACUUUUCCUUGGAUUUGAGAAUCUGAGAUCCCAUUCAUCGCCAUCAAAUAUUGAAAUGUUUCAUUGUUCAUCUCUUUCUCCCUCUUCUCACUCUCUAUUCCCUCAUCUUCACAGAGAUGAGUUACAGAAAUUCUCCGGUAAUCUCUCUCUCUCUCUCUUCGUAAUCGACGAGCUCCUCGACUUGAAGUCGCAGCCAAGUUAUGAAGAAUCGAGAUGCGAGAGCAAGUGGAGAGUGGAGACUCUGGAAAUUGGGAGUGACGAUCGACGACGAUGAGUCGAUGACCCAGGAAACCUCUUGAAGUUGCAGCAGGUGAGUGCACUGCAGUUGAGGAAGAAGAGACGAAGAGACUUAGUUUCUGAAAUUAGGGUAGCUGCAAGGCACGGGAACUUAAAAACAAAAAAACAAAAAGAAAACCGCCUAGCUCCGCCAGCCGCCUAGCCUGCCUAGGCGCCUCCUAGCCCGCCUAGGUGCCGCUUAGCCACCGCCUAGAGCCCAGCCGUUUUUUCCCACCGUUUUGCACAAAAACGCCUUGGCCACCCUCCGCCUAGCGCCUAGGCGGCCGCCUAGGCCGUUUUUUAGAACACUGCUUAUUUGUCUAAUUAGAUUGUGGAUGCCUUCGAUUCUUUAUUUAAUUGUUCUGUUUGCGUUCGGGUGUGAUGAUCUAAAUUUCAUAUGUUUGGAAUUAUUUACUUAACACCAAUUUGUUACAUUCAGAUCUCCACCCCACAUUUCACUAGUUCAAAUUCCAUAGAAGUUGGUUAUUGCAGAUUGCGUCUACAAUUAGAUCAGAGAUCAACUACUCUUUUGUUAUCCUGCAGAAGAUUGCUUUUGGGAAGGAUCUGAAGUAGUUUCUCUCUGUAUGUUUAUUCCCAUGUAGCUCUGUCUUUUCUAAUUGAUGGUGUUGAUAUUACACUGUAAUUCAUGAUGAUGAUUUAAUUGUUUAUUGAUUUGUAAUUGUUUGUGAAUAAUGUGGCAUAUAUGAAUUGCAAUCUGUGUUUGUAUGAAAGGGAUGGCAUAUUAUGUUGCUGACUUAAUUGUUUAUGUUUUUCAUAUUUGCGAAUGGUGUUAUGAUCAAUUAGGUGAUUGCUGACCUGUGACUUUGUUUGGAGCUCAAAUUUUGUGAGCAUUACAUUGGAUUGUUUUGAUGUUGUUUUGGUUGACAAUGCAGGGAUAGGAGAAACAAAGAGGAUGACACUUAUAACUGCCAUUCCCCAUCGGCCGUCUUCAAAUUUGGAUCACAAGAAGGGAGCAACAUAGGUGUUUUCCUUCUUUAUUUAGAUAUGGUUAGUGUAAAUAAUUGGACAAAAGAGCCAAACAAACCCUGUUCUCUCAAAUGGAGUUGAUGAUGUGGUCGACGGCCACCAGCCCCAACUCAAGAGUUUGGCCUUCAUAUAAUUGGAUUGUAGUAUAAUUUUAUUUUUGUUCAUUUCUUUUUUCCUUUAUAUAAGUGCAGGUGUUGUGAUGUUUUGAAUAAAGGGUGAUGAAAGGUGGUUCACACUUCCUCCUUACUUAAAGCAAGUGGAGAUGACGGUUUGUAUAAAAAGAAAAACUUGCCACGUACUUCAAUUUUCUAUUUUAUUAAUUAUUGUUUGGUUUUCCAAAUGUUGUAUUCACAAAGAGAGACCAAUUAUGUCUUUGAGAAACAAGUUUCUUUGUCUACAUUGCGAGAAUUUGCAGUUUGCAACUUUCAUUGGUUAUUAUAUUUGAUUGAGUUAAACUUGGAUUUCUGGAUUCUGACUUUUUCGUUUGUUUCUUUGUUGCAGAGUUGGCUUCAUUUCAUUCCAGGAACUCUCUAAAUAGGGCCAAGAACUCACUAAAUAGGUAGUCAAGAGGAAUUCAGUUUUGCCUUCAAUUUUUGCCUUCUGUUUACAUUCUUCCUGGAUGCACUCUCACCGCUUCUCUCGCUUACCACUUUUUUCUCACUCACCGCUUCAUCUCUUCUGUUGCUUACAAGGUCGUGUCAUAUAUUUUUUAAUUUUGUGGUUUAAUUUAUUGAAUAUUUGAAAAAAGAGAUAAAAUUAUAAGAUACUAUAUAAGAUACUAUAUAGUAUCUUAUAAAUAAAUGAAUCACAAAUGAUACUAUAGUUGUUAAAAAAUCCCAUUACUCAAAACUCCAAUUCCCUCCCAUUACUGAAAGCUCCAAUUCCAUCAAAACCGAGAUGGUAAAAGUACAAACUGGCUAGUUUCCACCAAAAAAAAAAGUACAAACUGGUUACAAAAAUAUGUUUUGUCCCAUCCAAUUGACGAAAAGAGAUAAAAUUUUCAAUUUACAAUUACUGAUAUGAUGUUUGUUUUGAAAAUCAUUAAGGUGAAUGGAGAGAUUUACAACCAUGAAGAGCUGAGGAGCCGUUUGCCAAAUCAGAUUUAUAAGGUCUCAUCAAUUAUGAAUAAACGACUUUUCAUUCCCAAUGACCUUUAUCGUUUUUCUUAAUGGGUUAGCUGAACAUGAGGUAGAUGCUGACUUUAUCAAAUAUGAGAAUGUUUUAGGAUUUCAUUCUAAUUUUUUGGCUGUUUGAUUACUUUGCUUUUCGUAAUUUGUUUUGCUUAUCGUCAAUUGGAUGGGACAAAACAUAUUUUUGUAACCAGUUUGUACUUUUUUUUUUGGUGGAAACUAGCCAGUUUGUACUUUUACCAUCUCGGUUUUGAUGGAAUUGGAGCUUUCAGUAAUGGGAGGGAAUUGGAGUUUUGAGUAAUGGGAUUUUUUAACAACUAUAGUAUCAUUUGUGAUUCAUUUAUUUAUAAGAUACUAUAUAAGAAACUGUUAUUAGCACUCUAAAAAACUCAUUCUACACUCGCGACAAGUGUAUUUUUCUUUUUAAUUAUGGAAAGUUUGAAGGGCAAAAUGAGAAUUUUGGAGUGCCAAUAACAAUUCCCUAUUAUAUAUAGCUCUACUGGGAAGGCUACUGUAUAUGUCUUCAUCCUGUUAAAUUGUAUAUGGCUCUUGAUGUCGGCUGAAUUAAAUCAAAAUGAAAACCAAGCUGAUCUUACCAGCCGAUAUCACUUAUCACUUGCUUAUUUAAAUUAUUUGAAGAUGCGUAUGUGGAUUGGUGAUUUUGUUGGAUUCACUUAGCUCAAAUAUAUGUUAUCUGAGUCGCUACAUUUGAGAAUGUGAUUCUGUUCCUACCACCAUUUUGCCCACUUUUUGUGGAAAUUAUUCAUUCCUGUUGUGAAUAAUACAUUCAUCCCCGGCAACGAAGUGCGGGCACAUUUUAUAGUUUAAAUUAAAUCACACAAUGGGUCAUCAAUAAUGACAAACUCGUCAUUUAUGCGAGUCAAACAUGAGGCCACCUACCUACUAGUUUAGUGGAAUACCACAAAGUGACAUGUUGAUACCUUUAAGUCUCAUAUAAUGGAUUGCAGAAUUAGGAUAUACCUAGACUAAUUUAGUCAGUGCGUGAACCCGAACAAUUAACAAGGGUUUUAUUCUUGCUUGAAUGUUUGUUAUAUGUUCCUAGUUUGACAAGGCAAUUAUAUUUCCGAUUACAAAAGUUAUUAAUUUAGUCGAGAAUUGACGCACCUGAAAUGGUGUGAGGAAAACAUGUAGACACAUCAACCGCAGUCCACUGUCCUGGGCAUCUAUCUUCCCCGAAACGAAGCUCAAAGCCAUACAUGAGGGCAUUGUGUAUGUCUUUAUAAGAGAAGUUGCUGUAGUCUUCAACGUAGCCGGCAGCCAAACUCAUCCACUCUACACUGCAACCCUCAUCCAAAUCCCAUGCUUCCAACCUGCCCCCGACAUAGUCAGCGACCAUGACAUAGCUAUACGUUUUUGGUUGACUCGAAGAAGAAGAAGAAGUAUUAUUCAAGCAUGGAGCAGUGUCCACGUACAGAGAAGAAUUCGAUGGAUUCGAACACUUCAAGUAAUAUAUAGAUAGAGAAUUGAUGUCAUAGGUGGGCCAAUAUGGAGAAUUGAUGUCCUCGGUGGUGGGCGGAAUAUUUUGAGACAUGGAAGAGCAAUUGUUGUUGUCAAGCCCAGGAUCUAGAACUCGGAUUGUAUUGUUAAUGUAGUUGAUUGCCUGGACAUAGUAUUUUCCGGAAGAAGGUACGUCUAGUACAGUAAUGUUGCUCUCACAGUACAGAGUAUACAUUAUGUUGCCACAGUACUUUGGAUCAUCGUUCAGUCGAAAAGGAUGGCUUAUGUAGUGGAUAUGGCCGCAGGAUGAAGUGCAGGACUUGGCACUACUGUUGUCAGCGUUACAAGUUUCACUGCAAAAGCAAAGAAGAAGAAAGGCUAAACUUAAGGUGAAGGACCUGCUUCCACUAAUUUCCAUUGAUCUGAGAGAGAGAGAGAGAGAGAGAGAGAGAGAGAGAGAGGGUACUAUAGCUUGAACACCAAGGAGUUAUAUAAUAUGGGAGGGGUUAAAGCGCUUCGCUUAAAGUUGCAGUAAGCCCGGCAAAUAUCCUAGGGAAAAGUCGGUCAAUGGUGUCCUAUAGAGAAAAGUCGGCCUUGGUGUUUGACACGGUCACUCACUCUCUCUCUCUCUCUCUCUCUCUCUCUCACAUUGACGAGGGACACUGUAAUUAACAAAAAAAUUGUUCUUCAGAGAUAGAUUUUGAAAUUCUUAUUUUAUAUAAAAAAACACCUAAUAUUAAUCAUUCAAAUGAAAUUCCUAAAAUUAAGUAUAAAUAAUACAUAAUAAAAACUGAACACAUACAAUCAACGGUCACGAUCAUGAAAUCCUUCGGAUCCUCAGAAAAAAAUCCGACGAUGAUCUUUUUCUGUGUAAAAUAAUUUGAGGGUAUAAUACUGGAUGUGCGAUUAAACCGAAGAACCCACCCACCUCCAUCUUCUCCGACCAACUUGAACCCAGCCACUACUACAUGUCAUCCCGACAACCCACUCUCAGCUUCCCAAACCGCCAUUUUUCACCCAUUCACCUACCACUGCCAUUAUUCAUUCAAUCAACCCAAAACACGAGAGCCACCCCCAUCUCACCAGUCGAACAGAUGCAGCCACCCACCCAUUUAAUCCCAGUCCAAAAUCAAACCCUCUCCUAAACCCACCCCAGAAUCCAAUAAUUUCAAAAAAUGGCUGAUUAUAUCAUUUCAAGAACCUCACAAUUCCAAAAACUAAAAACCCACUUCAAAGAUGUAAUAUUUUUCUCUCUUCCUCUUUUUGGGUUUUUUUUUCUUUUUUUUUAUCAAUUCUCUUCUGGGUUUUUGUUUACAGUGUAAAAUCAACACUAAUUUACUAAUUUUGCUUUGAUUUCAAACACUAUUGAGGCGUGAUAACCUGUUGCAAGCUCAGCCAUGGCGGCUACUGCGAAAUCUAACGGAAAAACCAUCACAGACUCUGCCAUUUCAUCCAAGGUUCCGACAAUAGCAAAACGAAUAGCUGUCGCAGAUUUCUUCCAACAUCAAUCACUACGCGAAAUUAAUUGUCAAUGAAGACGAUCCCAUUCCCCUUCGAAAUCUGCUGGGGAAAGAGACCUUCUUUCAGAUCUGCUCUGAGACCGGUUUAUGCGAGAGAGUGGUGAGCCUGACGACAGAGAGAAAUAAGGGCAGGAUUGGAAAAUUGGAAAGUUCAUUUAUUGGUUACUGUUUAUCCGUGUUUCUUCGAAAUAAGCUGCUUUUUCCAGCUUUGGGUUUCAGUGUUUUUUAACCCAUAAUUUUGAAAGAAAAAAAACUGAUUUUAAAUGUUUAUCAAACACUUAAAAUGUUCCAAUCUUUUUUCAUACCUACUUUUUAUUAAAAGUUAAGCUAAACAAAAAUCAAGAUUAAGUUUACUACUCUGAAGUUUCUUGCUUUUCAACAUUUCAUACAUUGAAUUUUUCUCAUCCAGUGUCAUAUCUAAGGUGGGAAUUGUGGGACACUUUUAUACAUCCGUUAGAUUUUAUGUGAAUUGCGUGGCACUUUUAUACAUCCGUUAAAUUUUUUGUGAGAACCUUCGCUGACCCACGAUGCGGCAUGCAUGUGGACAUUAAAAAAAUUCAAAAAAUUCAAAAAAUUUUAAAAUUUUAAAAUUUAAAAUUCAAAAAUACUAAAAACCUAAACUUUUCAUAAUAUUGAAAGACUGAAUCUUUUCACAGUCAGCCAAAUUUUCUUCAAAUUUUAAUUAGAUGAAAUAAUGAAUCUUGAACAAAGCAAAACAAAACGUAAUAUUGAGAGAUUCAGUCAUUGAAGUGGACGUGGAUGUUGGGUACUCAAUAGUCCAAGAAUGAAAACUCUCAUAUCAGUUUCUAUCCAAAAUUUUGGAAUUAUGUGUGUUGCAACGAUUGUCCAAAGGAUUAUUCUUCUUUUAUUAAAUUUCCAUGAAAAAUGAGCAUGGAGCACAAAAGUUGAACGAAUGAUUAUUCUUCUUUUAUUAAAUUUCCAUGGAAAAUGAGCAUGGGGCACAAAAGUUGAACGAAUGAAAUUUCAACGAUUUGAAAAGGGAUUGUGAGUUUGACAUGUCAUUUUUCUUCCUCUAAUGCAAUCAUGUUUAUUAAAAGACAAAAAUAAAUAUGACUUUACAUAAGGAGAGAGAAGGAGUAGUUUUCUUUGAAAAAAUCAACCAUUUAUUGAAGAGGAUGUGGAUGUUGAUUGAUGCGUCGUGAAUACGAAAAAAAGGACCUUGAAAGGAGUUGAGACAUUCAUUAAAAGCUAGAAGAAAAAAAAGUUAAAAGUGUUUUAGAAAAAAAGCAAGAAAGCCUCAUUUUCAAAGUUGUGGUCAUUGCACAAUACUUGAUUAGAAGAAAACUCAUAGUAUUGUAUUUACAAUUUCAAGUCUUUAUGGGGAACGAGAGAGCAAGUUUUCCAAUUGGAAUAUGAUAUGAAAUUUCUACAUAACUAUAUAUGACAAUGAAAGAAGUCUAAGUUUCUAAAUGGAAGGGCUUCCAAUUGAUGUGAGUUUGUUGAGAAAUUAGUGAACAACAGAACAAGUUGCUUCUCCUUUGGCCUUCUAACAUGAUAUCACAGAAAACAAGUUGUUACUAAUAAAUGUAUCUGAUUGGUGGACUUAGACGUGCGCGGUACGAUUUUUGAUAACUAGAGAAGAUGGGCAGUGUCAUGACAAAAUUUAUCCAAGUAGACCCAAAGGAAUGACUUAGGAACUUCAUAUGCAGUGGGAUAAAAUCUUAAGCUAAUUUCCUUACCUAUCUUAUAGGCAUUAAGUAAAAUGUAUAUGCAUAUUUCUAGACACACCAAUUUACUUAAUAUUAACUUCUUUCAAAUACCCAUUUGCAGAAACGCAAAGCUCUCUUGCAUGCUUGUUGUAAUGCUUAUGUAGUGCGUAUCCUAUAUCUUAUAUAUAUAUCUUACUUUUUGUGAUCCAUUUUUUCAUCACUAUGCCAAACGAAUAGCAAAACGAAUAGCUGUCGCAGAUUUCUUCCAACAUCAAUCACCACGCGAAAUUAAUUGUCAAUGAAGACGAUCCCAUUCCCCUUCGAAAUCUGCUGGGGGAAAGAGGCCUUCUUUCCGAUCUGCUCUGAGACCGGUUUAUGCGAGAGUGGUGAGCCUGACGACAAAGAGAAAGAAGGGCAGGAUUGGAAAAUUGGAAAGUUUAUUGGUUACUGUUUAUCCGUGUUUCUUCGAAAUAAGCUGCUUUUUCCAGCUUUGGGUUUUCAGUUUUUUUUACCCAUAAUUUUGAAAGAAAAAAAACUGAUUUGAAAUGUUUAUCAAACACUUAAAAUGUUCCAAUCUUUUUUCAUACCUACUUUUUAUUAAAAGUUAAGCUAAACAAAAACCAGGAUUAAGUUUACUACUCUGAAGUUUUUUGCUUUUCAACAUUUCAUACAUUGAAUUUUUCUCAUCCAGUGUCAUAUCUAAGGUGGGAAUUGUGAGACACUUUUAUACAUCUGUUAGAUUUUAUGUGAAUUGUGGGGCACUUUUAUACAUCCGUUAGAUUUUUUGUGAGAACCUUCGCUGACCCACGAUGCGGCAUGCAUGUGGACAUUGAAAAAAUUCAAAAAAAAUCGAAAAUUUUAAAAUUUUAAAAUUUAAAAUUCAAAAAUACUAAAAACCUAAACUUUUCAUAAUAUUGAGAGACUGAAUCUUUUCACAGUCGGCCAAAUUUUCUUCGAAUUUUAAUUAGAUGAAAAUAAUGAAUCUUGAACAAAGCAAAACAAAACGUAAUAUUGAGAGAUUCAGUCAUUGAAGUGGACGUGGAUGUUGGGUACUCAAUAGUCCAAGAAUGAAAACUCUCAUAUCAGUUUCUAUCCAAAAUUUUGGAAUUAUGUGUGUUGUAACGAUUGUCCAAAGGAUUAUUCUUCUUUUAUUAAAUUUCCAUGAAAAAUGAGCAUGGAACACAAAAGUUGAACGAAUGAUUAUUCUUCUUUUAUUAAAUUUCCAUGGAAAAUGAGCAUGGGGCACAAAAGUUGAACGAAUGAAAUUUCAACGAUUUGAAAAGGGAUUGUGAGUUUGACACGUCAUUUUUCUUCCUCUAAUGCAAUCAUGUUUAUUAAAAGACAAAAAUAAAUAUGACUUUACAUAAGGAGAGAGAAAUAGUAGUUUUCUUUGAAAAAAUCAACCAUUUAUUGAAGAGGAUGUGGAUGUUGAUUGAUGCGUCGUGAAUACGAAAAAAAAAGACCUUGAAAAGAGAUGAGACAUUCAUUAAAAGCUAGAAAAAAAAAAGUUAAAAGUGUUUUAGAAAAAAGCAAGAAAGCCUCAUUUUCAAAGUAGUGGUCAUUGCACAAUACUUGAUUAGAAGAAAACUCAUAGUAUUGUAUUUACAAUUUCAAGUCUUUAUGGGGAACGAGAGUGCAAGUUUUCCAAUUGGAAUAUGAUAUGAAAUUUCUACAUAACUAUAUAUGACAAUGAAAGAAGUCUAAGUUUCUAAGUGGUAGGGCUUCCAAUUGAUGUGAGUUUGUUGAGAAAUGAAGAUGAAGAUGAAUAUUGAUGUUGAUGUUAGUGAACAACAGAACAAGUUGCUUCUCCUUUGGCCUUCUAACAUGAUAUCACGGAAAACAAGUUGUUGCUAAUAAAUGUAUCUGAUUGGUGGACUUAGACGUGCACGGUACGAUUUUUGAUAACUAGAAAAGAUGGACAGUGUCAUGACAAAAUUUAUCCAAGUAGACCCAAAGGAAAGACUUAGGAACUUCAUAUGCAGUGGGAUAAAAUCUUAAGCUAAUUUCCUUACCUAUUUUAUAGUAUUAAGUAAAAUGUAUAUGUAUAUUUCUAGAUGCUGACACACCAAUGUACUUACUAUUAACUCCUUUCAAAUACCCAUUCGCAGAAACGCAAAUCUCUCUUGCAUGCUUGUUGUAAUGCUCAUGUAGUGCGUAUCUAAUAUCUUAUGUGUAUAAUUUUUUGUGAUCCAUUUUUUCAUCACUAUGCCAAAAUCCCUUUAGAAUUUGCAAUUUAUCCAUUUGGUUAUGGUAAAAAAAAAAACUCGGAAUUUCAUUUAAACUCGAAAAUCUAGAAUUGGGAAAGCAAUUUUCCCUUGUUCGGCAACUUGUAGCGAUAGCAAAGGCAAAUUGUACCGGAAAAAAGUGGAAAUUGGGGAUGAAGAUCCAAUUUUAAUUUCGUCAAAAUAAGUGUAAUUUCACAAUUCCAACAACGUUGAGAAUCACAAAUGCAUUGUGGGGAAAUCUUGCGACCACCAAACUUUACGAUUAGAGCGCCAAAUUUCAUGAUAAAACGUAAUAAGGGUUUAGGACUGCAUCGUUCGCUCUGUUAACUCUCCAAUCUUCGACGGGAUUUUCAACUCGUGCAUCAUUUUUUGCUUUGUUCUAGGUCAAAGCCUACUCUUUUCUUUCUUGAAUUAUUUUAGCUUUGCGGGUAUACUCUUUAGGCCAAUUGUGAAUUUUGCUAGUUAUUUUUAUUUUCUGAUGGUCAUAUGUUUGUUUUUUUUUUCUUCCAAUUGAGCUGUGUAUUGGUUGGAUCAGUAACUUUUUUUUUGGAUUUUUAUUUUUAUUUUUAUGGAUUUUGGUGUUAGUUCCUUGUUAUAGAUGUAUAGAUGUUGUGGAGCAAAAAAUAAUCUCAAAAAUCGUGGAGGUGACACACGGAUUUUUGGACAAGAAUGACAAAAUUAUCCUCGAAGCACAUCAUGAUUCCCACGUGCAUGCAACGGACAAUAACGGCUCAAUCAUGGAAGAGUCAAAGGUGAUCAAUAUGGUAUUUAUUCAAAUCCCUCUCAUCACUCCUCAUCAAUCCCUUUUUGAUUUUAUUCAAAAGGUAACUCCCAAAACUUCCUAUUUAAUUUAGGGAUCAUUGUCAUGUUAAUUGCAAGAUAUUAUUUCACAAAAUAUCUUGUAAUUAUUCUUCAAUUACCACCAUGUAUGGCCGGCCACUCCUCACCCUAUGGGCCGGUCACUCCUCACCCUAUGGGUCGGCCACUCCCUAUAAAUAGCCCUAUUAUUCCACUAAUAAGGAAGCCAUUUGCUACCCACAAACUCCUAAACACAUUCUUUCAGAAUUCUAACUUUGGCAUUGGAGAUUCUUAGGCCAAAUCCCCCCUCCCAUUCAUCGUGGGCGCAUAAGGCUUUUGGCCUUAGUCUUAGGUAUUAUUAUUUUGCAGGUGCAUUUUCGUCAAAGACGAAGAUGGUGGAAAUUUGGAUCCACAAAUUGGUGUUUUCAUUGAGAGUUUGAUUCACAAGCUCGAAGAAGACUCUCGCAUUCAAAGUUUCACAUUUCUCAUUCAUAAGUAAAUUUUUCAUACGUUCUUAUUCCUAGAAUUUUUUUAAAUCUUUGAAUAGACGUAGGAGAGAAAUACAAUGGCUAGAAAUUUAGAAACCACGACGAACGAAACUUCCUACGUUCAAAGAUCCAGAUCAAAUGAUGGAAAUUGCGAUGUAGCCCCACCACGACGAUCCACGAAGCUCAACGUAGUGGCAAAAUGAGUAACUUGGCCACCACGGAGUACCACCACCACCAUAGCCAAGGCAACCCAUGUUGCAGUGGGGAGUGGGACAACUCCAUGGCAGCAAGGCCACGAAGCAACAACAGAUGCCAUCUUGCAGUAAUGAGCCCAAGCCUGUGUCACAAGGUAGUCAACCCAGCGCUAGGUAACCUAGAUCUAGUAGGCCCACGACGUUGCCAUAGUAGCUGAGGCCUAAAGCAAGGCCCAAGCAGCUGCGACUGCGGCAAAUGGAGCAACACAACACUGGCGGGGCCAAUGCACCCUUGGCCUAAUGCCAAGCAGGCUAAAUCGCACCACACCCACUAUUCAAACUAACCCUAAGUUGAGUAAGUAGCAUUGAAGGUUGUCAACCGCAAGGCGUUGAAGUACGAAUAAAGUUACACACCCCGCACAUGACUUGGCCCACUUCCGCGGCCCAACUUGCUCGCAAGGUCCACCUAGUGAUCCCGACCAGUCGAAGGCCAGUUCAAUCAUCCCAUCUUCAGAUUUCUGGACUGACGAUUGAAUCGGGGGUAUUUUCACCCCGAUUUUCUACAGAUUUGACAUAUCUCAACACAAAUCUCGCACUUGGAGUCCAUUGCACUUCCAUUACUCAAGGAGACGCAUACCAUUUAAGAUCUUCCAUCCCAAAUGGCGAACAACACUUGUCUUGACAAGUCAUAGAGUUGACAUGCACUUUUGCGCAGUAGACGACCUUAGUGAAUCAGCUUUUGCAACGCACAAAGAUGCAGUAUGCCCCAGACGAUGUGUCCCGAAGCAGGACAAGUAUAGACGACGAUUCUCUCCAGCAGCGUCCCAACAAGCAGCCGCUCGACUAGCCACGAACCGAGCAUUCUGGCAGUGUACACUCCCGUCUAGGUCCUCAAGAAAGCAUAUACUCUCAUCUUAGCGCGCGGAUGAGCGUGCACUCCUGGUUAGGCCUACGGACGAGCAUACAUUCACGGUUGGGACCAUACUCUUAUAAUUAACAUGGACAACCUGCUAGACGAAGUGUUCAUUCGCGGCUAGGCUCGCAAAGAGCAUUUUCCACCUCAUAUUGGAGUAAGCAGCACAGAAGACGAAGAUAAGCAGUCAAUUAAUCUGGCUCAAAUUCAAUCGGCCACCUGUAAGUAACUAGCUCGCCUGCCAAGAACGUACCAUAUGCAAUGUAGCCACGACAUAGACUAGCUGAGCACAACGAUGAGCAACCUAGACUAACAGGUUACGACUGGGGGUAGCCAGAAGCUUCACUGCCCCAAUAUAGGUAAAUUUAGAAAGAAGUUGAGAGGCUUCUGACAGAACGAUUGUGCGAUUUCCAACGCAAUGAAGCUACUGACAAGGCGCUUAAACGAUACACGACCAACAUAAACGGGUCACCUUUUAUUGACAAGAUUGAGCAGACAGAACCAUCCUACAUACACUGGCGGAUACAAAUAUUACUUCUAUUUUAACAUACGCAUCAACUCAGCCUAAUGGCGUGUCGAGGGCAAAUGGGUUCCAGAAUGGCACACUAACCCAACCACCAAGAACCAGGGCCAAAUCUUAUUUUCAUCACUCCACACGAUUCAAUGCUUGAGCAUCACAUCACCAGUAAUAGAGCACCGCAGACCUAAUGGUCCAAUUCCUCCUGAUGCACACAAGCUCACCCCAGCUCCACGCUCAAAGCCGUGCCUACCUGCUCCACAACACUCAGCCACCCUUGAUUUGUCACCAUGGCUCACAGUUAUGCCAAUUUUGCACCACAGCUCCCAGCCGUGCUAAUCUUGCCAUGCGGCUUUUAACUACGUUAACCAAGCCCACGAUACUUCAUACUUCAAAACAUCCAAUGACGAAGUAGAACAUGAGGCUCUACUAGCAGCCCCUGCUAGUGAAAGGCUUUGCGGUGAAGAGGCUUCCAAUCCAUUCAAAUUCUCAGUUGACCACCUGUUGGGUUUUACGGCUCAAAAUUAGGAUGAUGCAAAAAAAAUUGUGUUACCUAUUUGGUUUUGGUGUCGUAUUUGGGUUUGGAUUUUGACCUCUUAGUUGGUUUCCUUGGUGGAGAGAUUUUGUUAAUUACCUAUUUGAUUAGGAUUUGGAUUUACUUCCUAUUAAGAUUCUUAUUGUAACCUAAGUCUUAUGCACUAUAAAUAGGACCUCAGGGUUAGUGUAUUUUGUGUGGCUCAUUCGUGUGGCAAUUUGGUGAGAGUCAAUUUGUGAGUUUGUGAGUUAGAGAGCAAUUUGGGAGAAUCUUCUCCGUUAGUUUUGGGUUCUCUACUCGUUUGGUUUAGGGUUUGUAAUUUGUGGGAUUUGGAUUGUGAGAGUUUAAACACUAUUUUGUAAUCUCCGUUUGUUUAGUGAAAUUUCUUGUCAUGCUUCGCUCGUGGACUUAGAUUUUACACCGAACCACAUAAAUCUCUUGUGUUAGUUUGAGAUUGUUUGUUUUAGUUUUCACCUACAACGUUGAUAUCGGUACUUUGCUAUAAUUUGCUUUCCUUUGCUCAUAAAAGUACGACAAGUGGUAUCAGAGCCCAGCUUUCGGCUUGGGCUUUUCUUGGCAAUCAAUAUGAAGCCUUCUGUGUCGUCGGUGAAAGUUGAUAUUGAAAAGUUCGAUGGCAAUGACUUUGGUAUUUGGCAAUUGAAGAUGCGUGCUUUGUUAAUUCAACAAGAGCUUUUAAAAACGCUAAAGGGUGUGAAGGCUUUCCUGAAUUCGUGGACUGAUGAAGAAAAACAAAGAAGUUAUGGAGCGGGCACUUGGAACAAUCCUGCUGACUUUAUCGAAUGAAGUCUUGCGUCAAGUUGGUAGCAUCAAAUCUGCACCGAAGUUGUGGCUAAAAUUGGAGAGUUUGUAUAUGACCAAAUCCCUUGCUAAAUGGUUGUAUUUGAAGAAAAGUUUGCGUACUCUUCGUAUGGAUGAAGGUACGUCAAUUCAUAAGACCAAAUCCUUAUUGCUGCCAAAAGUCCUCAACAGUUCCAAGGGAGAUGGGUAAGAGUUCGUAAUAGUGAGAGAUUGAAUCUUUUCACACUUGGCCAAAUUUUAAUUUUAAUUAGAUGAAACAAUGAAUCUUGAACAAAGCAAAACAAAAUUUAAUACUGAAAGAUUGAGUCAUUGAAGUGGACGUGGAUGUUGGGUACUUAACAGUCCAAGAAUGAAAACUCUCAUAUCAGUUUUUAUCCAAAAUUUUGGAAUUAUGUGAGUAUUGCAACGAUUGUCCGAAUGAUUAUUCUUCUUUUAUUAAAUUUCCAUGGAAAAUGAGCAUGGGGCACAAAAGUUGAACGAAUGAAAUUUCAAUGAUCUGCAAAGGGAUUGUGAGUUUGACAUGCCAUUUUUCUUCCUUUUAUGCAAUCAUGUUUAUUAAAAGACAAAAAUAAAUAUGACUUUACAUAAGCAGAGAGAAAGAGUAUUUUUCUUUGAAAAAAUCAACUAUUUAUUGAAGAGGAUGUGGAUGUUGAUUGAUGCGCCGUGUGAAUAGGAAAAAAAUGACCUUGAAGGGAGACAAGACAUUCAUUAGAAGCUAAAAAAAAGUUAUAGUGAUUUAGAAAAAAGAAAUUUUAACGAAAUAUUUCCGGUAUUGUUCACUCUUUACGAAAAACCACAUUUUUACAUUUCCUGGCUACUAUUCACUACACCUUUAUUUAUCAUUUUUCAUUAAAACUAAAUUUGUUUUUGAACUUUUCGUUAGUUUCCUUUAGAAAAAAGCAAGAAAGCCUCAUUUUCAAAGUGGUAGUCAUUGAAACAAUACUUGAUUAGAAGAAAAGUCAUAGUAUUGUAUUUACAAUCUCAAGUCUUGAGGGGUAACGAGAGUGCAAGUUUCUAAUUGGAAUAUAAUAUGAAAUUUCUACAUAACAAUAUAUGACAAAGAAAGAAGUCUAAGUUUCUAAGUGGAAGGGCUUCCAAUUGAUGUGAGUUUGUUGAGAAAUGAAGAUGAAGAUGAAUAUUGUUGUUGAUGUGAGUUAGUGAACAACAGAACAAGUUGCUUCUCCUUUGGCCUCUAACAUGAUAUUACCGGAAAACAAGUUGUUACUAGUAAAUGUAACUGACUGGUGAACUAAGACAUGCGGUACGAUUUUUGAUAACUAGAGAAGAUGAAUAGUGUCGUGACAAAAUUUAUCCAAGUAGACCCAAGGGAAAGACUUAGGAACUUCAUAUGCAGUGGGAUAAAAUCUUAAGCUAAUUUCCUUUUUAAUCUUAUAGUCAUUAUGUAAAAUGUAUAUGCAUAUUUCUAGAUACAUACACACCAAUGUACAUAAUAUUAACUCCUUUUAAGUAGUCAUUUGCAAAUCCCUCUUGAGUGCUCUUUGGAAUGCUCAUGCGGUGCCGUUCUAAUCUCUUAUAUAUAACUUUUUGUGAUCUGUUUUUUCAUCAAUAUGCCAAAAUCCCUUUAGAAUUUGCAACUUAUCUUUUUGGUUACGGUAAAAAAAAACUCGGAAUUUCAUUUAAACUCGAAAAUCUAGGGAUGUGAAAGCAAUUUUCUCUUGUUCGACAACAUUUAGCGAGAGCAAAGGCAAAUUGUACAGGAAAAAGUUAGAAAUUGGGGAUGAAGAUUCCCAAUUUUAAUUUCGUCUAAAUAAGUGUAAUUUCACAAUUCUAACUACGAUGAGAAUCACAAAUAUAUUGCAGGGAAAUCUUGCAACAGCCAAACUUUACGAUUAGGGUGCCAAAUUUCGUGAUAAAACCUAAUAAGGGUUUAGGGCUGCAUUGUUCACUCUGUUAACUCUCCAAAUCUUCGACGGAUUUUCGGCUCGUGCAUCAUCUUCUUGCUUUGUUCUAGGUCAACGCCUCUACUCUCUUCUUUCUUGAAUUAUUUUAGCUUUUUAGGUAGGCUCUUUAUGGCUGUUGUGAAUUUUGCUAGUUAUUUUUAUUUUCUGAUAGUCAUUUGUUUGUUGUGCGUUUUUCCUUCCAAUUGAAUUGUGUAUUGGUUGGAUCUGUAACAUUUAUUUUUUAUUUUAUUUUAUGGAUUUUGGUGUUAGUUCUUUGUCAUGGAUGUUGUCCCUUUGAAGGUUAACAAUAGCCAAGACUAAACAUGAUGAUAUUGUUAAUUACUUUCUCAUGAUACUAAUGCCAUAUUGUUCUCUCUUUUGCACUUACAAGUGAAGAGAAAUAUCCUAGACCCUAACUGGAUAUGUUAUUGUCAUGGUCAUGCAUUGGUAUGGUAACAAUAUGUUUGGAUAAGGAAAAUAAACUUAGAAUUUGACAAAAGAUAGAAUUUAUAAAUUGAUACAAUCAAUUCCUUUGUUUAGAUUCAUAAACAUAGAAAUUUAAACUUUCCGUGUGAGAAAAAACUUGGAAUUUGGGACCUUCAAUUCUCAUGUUUAAAUUUUAUGUAAAUAGGUGUCAUUUCUAAAUUUCAGCAAGUGAGAAUUUAAAAAUAACAAACAUGUAUUCAAAUUUCAUUCCUCUUUUAGGUUAACCAAACAAGAAAUUUUAUAAAUUCUAGAAAAUAAAAUUUCGUUAUUUCAAUUUCUGUUAUUUUAAAAUUAGUAAUCUUAAAUUUUCCCAUCCAAACAAAGAGUUUCCUUGUCAUAGAACUUUCAAUUGGGAUCAAGGAAGACAAUCUUUUCACAACUGAUUAUUCUCACCAAAUUUUAUUAUUAUUUUAAAGCAGAUCAAUACCAAACUUCAAAAGCAAAGUAGGAAGGCUAAAAUUAAGGUGAAGAACCUACUUCCACUAAUUACCAUGGGAGGGGGAGAGAGAGAGAGAGAGAGAGAGAGAGAGAGAGAGAGAGAGAACCAAGCGAGAGAGAAGAGAGAGAAAACACCAAGUAGUAUUAUAAUAUAGGUGGGGUUAAAUCACCUUUCGUGAAGUUGCGGUAAGAGCAGCUCCAGCGGGAGGUCCAGCUUGAUGGACCGGUGAGAUUUCCUACCCAAUAGCCCCAGCUCCUUGCUCCAGCCCAUGCGGGCGAUUGGGCUGAGGGGGUGCCCGAGUGAGAGGCCUGACUCGAAUCGGUAGCCUGAGAGCUUGAGGCCAAAUGAUGCAUGGACGUCAGCCACGUUAUAAGAAGGAAGCAUAAACUAUGAAUAAUGAUAGAGAUUUAGAUUUUGGUGUGUGAUUUCAUCGGAUGGAUGGUGGGUUAUAUGGAGGAAAAAAAAAAGAUUAGGUUGUAGAUAAUGCCACGUGGCAUGCCGUCAUUCGUUAAAAAUCUGAUCGAAAUCUAUCAUCAAAGAUUUUAAACAGAUUAUGACACGUGACGCAACGUGAUUGGUUAAAAAUCUUAUCAGAAAUCUAUCCUUAACGAUUCUGAAAAGGUAACGAGAUGGGGCACGACGGCAUUGGAUAAAAAUCUUAUCGAAAUCUAUCACCAAAAAUUAUCUUUUUGGAUAAUGACACGUGGUGCAACGAGAACGAUUAAAAAUCUUAUCCGAAAUUACAAAUAGAAUUAUUUUGUAUUAUUUUAUAAAAUAAAAAUACUAAUAUUUUAUUGCCUAUUGACAUGACUAUUCAAUUAUGGGUGUGGAGAUGCAGAAGAUAAUUAUUAUUAAUUAAAGGUAAUUAUUGUUCAUUGGAGGGGAUUGAAUAUGAAGUUGCAGUAGAAGGCCUUUGUCACAGCAAUAGGCAGUUACUGUUCUAAGGACUUCUAUCCUAGAACAGAGACAAAAACACCAAGUAGUAUUAUAAUAUAGGUGGGGUUAAAUCACCUUCCGUGAAGUUGCUGUAUGGACUUCUAUCCUAGAGAAAAGUCGGUCAAUGGUGUUUGACACAGUCAGUCAACGACAAAGACAGAAUUGUGUAACCAUAAUUCUCUCUCUAUCUCUUUUUCAUUAACGGAGGACAGUGUAUAAUUACUACGUAUAUAUCUCUGCUCAAUUAUUGAAAAGAAAAAUCCAUGUGCAUUAUUUUUAUUAUUAUUAUCUCAGAAAUGCAGAAAUUGAUUAUCUCUUCCUUCUGCAUAUUGAUACUGGUUUUCUUCAAACUAGUUGAAGCAAGCCAAUAUGUGUGCGCGAAAUCCAACUGUAGCAAUGAUCAAGGCCCGGCUAAUUUCCUUAGGAGGGAGAGAGAGAGAGGGGAGAGAGAACCAAGUGAGCGAGCAGAGAGAGAAAACACCAAGUAGUAUUCUAAUGUUGGUGGGGUUAAGUCACCUUCCAUGAAGUUGCAGUAAGGACUUCUAUCCCAGAGAAAAGUCAGUAAAUGAUGUUGACACAGUCCGUCAACGACAAAGACAGAAUUGUGUAACCAUAAUUCUCUCUCUAUCUCUUUUUCAUUAACGGAGGACAGUGUAUAAUUACUACGUAUAUAUCUCUGCUCAAUUAUUGAAAAGAAAAAUCCAUGUGCAUUAUUUUUAUUAUUAUUAUCUCAGAAAUGCAGAAAUUGAUCAUCUCUUCCUUCUGCAUAUUGAUACUGGUUUUCUUCAAACUAGUUGAAGCAAGCCAAUAUGUGUGCGCGAAAUCCAACUGUAGCAAUGAUCAAGGCCCGGCUAUCCAUUUCCCAUUGAACAUCAGGCGCACACAUCAUUGUGGAAAUUCUGGGCUUGAAUGCAAUGGGAGAUAUGAGCAGCAAAUACUAAUAAAAUUAUUUGUCAAAGACACAGAUUACAAGCGUCAGGAAAUCCAAGUCUAUUCCCCAAGUAACUGCCUGCUGCUAAAGCUUGUUGAAAUCCCAAACAUGCCACCCUCUCCCUUCGUGCCAGUAGUCGAUUACAUGAUUAAUUUCAUAAACGUUACCUUAUUCAGUUGUCCUACUUCUGUUGCAAUACGAGAUACGUAUGGUUGUCAAGUCCCCUGCCUUGGCGACCGUGGCAAGAGAACUUAUGCCAUUGAUUCUGGGGUUUAUUUUGAAACUCUCUUCCAGAAUCUAGAAUCCUGUACAAAAAUGUAUGAUGUUUUAUCAGUUCCAAUAGCCGAUGAAUAUUAUGUUUUUCGUUUCAAAUGGUCUAUACCAAAUUGCAGAAAAUGUGGAGAGGGAAAGAAGUGUGAAUGGCAGAACAAUGAAAUUAAAUGUCUUCCCUGGAGGAAACCAAGUAAGGAUAACAUAUGUAUUCAUUGCUAGUUUUAAACAUCUUUACAUUUAUGUCUUAGUAAUUAUUAUUUGAAGGAUGUUGUCCAAUCCAUUUUUACUAGGAAUAUUACCUGACAGUCUCGUUUAAAUUCGCAAUGAUCUUCUACAGGCAACACAUGGAAAAAAGUGGUUACAGGUGGAAUCCUGUGUGCUUUGCUUCUUGUUCUACUGACGAUUGCAGCAUAUCGGGUAUAUAGCGCUGAUAGAAAGGAGAAAGAGAGUCGAUUAAGAAUUGAAAGAUUCUUGGAGGACUACAAAGCACUCAAACCAAGCAGGUAUUCGUACGCAGAUAUUAAGAGGAUUACAAAUCAAUUCAAGGACAAGUUGGGCGAAGGAGCCUAUGGAACUGUCUUCAAAGGAAUGCUCUCUUCUGAAUUCUUCAUUGCUGUCAAAGUCCUCAACAGUUCCAAGGGAGAUGGGGAAGAGUUCGUAAAUGAAGUGCGAACGAUGGGUCAUAUCCACCACGUAAACGUGGCUCGCUUGGUUGGAUUUUGUGCUGAUGGAUUUGUACGAGCUCUUGUUUACGAGUUCUUCCCCAAUGGUUCCCUGCAGGAUUUCAUUUCAUCUGCAGAUAGUAAGAAUUCAUUUCUUGGUUGGGAUAAGCUACAAGAUAUUGCCCUAGGCAUAGCCAAAGGAAUUGAAUAUCUUCACCAGGGAUGCGAUCUACGAAUCCUGCAUUUCGACAUCAAACCCCAUAAUGUUUUGCUAGACCAAAACUUCACUCCAAAAAUUUCUGAUUUUGGUUUGGCCAAGUUAUGUUCCAAGGAUCAAAGCUUGGUGUCCAUGACUACAGCAAGGGGGACCAUGGGCUACAUUGCACCUGAAGUGUUCUCCAGGAAUUUCGGAAAUGUGUCGUACAAGGCAGAUGUUUAUAGCUUUGGAAUGCUACUGCUUGAGAUGGUAGGAGGAAGGAAGAAUAUUGGUUCAAUUACGGAUAACACUACAAAUGAAAUUUACUAUCCACAGUGGAUUUAUAAUCUUCUAGAGGAAGGGGAUGACCUACGAAUCCACAUUGGGGAAGAAGGAGAUGGUAAAAUUCCAAAGAAACUUGCAAUUAUAGGGCUAUGGUGUAUCCAGUGGCACCCGUCGGAUCGUCCUUCCAUGAAAAUAGUGGUUCAGAUGUUAGAAGGAGGAGGAGAAAGCUUGAGUAUGCCGCCUAAUCCCUUUGUGCCUACUGGUUCUACAACUAGGAAUGCAAGACACCUAGAGCUAGAAGCUAUUGCUGAAUUAGAGUAAAAUGUAUAUGCAGAUAUGUAGACGUAUAGAUAUAGUAAUAUUUAUAUUGAAUAAGAGGCCGUUUGAUAACCAUUUCGUUUUCAGCUUUUAAUUUUUAUUUUUCACUUUUUUGAAAACUAAAAACUAAAAUCUUGUUUGGUAAAUACUUUUAGUUAAAAAAAAAUGAAGACUGAGAACUAAAAUGUGAAAGCUCAAAGGAAGUAGAUUAAAAGUAGUUACCAAACAAACCGGAAUCUCAAUAAAUAAAAAAGAUUGAAUUGCACAAUGCAAUCCAAACCAAUCAAAACAUUUAAAAUAGCAAAAAAAAAUUAAAAUUCUAGUUGAUUAGAUUCUAAACAUAGUAAAAAUGAACAGAUCCGAUGAAAAAAACAAAAAAUUCUCAGAUAAAAAUAGGGAUAAAGUAAAAUAUUUAUAAAUAGCUCUUUGUCUCUUAUGCCAUCAAUUAUUUCUAUAGUAUAUACACGUUUUUGGAAAAAUUAGGUUCCCAUCCCUUAUUUUCAUAUUACAUUGAUUGAAAUCUUAUUAUUUUUCUAUUUUAGAUCAAGGUCCCUUGACUUAUUCUAUGUCAUCAUUUUAGUAUUUAAAAUAUUACACGUUAUCAUAAACGAAAUCUCAUCCCUUUCUGCAUUUAAGGCAAAAUAAACUAUAUGAGUAAGUUUAAAACAAGGAAAAUCCAUUUGAACUCCUCCAUUCUUCUUCUUCUCUUAUAAACAUCUGGAAUCUACAACACCCCAAACCCAAUUUUCUCCAUUUUUUCUCCUUUCCUGAAUUGAUCCAAUGCAUAUAUGUUGAAUAAACCUAUUGUGAUUAAAAUACAAAUUAGCAUCAAUGGUUUUAUUGGCUUGUGAGAUUUGUGUGGCAUAGGCAAGGCAAUGCAGGCAUCGUUUUCUCAAGGAAUCUGGUUGAUUCAAACAUGCAGAGACUGUAGAGUGAGUGGGCUAUGUGAAAACUGUACCAUUCUGAAGUCAUUUUCUUUUGUUCUUUAUAUUUUUUUUUCUUUUUCUUUUAUUAUUAUAUAUUAGUCUUGGUUAUUCAAUGCCUGGUUGGCUACACUUAUAUCCAUGGGUACAUUUUUAAUCUACAUGUUUCGUUCUAAUAUAUCUAUUGCUAUAAUAUGUUUUGGUUGGUUCAAAUUUGUUUUACAUAAAUAUAUGGGUACAAAGUUUUUGGAGAAUAUUAUGUAAAUGGUUUUUAAGGUUGCUGCAUUUUACGUACCCACAUAUGCAUGUCUAUAAAACAAUGUGGUAUGAUGUACAUUCUUUUCUUUGAGUUUUUAAAUGUACCCAUGAGUUUUUUUGUAAAUUCGGUAUGUACCCAUAUGCUAUUUAUGUUAUGGGUACAUACAUUAUUUUUGGUCUAAGUUCAGGGUACAUUGCUUUUGUAUGUAUGAAUUCAAGGGGUACAUUAUUUCCCUUAAUACUACUCAAUAAAAUUCACAAAAUAUGUGUAGUGUGCAUGAUUUUUUAUUGUAGAAAUUGUUUUUUUUUAAGUCUCAUAAUUCAUGAAAUUUGUACAUAUAUGAUCCCAUAAAUUUUUUAAUUUUAUUAAAUUUCUUUUAGACUUGAUCGAUUGAUUGAAUCUCAUCAUACUAGGAUUUUGAAUUACAUAAAUUCUUGGAUUUAAAUCCCUUAAAUGUUGGACUGCAAUCAAUAUUUUAAAUUAUAGUUUUUUAUUUAAGAUAUCAAAAAGAUGACAUGGAAAUAUAGUAAUACUAAAAUGCUGAGGUGUACAAAGUCAAAGGACUUUGAUCAAAAAAUAAAAAACAAUAAGAUUUCAAUCUAACAAUUAAAUUGACUAGGGACCGGAACCAAAAUGACCCUAGAUUUUUAUUGAGUUUAAUCUUAAUCAAAAAAAGACUUCUUGUAUCACAGAAAAUACAAGAACCAUUAUUUGAAUGAAAUAAAAGCUAUGGGAUGGAGAUAUAAAUGGAUCAUUUUAUUCACAAUCGGAUUAUAUUUAUUUGAUACACUAUUGUCAAUAUGAAUGUUGAGAAAAAGACUACAAAAGAAAAAACAAUUUAUAAAUAUAACUAACAAUUCCAAUUUCAAUCAAUUAGACAAUUAGAUAAUACAUCAGUAAACGCGGGGUGACUCAGUGGUUAGAAACGAAUUUUAGGCUCGUAUUCUAUACAAUACGUCUUGGGUUCGAUUCCUGACAAUGGUGAAUCACGCGACGGUAGAUAUAGGGGUGUUGUUGGAAGUUUUGAGACUCAAGUCCUUUAUAUAGAUUUAGUGCUUUAGUUUAGUAAUUAGAAUAUGGGUCAUUUGGAAAUGGAUUGAAGGUUUGGGCCUUAUGGUUGUGUGGAUUAGGCUUGUAUAAUAUAGCCUAAAUACAAUUAAUAUUAAUUAAUCAAGACAAGGGCCUUGGGCCUUACUUGGGGCCUUGGAAUUUAAAAUUAAUCUGAUUCAUUAAUUUUAAUUUUCGGAUUAAGUUUUUAAUUAAUUUAUUAUUAAUUAAAAACGUUUUGAUUAAAAGACACAGCUCUUAGAAAAGAGUUAUGAACCUUCAAAUACACUGAACUGGUAUUUGAAAGGGUGUGAAACAACCUAUAUAUCUGCAAUCCAUGGUAUCCAAAUAAAUCAUCUUUUCUUCUUCCUUUUCUUCCGUACAAACUUUCCAGAGAGAGUAAACACACAAAGCAAUUCGCUAGAAUUCUAUAAUUUAGUGCGGGUUAUAGGAUUAGGUAGUUGUAUCCUGGUCGAGCAGACGUUAUAGAACCACAAGCACAAGAGUGGGACGGAAUUACUGUUCGAAUGACAUAGCUUUUACGUUAGCCUCUACCUUCUGUAAUCAAGUUAGUACCGUUGACAUUCUUAUAUUAAUUUCUGUAUUUAUUGUAUACUUUUCAUUUUGUAUAGCAAGUACCUUUUGUUAAAUAAAAAUUGUGAAUUUCAAGUUCUGUUUAUUUCUGUUAUUCUGUUUAUUUCUGAAUUGUUCUCCAACACCCCUAUAUCUACCGUCGCGUGAUUCACCAUUGUCAGGAAUCGAACCCAAGACGUGUUGUAUAGAAUACGAGCCUAAAAUUUAUUUCUAACCACUGAGUCACCCCGCGUUUGAUUAUAUUUCACUUAGACUUAUCUUGCGGUAUAGCAUGUCAUCCCCGCCCAAGUUUUUCUGUUGGCAUUGAGUUUGGGAUACCAAAACUUGCCAAACAAAGUAGAUUGAUUAGUAAGCGAAGCUAAUUAUUCGACUAAACAUUGUUUAGAAUUUUAAUUAAAAGAAACAAUAUGAAUCUGUUUAUUUUUUUUUUUGACAAACUAUAACGUUAAGGAGUUAAAUUGUUAGUUAUUAAGAGUACAAUGAUAGGUGAGGAUCGAACCUCCACCAGAGUGCAUAGACAUUAUUGGUUCUACAACUGCGGUAAAUCACAUAAAACAAAACGUAAUACUUUGAGGAUGGAAGACACUUCGUGGAUAGCGGGCAAUCAACACUAUCAGUUGCUAUCCAAAACUUGGAAUUAUGUUUAUUGUCCGAAGGAUUUUUCUUCCAUUAAAUUGCUAAGGAAGAUGAGGAUGGGUGGAGUGUCUAAAUGUCAAGGUUGACAAGAACGUGUAUGGUGUUCAGCUUGCGAUUGAGAUUUGUUAGAGUGGCACAACAAACCACAUAAAAUUUUCUAAAUGAUAAGCUUGAGUAUAAUUUUUUAUCACGUAUUUAUCUUUAAAAUCAUUAUAAUUAGAUUUUCUCUUAAUUAAUAUAGACCGUUAGAUUCAUCUAAUGACCCAAGUUUUUUUCCUCUUUUCUUUCCACUCUUUUCCAUUCACCGUGUAGCAGUCGUUCUUCCCCAACUACGUUUCUUAUUUUUCUUCACAAAAAAUUUGUAGAAAAUAUUAAGAAAAGAAAAGUCAUCAAUAUCAGACUCGACCAGGUAAUCGUUCCAACCUUCCCAGCAACUCUCAGUCUUAACUAGGCACCAAAUUUUCUCCGCCACCUAACUCGUCAUUCAUUCAUGGGUGUUUCAAGCUUGGUGAAAAUUGAUAGAGUUCCAUGUGUGUACACGGAUGUGAACAUAUUGGCCACUCUCUAAGAAUGAGUCAUUGGAAAAGUUGAAGGAAAGAUGUAACCGAUGAAAUUAAUGGAUUGGAAUUACAAUGAAGUCUGUGUUGGUUUAUCACAAAGAACCCAGAUACAAAAUUUUAAAAGCAAACAAUUUCAACUUCUCAAAUAUUAUCUAACAAACUUUCAAUGAAAUGUUGCUCAUAAUUGAAAAAAGGUUGACGAAGGACGGAGUUGGGGUUAUUUUAGAUGAGGAAGAGUUAAAAGAAGGAAGCACCAUUUAAUUAAUAAAAGUGAUUGGAGAAAUGGUAAUUCAAUGGUGGGCGUUUUUAAGGUGUGGACCUUGUAUCACACCCUGAUCCCAACAUACAUUGAGGAUCGACACGUGACAUGGGGACAUAGGGGACAAAAAUCUUACAUAAGAUACAGAAUGAAAUACUAUAUAAUAUCCCAAAAUGAAUAUGAUAGUGGGUUCACCCCUAUAAAAUACAUACGAGUUUGUACAUUCACAAAAAAAUAAAAAAAAUAAAAAUAAAUAAAAAUAAAAAACACACACACAACUCUCGCUAGGCCAAGACUUGCCCAUGGUGCUCAAAGGAAAGUCCCAAAAGAAAUAGUACAAUGAAGGAUAAAGGGGUAACCUAAACACUCCAAGUCUCUGAUCUCUGCACUGCUACCCCCACCGGCUCCUCGUAAUCUACUCAGACCUGUCACAUGUACAAACAGUGCCUACAUUGUGGGAAUGGUGCACCAGGCAAACAAAAACCCGGAUAAGCUGCAAAACUCGUGUGAGUGACAAUAAUGCAACGUAUGUGAUAAUCAAGAAAAACAGACCAUCGAUCACAGUUUAUAAAUCUCAAAUAUAACUUCAUACUUAUGAAAUCAUAAUCAAGUCACUGAAAACUUCGAAUGAGUCACCCAGACAUCUAACGACUUUUCUAAAUCAAAUCUCAGAGAUUCCCAAAACUAUCGUUCACAAAUACACUAAAAACUAGGGCUAGAGUGACACAGUUCAGCCAAAGCCUACAUAAGUAACCAAAUAAGAAGUGGCCCCCCAUAGCGGAUUAACCAAGCAGAGCCACUCCUGAGAAAGUAACCAAGUAGGUAGUGACCCCCAUCACGGAUUAACCAAGCAGAGUCACUCCUACGAAACUGUUAGGUAGUGAUCACCCAUUACGGAUUAACCAAGCAUGAUCACCCCUAAGCACGUAUGGCCAUACCUAAGAAAUAAGGAUCGCCCAUCGCGGAUUAACCAAGCACGAUCCAAAAAUAUUAUGGGUCCCCUAUCGCCGAUUAACCAAGCAUGACCAUCCAUGUACCACUGCUACAUGGUGUAAAUUCGGUGUCACCUAACCUCGUGACACUAGGGUAACGGUCCUCUAGUAGCCCUCACGUUUUUCAAACAUUUCAAAUAUAUAAUUUAAAACACAAUUCAUAAACAUUUCGAAUAGGGAAGUCACAUAGUGUUUAAUAAUGUAGGUCAAUGGCAAACUUUAAAAACAAUUAUUUAGCAUAAAACAUAUUUUAGAAAUCCAUGCUGUAUCCACAAAGUAUACUAGCACGGGAGAUUUUCAGGGUAAUAACUCUAUCACAUAUAUUAAAGUCACUCACCUGGAGUCCGCACUAACGCACCCUGGCACGAAUAUCAAGACGUCGCGUACUAUCAUCUGCAACAUCCCACAUCGACCAACGAAGAGGGGGUGAUGUGCCUUCUAUGUACAUGCCCACCUCCAUAGCAUGAGGCAUUUUGGGAGCUCACUGGCUUCAUAUUCCAUCGGAACUCCAAAGUUAAGCAAGUUUGGGCGAGAGUAGUCCCAGGAUAGGUGACCCAUUGGAAAGUUAUUGUGUGAGUCCUAGAAACAAAACCGUGAAGGCGUGGCCCGAGGGGGCCCAAAACGGACAAUAUUGUGCUACGACGGAAUCGAGACUGAGAUGUGACAGAAUGGUAUCAGAGCCACUCUGCCGUGUGGUGCGAGUGUGCCGACGAGGACGUCGGGCCCCUAAGGGGGGUGGAUUGUAACAUCCCACAUCGACCAACGAAGAAGAGGUGAUGUGCCUUAUAUGUACAUGCCCACCUCCAUUUAGCACGAGGUCUUUUGGGAGCUUAUUGGCUUCGGGUUCCAUCGGAAAUCUGAAGUUAAGCGAGUUCAAGCAAGAGCAUUCCCAGGAUGGGUAACCUACUGGGAAGUUCUCGUGUGAGUUCCCAGAAACAAAACUGUGAGAGCGUGGCCAGGGCCCAAAGUGGACAAUAUCGUGUUAUGGCGGAGCCGAGAUUGGGAUGUGACAUUGUCACCUAAGACAAAGUACAGAUCCACAUUUAGAGUUCUUCAAGUAUUCACAUAAUAAAAAAUUUCCAUACGCCCCCUACAACUAAUGAACAGAAAUCGAGACACGUUGACAAAAAGUCAACCGUCGAUCAACGGUAGGGUCCACAACCCUACAUAACUCGAUCCGCAAUAUCCAACCACUGUAUUUGUGAUUCAUAAGUUCAUAAGGUCUUCAAAUCCUACCUACAAUAACAUACUAAACUUUGGUGAUGAUCUAAUGGUCGAAUCAUCAUUUGCUAUAAUGUUCAAAUGACGCAAAUUCAUCAAUCAGAUGUCAAAUAUGGAAUCAGACAUCGAAUUUAGCUUAGGAAUGUCAAGUGGUGUCUCGAGCACGCACCGCCGUGCGCAACAGCUGGCAACCUAGAUUCGUCGGAAAAAUCACCUAAUUCCAAAAUGAAUGUUGUGAGACGUGGAGUAAAUUGUAUACCUGUGAAGAAGCCCAAUUUGGCCGGGAAGUGGCCUGAAAUCACUUUAGACCGUCGGAAACCCUAAAAUAGGUGAAUCUCGAUUCGUCAUCCCCGGUAUUCCACCGUUCUCAAACUUGUUUAGGGUUUGCUCAUGGUCUCAAAAGAAUGCUAAUGAUGGUGGUGAUUGAAAGAGAACGUUUCAGAAAUAGUGAAUCACCAAUGAGGGUUUCACGAAACCGACAUGGGUGUUCCUCGUGGAACCAAGACCAAAUCUCAACGGUUUUGGCUAGAAAUGGAUGCUGGGAUGUCAUGGUGAAGUUUGGUAGUGAUGGGAGGUUGAAGAAAGACAAAAAAAAUCGACAAAAAAAUCGUCGUCGGAGUCGCAAGAAACGAGUUAGAAAAAUGAGUCGUCGGGUCUGAAACGUCGAAGGCUUUUGAGACAACUACUUACUCUCUCUUCUCUGAUUAGUCACUCCACUCACUCUCUCAUUUGAUUGGUCCAGCCUUCCCACAUGGUGGGAGUUCCCUCAUAUAGUAACCCAAAAUUUACUAUUUAAAUCUGGUAUUGAACGUCCGUAACUUUUUCGUUAUGGUUUCGAUUCGCAAACGGUUUUCACCUAUGCGCUCGUAUGAUCGAAUUAUACUCAAAAACAUUAAUUAUGACCUCGAAAAGGUCUACGAGUUUUAAAAGAUUAAUUACAAAAAUUCACACCUUGUAACUAUACGAUUCAAAUCCUAAAAUUAACGGAAUUAAAAUAAACUAAAAAUAAUGUAAACACGAAAUACAGACUUUAAUAAUGAAAUACGUAAUUAAUAGUGGAAUUCCGGGGAUGGGAUUUCACAACUUGCGUCCGGACCUUCAAUGCGGAUCAAAAUCCAAAGGUCGUGAUCUGACGAGCUCAUGCAUAGAACAGAGUUGUUGUGACCCAAUGCAAUUCAAAACUUUUAUGUUUUUUUAUUUACUGGGUACGUUUUUUAUUUACUGGGUACAUUUUUGCAAGACGUUAAAGAAAGCGCUUCUUGGGAGGCAACCCAUGUAUUCAAAAAAGGAAGAUCUAUGAAUCGCUCUACAAUUAGUUUUGCGUUUCUAAAAACCUUCCCUUUUCUGCAUUUCUAUUUUGCCAUGAUUGUCAUUUUUUAUUUUUGUUGUUUAUUUAAUUAUUUUUGGGUGUGGGUUUAUUUUUGAAACAUUGACAGAUAUGCAAGAUAUUCUUACAUUCAUUUUCAUGAAAAAAAGAAAAGGGAACAUUAAGCAGGAAAUUACAAGAGGGAGCCUUCACAAAGGCUGCUUAGGAGAAGUCUCAGUAGUCGGCGGAGCCCCAGAAGAAGGAGGCAGCGGAGGUUGAUCAUUUGGAGCUUCAGUACGCGGUGCAGCCCCAGAAGACGAAUGCAAAUGUUGUUGGAACAAACCCACAAACCGCUGAUGAUCAAGUAAAAUCUGACAAUCAGAUUCCUGCAUCUGGUCAAUCUUCCUCUUCAUGUUUGUAGCAUAAUUAUGUGCGAGCCUGUGCAACUGUUUAUUCUCAUGCUUAAGCCCUCUAAUCUCCUGCUUAAGACUCAUCACUUCAGCCGCCAAUGAUUCAACUUGACGGGUUCGGGCAAAUAGGCGUUGGGCCAUAUUAGACACGGAACGUGCGCACUGCACACUGAGAGCUAGAGAAUCCUUUACAUCCAACUCAUCAGACCGUUUGGCAAGUAGUCUAUUAUCUUUGGGAGUGACAGGGUUCCUGACCACCACCGCAGCUGUCAUAUCAUUCUUCAUCACCGAAUCCCCAACGAUAAGGGGACCAGUAGGGGAUAUGAAGGAUGGGCGCCAUAUGUUGUCUGGAGAAGGCGGGACUGCCUCUUCACCAAGGUUCAAGUCAAAACGACGAUCGGAUGGGCCAAACAUUUUCACAGGUGUUAAAGAAAGAAGAGGUCGGACAAGUCAAGAUCGUAGAAGUGCAAGAUGAGAGUUUUUACAGGCAGAAAUUCAAGUGUGCUUUGAACGUCCUACGUACUUCUAUAAAAAUCAGCACUCGAUGGGAUUUCAGAGAUCGAAGAGGCAAGCUCAGAAAUCGAAGAGGCCAACUAAAAAAAUUAAAGAGGCGCUAGCUUUCUCAAAAGCUGAGCUUGCUCAGAAACCACGGCCAAUCUUCUUUUCCAGAUUUGUCCGCACUUGUCACAUGCAACUCGACGGGAUUUCAGAGAUCGAAGAGGCAAUUCCAGAUAUCGGAUAGGCAUCUGCUUUUGCAGACGUGUCAACAUCUGUCACAUGCAGAGUAAGCUUUGCGAAAAUCACGGGCAGUUUGUGAAGCGCCGAUUCCAACCAUCUGCUUUUGCAGACGUGUCAACAUCUGUCACAUGCAUAGUAAGCUUUGCGGAAAUCACGGGCAGUUUGUCGAAGCACCGAUUCCAACCAUCUGCUUUUCCCGACGUGUCAACAUCUGUCACUUGCAGAGUCAGCUUUACGAAAAUUACGGGCAAUCUGUCGAAGAUCUCUUGUGAAGUUUACUAUUAAAUCAUCCAACGGUUGCUGACAAGAGUGAAAGAAUAGUACCGACUAUUAAUUCCUAUAAAUGUCAUCCUUCACCCUCAAUUGCAAGGCAGACAUACAUAACCCCCUUCUUCUCAGAAAAUGCCUUUCCAACACACCCUCUCGAGUCACUCAGUGUUCCUAAUUCCUUGGGGUACCUCUGCAAACAACUCAUCCAAAGCAAAAGUAUUUCAUAUCAUGAAGGUUGAAAGCAAGAGUAUCUCAUAUCAUGCUUUCUCCCUGUCCUUCUCCUUGUCUUUGUUUUAGGACAAGGAGAAAGAGAGCAAUCAGCCAGCACUUGGUAUCAAUCUUCCGAUCUGGAACCGACUGCCUGGAACCCCUUCCUGAUUGCUUACCUAGCCUUGCUCUCGAGAACUCAUCUUCAUCAUCUUAUGCUUCCUCUUCGUCUACCACAUCUGCCUGGGGAACAGAUAAGGGAAGUGAAAAUGAUACCUCGAAGCAUGUGGAAACAAUUUACCAAUUCAUCCUUAGCUAGGGACAAGGAGAAAAAAAGCAAGAGGUGGGCACUUGGAAAGAUUGAAGAAAGAAACAGACCAACACCUCUACCUCAUGCCUGCCCGCCGUGCAGAAGAAUCAAGCAGAGAAGAAUACAGACUGCACAAUCAAAUCAGGGAACUCUCAUAUUUCUCGCUCAGAAUUCCAAACCAGUUCAAGAUCAACGCUGUGGAAAGUCAACAAGAUCAUCUAUCUCCAAAACCAGAUUUGCGUUCUUAAACUCUACUCUGUCUGGUUUUUACUUUGCUAUACUUGUCAUGUUUAUUCGUUGUUUGUUUGUUUGCUUGUUGUUGUGUGAGUUUAUGUUUAAAACAUUGAGGACAAUGUUUGAUUUAAGUGUGGAGGGAUAACCAUUGUUUUGCAUGAAAUUCGUAGGAGUUUAUCACCCAUUACUUCUAGUGUUGUUCCUUGCUGUUUUAAGUGUUUUAAGCUGUUUUGGAGUGUUUCAGUGUGUUUUGACAUAAAAAUCCGAAAAUCUCAUAAAAAUUUGAAAAAUUGUUUUGAAAAACCAAAAAAGAGUUGUUUUUGUAUGUUUAUUUGUGUUUUAGGGUACCUUCCAACACAAUGAUGAGGAUUUGGUUUUUAAUUACAUGACUGUUAAAGAGAAUUAUAAACAUGGAUGAAAAUUUGAUUUACUCUUUGGUGUAUGCUUGGUUGUGGUUAUAAUUUAUGAAUUCACAUGCAAUCAUAAAGGAAAAAUCAAUUUUGUAACAUGCUUGAAAGAAGGAACUCAAAUGUACGCUACAACCUUGUGAGACUUGAGCCUAGACGUUUAUUUGGAGAGUUAAUAAUGUGCAUUUUUGUUUUCUAAAGUCGUUGUAUGAUCUCAUUAUUCUUUGCUUGGUUGCUACCUAGAAUGCGUUCAUCAUUAUAGAUCCACAUACUAGAACUCAUGCCCGUUCCAUUCAAAGCAUGACAUUAAUUUGCAUAACACAUAUCCAAGAUGAAGUUGUUUAGUGAACCAAAGCCAAAAUAGCCGAACCCACCUUUGUCAUUUGUUUUGUAGGUUUAAACCCCGUUGAGCCUUGUUUAGCCUAUUUUCUUUGUUAAACCACAUCAUCUCUACCUAACCUAGAAUAGGACUAUCCAUACCCUUGUUCUUGAAGUAUAGUGGAGCAUAACUUAGAAAGAAUUCAUUUUGAAACUUAUUGGGGGAAUUUAGAUUUCAAAUUUUUUGUGUGCCAAAGAAAACGGCAAGAGAAAAAAUUCGUGAAAAAAAAGAAAAAAGAAAAGAAAAAUUUGCAAAUUUUCCUGUGUUUAAAAGUAGAUGCCUAAAUUAACCCUUACAUUAAUUUUCCUUGAAUAAUUUCUCAUUCCAUCUAAUUUAGAUCCAUCUUGCUCACUAUUCUUUUUAAAUUUGUGGAUUUUGAAAUUUCAAAUGAGAAUGAAAUUGGAUGAGUUCAAUUUUCGUUUAAUUCUUACAAUUAAUAAGAAAUUCCGUCGAAAACAUUUUGAGUAUUGUUUAAUUUUUCAAUAUUACCGUAUUGUGUCAUUGAAAUAAUUAUCAGAGGAAUUAGGGAAUUCUCUUAAGGAACAACUCAAAAUGUAGUACAUGAUUAAAUAAUUCCUUUGAAUGGUCAACUAUGAUCAACAUAUCUUGUAUCAGAUCUUAGUCAAAUACCUGUUAAGAGUGUAAAUUUCUUGUGUGAAAAUGAGUGUAUCUAGUAAUUUUGGCAUUAGGAUGUUACUACAUUCUCAAAAUGCUGUUUUUUGAUUAAAUGAGCUGUGAGGUACUAAUCAAAUAUGCUCGAGGGUAAGAAUGGCUUAAAUUAUGUGAGUGGUGAUCUGGUUCAUGUUUCAUUAAAAAUCCCUGAGGCAAAUGUUGGAAGAUUUAGGUUAUGUUUUGUUUGUUUCGUUUGUUUUGUUUUGCUCGAGGACUAGCAAAAGCUAAGUGUGGGGAAUUUGAAUUUGAUAGGAGCAUUAUUAUGCGACUGAGUUAGCUUGUUCUCAUGCAUUUAUGUUGUUAUUUCUUAGUUAAUUAUGUAUUUUAAGCUAUUUUCGUGUGUUUGUAGGUCCAUAGGCCUUAUAAAGCAAUAAGGUGCAUUUUGGAGCAGUUUUGGGCUUGGAAUGGAUAGCACAUGCAUGGAGUAAGGUGAUGGACGAAAUUGAAGACUAAAGAGGCUUGGAAUGUGUUAAAAAGAAAGAAUAAUUAAUGACAAAGAGCUCAGCAACCAAACAGGGAACAUGAGUCAAGAUUACCUUAUUUUGAUUUAAUCUUUCCUAAUCUUCAAUGUCCCUAAGUUCCAACAACAUUCCUUGUCUAUUUCAUUCACUCAUUGCCUAGCACCACCCUUGUUCCCUCCAUCAUUCCAAAUUUCUUGCAUCAAUCAUCACUCCACCUUAACCCUUGACUCAUUUCUACACCAUUCCACCUCCCUUUCCUUUCUCUACCAUGUGCACAAUCAUUCAUGUUCCCUACUUGCAUUCAUUGUUGCAACACCACUCCAUUUUACCCCUCAUGCUUUGCAUCAUUACUUCACUUUCACCUUUGAAUCAUUUCAACACCACUUCAUUUUACCCAUGGUUUGCAUCAUUACUUCACUUUCACUUUCACCUUUGCAUCAUUACUUCACUUUCACCUUUGAAUCAUUUCAACACCACUCCAUGUCCCCCUCCAUUGCCUUGCCCUUCCUCUAUAAAAGGAAGUGUGUGUAACAUAAAUUUAGUUCAUAUAUUUUUUUAGAUCAUUCACUCCCAUUUCAAUACAACCUUCAUCCAAACACAUUCAUUCAUCUUCACAUCCAUUCCUCCAUACAAACAAACCUUCAAACACUCACCAACACCUUGUGCCAUAGCAAAGGAAGGAAAGGAAAAUGCUUGGACGUGCGUGCUGUCAACUUGGAUCGUUGGAGCGUUUAGGUGUUUUCUUUCUUUUGUUUCCAAUGUUAAAUUCAUUUUCUGAUUUUGUUGCAAUUAUGAGUGGCUAAAACCCUAUUUAGUUAGGGGGAAGUUUGAAGCCAUGAACAUGCUUGAGAUAUGAAUUGAUUUCUUCCAAUUGUGAUUUGAUAAGUUGUGAUUGCAAUUCAAUUAUCUAUUUUAUUCAUAACUGAUUCUUGUAUGUUUAUUAAGGAUGCAUACUUAAUUUUCAUGCAUGAAUUAGAUGCUAGAAUAUAAAUGAGUUUCACCUAAUCGUUACAAGUUUAUAUUCAUGAGUAGUGAAGGUUGUUUAUCACAAUCUGACACACCCCGUCCCGAAGGAGGGCGUGCUGGCCGUCACGUGAGAGUGACGUAACCAUUUACACAGUUCGGAAGCUUUAAAAAAAAAUUCCAAUUACUAAUAUAACACACCCGAGGGUGAGUCCUACUUUUGUGAAUUCUGUCAGAACACCGUUGGAUUCCUCGUGGCCACCAAAGCUCUGCUAACUUGAACCUGGGGCGCAAAACAAAAGCUUGAACUUGAACCUUUCAGGCGCAAAACAAAAGUUUUUUCGAAAACUUUUCAUUUAAAACAUUUCUAACCCCUCACUGUAAAACCUGUAUACUUUCCCAGAAAAUAGUGUAUAUAUAAACAUAUAUAUAAGCAAAAAUCUCGAAUCUCAAACCUUUAACACUUUUCAGAAAUAUAUAUAUAUAUAUAUAUAUAUAUAUAUAACCAUUUGAAAUCUCAAGACUUGAAUCCCAAAUCUUUAACAUUUUUCAAGAAAAGCAUGCCAUGCCAUAAAUCAAAAAUAUAAAUCAGGUGAAAUAAGGAAUCAAUCGGAGACCCUGCAGUUGGUCCUAUACGAUUAAUUCAAUAGCUCAUUAUCUCACUAAGCCGGAGUCACCACAGUAACCUAUACGGCCCUACUCUGCACAUCACUCAGAACUACGUAAGGUAGUCUAUACGAUGAAAGGUGUAAAAAUACGCUCUAGUGCUUCUCUCAUCAUAUCAUCAGCGCGCAUAACUAAGAUCACCCACUAGUCGGAAUCACGCCUAGUGAUCUAUACGACUAGCAUGUCGGAACCCUCACAUGGUCUGUACGACAUCCACCUACUUGGAUCCAAGGCGAGCGUGCGGUGUGGUGAAUAAAAUAAGCACUAACACCUAGGGUGCAGGUUAUGAGCUUAAAACAUCUUAUCAACAAUCAAUUAAAUGAAUAAAUGAACUCACCUGACUUACCUGUGCCUCCACCGCACCAUGCAACAUGUAUGCAUCAAAUAUCAAUUCGUAUAACUCAUACGCAAUUCACAUUUUUCAAUUAAUUCUAUGCAUGGCAUUUUUAAAACAUAUUUUCAUAUAAAUUCAUUUUAUGGGAAAAAUCAAUAGUAUAAAGGUAAUACAAAAACAAAACUGCCCACUCACCUGGAGUUCGCCCAACAACUCCCUAGCACCACACAUCAAGGCGUCAUGAAGAUUAGUGCCUAGAACAAUAAUCAAACCCAACCUCAGAAAUCAUGCCGAUAGAAUACAUAACUUAUAUAAGACGCGUCCCUACGUAGUUCGAUCCGGAUGAUCUGCAACUCGGAUUUCAAAUCCGUAACUUCCAGAGGUCCACAAUAUACCUCUAGGACAACAUCCUAAAAUUUCAUUACCAUCCAACGGUCGGAUCUCCGUCAAUUUCCAAAACUAAGUGCCGGUUAACAUUCUAUUUUAUGAACUUACAACUCCAAUUCCGGAAGAUCCGUAAAUCGGAUUCCCAAUCCGUAAGUUCCUAUAAUCCUCAAAUAUUACGUAUUACAACGUAUCAACGUUUGGUGACGAUCCAACGGUCGGAUCGUCAAUUCACAUUUUCACCUAACUACGAAUCGUAACCAACUUAGGUUCAAUUACUCAAUUUACGUCCAUCAAUUAUCAAAACUGAACCUAGAGCCUUAAUCACAUGCUAAUAAUGACAUUGGCGGGCCAUUGGCCAUGCGCCGCCGCGCGGGCCGCCGCGGGUGGCGGUUGGCCGCCCCCGGCUCGCCGGAAAAUUCAACUAUUUCCAAAAAUUACCAAAAUUUGCAGAUUUGAAGAUAUCAAUGAGUAGAACAACUUUCAUACCUGUGGCCAAGGCCAAUUUGGCCUGGAAGUGCUUCAAUUUCACCAAAACCGUGAAGAACCCUAGAAUUAGGUGUUUCCAAUUCGACCUUCAAACUUGUUCCAACGCCUCAAUUACCUCUUAGUAUUUGUUCUAGGUCCUAAAGGAAUGCUAAUGGUGUUAGUAAUUGAAAGAAAACAUUUCAAAAUUUCAAGAAUUUAAACAAAAGGGUCGCGGCACCCGUGUGGGUGUUCUUCGCGAAAUCACCAUGAAAUUUAAUGAUUCUUGGGGUGAAACGUGAAGAGGGAAGGCCUAGAUGUUGAUUAGGAGUGGUACCUUGACUCAAUUCGUCGGAAAUUUGGACGAAAAUGGUGAGAACCCGCCGAUUGGAAGUCGCGGGUCGCACGGGUAUACGGGUUGGGAAAACCCAUUUCUUCCUUCUCUCCUCCGCUUCUCGCCCUCUCUCCUUUCCUCCUUUCCUUCCUCUGGUUGGUCAGCUUCUCCCUCUCUCUUCUUCUGAUUCGCCUCUCCUCCUUCUUCUCCGAUUGGGCAGUUUUUGCCCAAUCUCUCUUCUUCUUUCUGUUUUCUGGUUCUUCUCACGCGCACACACACACACAACUUCCUUUUUCUCAUCCCAGCCAUCUAUUUCAUUCAUCAUUAAAUCUGGGUCGUCCAUUUUCAUAAAAGAAUUUCUAUUUUACUAAAAUUAUAAUUCCUUAAAAUCCCAAAUUUCAAACGUUAAUAACUUCUUCGAUAUAACUCCAAAUCACGAACCGUCUACGCCCACGCGUCCGUAACGACGAGUACUACGAGGAUAUGUCAAGAAAACAAAUCUUAGAUGGCACGACACAACGAUUAACCUCGAAUGAUGUGCGUGCCUCAAAGGGCAUUUUUGUAAAAUCCUUUAUGAAAACUUUAAAAAUUCUUAAAAUUAGGGACGGGCUGUCACACAAUCGCGUUAAUUGAAUUCUUGGCAAUUGUAUCAUGCAUUCAUAGUUAUAAUUGUCUCGUCAACACUUAUGAUUUUCAUUGAACGUAAUGAUCUCUGAUUGUAUCUCUAUUAUGCAUUAAUAUAGGGGACUUUUAGAGGAUGAUUUGGGUUGUCGCAUGCAUUCAUCCAAUUCAAUGAGUAAAGGAAAAUCUGAGGGUUAAUUUGUGCAUCACGGUUAAUCUGGGUGUUGAGCAUAAUAGUUUAUUGAAAAGCAAUUGGAAAUCGAUUCAUGUACAAGUGUGUCAUGUGUGAAGAACGGACCUCUAACUAAUCCAUCCAUCAUUUUAUUUCUCAAAUUCAUUUUAUAAUCUGCCUAGUUUUAUAACUUGCUUGUUUAUUUCAAAUUCAUCCAAACCAAAAUCCCCUUUUUACUUUCUUGUUUCAAAGUGUUAAAUUUCUGUUUUGUUUGUGUUUUUGAGUGUUUUGAUUCAAGCCAAAACACUAAAUUCAUCCAAAGUUGAUUUAAAGUCCAAAUCUGACUAGUUUGUGUUUUUAGGCAGUUUUGAGUGUUUUUAAGUUGUUUUGAAUCUUUAGAAUCUGUUUUGAGUCCCUUGAGUCUAUUCAAACAUUUUUAAUUUUGUUUUUAUGUUUUUGAGUCAGUUUAAAGGUUUUAGCAAGCCCUCCUAAUCCCCGGUUUAGAACGAUCCCUACUUGCAUUUAUACUACAAUUUGACAACAAGAGGGUUUAAUUUGAGUGCUUAACUUUCAUCGCAUCAUGUGAGUUCCCAGAAACAAAACUGUGAGGGCGUGGCCAGGGCCCAAAGCGGACAAUAUCGUGUUAUGGCGGAGCCGAGAUUGGGAUGUGACAUUGUCACCUAAGACAAAGUACAUGUCCACAUUUAGAGUUCUUCAAGUAUUCACAUAAUAAAAAAUUUCCAUACGCCCCCUACAACGAAUGAAGAGAAAUCGAGACACGUUGACAAAAAAUCAACCGUCGAUCAACGGUAGGGUCCACAACCCUACAUAACUCGAUCCGCAAGAUCCAACCACUGUAUUUGUGAUUCAUAAGUUCCUAAGGUCCUCAAAUCUUACAUACAAUAACAUACUAAACUUUGGUGACGAUCUAAUGGUCGAAUCAUCAUUUGCUAUAAUGUUCAAAUUACGCAAAUUCGUCAAUCAGAUGUCAAAUAUGGAAUCAGACAUCAAAUUUAGCUUAGAAAGGUCAAGUGGUGUCUCGAGCACGCGCCGCCGUGCGCAACAGCUGGCAACCUAGAUUCGUCGGAAAAAUCACCUAAUUCCAAAUGAAUGUCGUGAGACGUGGAGUAAAUUGUAUACCUGUGAAGAAGCCCAAUUUGGCCGGGAAGUGGCCUGAAAUCACUUUAGACCGUCGGAAACCCUAAAAUAGGUGAAUCUCGAUUCGUCAUCUCCGGUAUUCCACCGUCCUCAAACUUGUUUAGGGUUUGCUCAUGGUCUCAAAAGAAUGCUAAUGAUGGUGGUGAUUGAAAGAGAACGUUUCAGAAAUAGUGAAUCGCCAAUGAGGGUUUCACGAAACCGACAUGGGUGUUCCUCGUGGAACCAAGACCAAAUCUCAAUGGUUUUGGCUAGAAAUGGAUGCUGGGAUGUCGUGGUGAAGUUUGGUAGUGAUGGGAGGUUGAAGAAAGACAAAAAAAUCGACAAAACAACCGUCGUCGGAGUCGCAGGAAACGGGUUAGAAAAAUGAGUCGCCAGGUCUGAAACGUCGAAGGCUUUUGGGACAGCUACUUACUCUCUCUUCUCUGAUUAGUCACUCCACUCACUCUCUCAUUUGAUUGGUCCAGCCUUCCCACAUGGUGGGAGUUCCCUCAUAUAGUAACCCAAAAUUUACUAUUUAAAUCUGGUAUUGAACGUCCGUAACUUUUUCGUUAUGGUUUCGAUUCGCAAACGGUUUUCACCUACGCGCUCAUAUGAUCGAAUUAUACUCGAAAACAUUAAUUAUGACCUCGAAAAGGUCUACGAGUUUUAAAAGAUUAAUUACAAAAAUUCACACCUUGUAACUAUACGAUUCAAAUUCUAAAAUUAACGGAAUUAAAAUAAACUAAAAAUAAUGUAAACACGAAAUACAGACUUUAAUAAUGAAAUACGUAAUUAAUAGUGGAAUUCCGGGGACGGGAUUUCACACCUUGCAUCCGGACCUUCAAUGCGGAUCAAAAUCCAAAGGUCGCGAUCUGACGAGCUCAUGCAUAGAACAGAGUUGUUGUGACCCAAUGCAAUUCAAAACUUUUAUGUUUUUUUAUUUACUGGGUACGUUUUUGUAGGAGGAAAAGGGGAAGUCGAGAGAUUCUUUGCGCAUUAAAGAGGGAAAGAGAGAAAGGGGGAGCUAAGAGGUUCUUCGCGCGUUAAAUUUUUGCUUCUGAUUUUGCAACCUAGAAAUAAAGUAUUUUCUUUAUGGUUUAUGGUUCAAGAAUAUAAUGGAUACAGCCUAAAAAUGUUUCUUUUUUUAUUUUUUACUUUUUUUUUCUUAUGUUGGCUUUUGGUUUAUUUUUAUAAUGCACUAUAUAUUAACUAAAUUUAUAAACAUUUUGUAUCUUUGUUGCAGUCAAAUUAAUCAUAUGGGUCGGCAUGACGAAGUUCGACUGAGACAUACAGAUGUUUUGCAAUCUUAAGUCUAACCUGACACACCCCGACCUCAAUAUCUAGUGGACACCAAAAUUGAGGUGUGAUGGCCAUCAUCCGGAUGGGUGAUGAAACCAUAAUAUGCAUGAAACAUAACUAAAUUAUCAACCAAUAAAAUCUAUUGAAAAAUUUGGCAGAACAUCCCUUAAAAUAGGGAUAUGCCCAAAUUAAAAACACUUGCACAUGAUCAAAAUUAUUCAACACUUCCCCGAAGGGCCACACUUAAUGGGACUUCGACCAUCUAUUACAUGCAUGAGAAUAUGUUCAGAGCAUAAUUACCCAAACACGUCUUAUUAAAAUAUUGAGUAAAUACCAUACAAGAUAGAAUACGUCAGAGCUGUUGCAAAAUACCUCAAUGUCCGAUGUAAUCACUGAUAGAAUUACUGAAUCAUGUAUAGAUGGAAAGCUGAUAAAUACAUGUAAUUUGAGUGGAUACUUACCAGCAGCAUGGAUACAAUAUCAUCCACCGGUCGUAACUAAUGACAAGCUGAGAGUAUAACUGUAGUACCUCUUAUUAGUGCAAUGCAUGAUAUGAAUUCCAUCUCACAUAUAUAUGCAAGCCAUAAUCAAACCAAUAAACAUCCAACAAAAGCCACAAUCCUUUUAACAUUCGACCACAAGAUCAAUUUUCAUAUUUCCCAAACCUAGGUUCCAAAGCAUUGUUUCGAAUUAUUAAUACAAGAAACCACCACCACCUCAAUCAACUCCUAUUCCCAAGUGUAAGCAAUUACUAAAUGCAUCACUUUCGACUCUAGUCUUAAUUAGAUUACUUGGGAUACUCAUUCACACCAUCAGAUCCAAGUACUAUUUUGAUAAACUUUAAAUAGCAUGGUUAAAAUAAAUGAAACACUUUUAGAAAAUAAGUGAAGAUGUUGUUUACAAAUAUAGAUGCAUCUGUAUAUAAAAGCUUUGGCGGUUGAUCCGUAUACACUUCCAAAGAUAUAAGCAAGUUCAUUGGAAUAUACAUGCAUAGUUAAUGUAUUACAGUAUAAUUAAUAAGAAAACAAUUGCAUCCCUUUAAGAAUAUAUAUAUAUAUAUAUAGACACACACACAUACAUACACACAGGCCCUUUAUGCAAAGGAAUUUCCAUUUUUUUUCAAAAAAUGGGGAUUAGUUGUGGGGCCCACGUUGCAUUGAACUUUAACGAUCCGAACAGUCUAUUUUGUAAGUCUCGAUUCAUAUAUCAUCCUUGUAAAAAUUCAAUUCAAUCCGAACCCAUUUGCCUAUUUAAUUAUCAAGAUAAAAUUUUAUUGUUUCUUAUAUAACAAAGUAUUCGUUAAUUUCUUUGAACUCAAUUAGAUAUCUUAAACAUUUCCGAUUUGGUUAAUAUUUUGUAAGGAUGAUCUAUGUGGUGCAACUUGAAAAAUAGACGAUUACGAUCGUUAAAGUUCGAUGUGGUGUAAACCCUACAAUUAAUCUUCAUUUUUAUAAAAGAAUGGGAACCCCUUCCCUUAAAGGUUUCCUAUGUAUAUAUUUGUUCUCCAGACAUAUGCAGAAGGUAAUGUAAAACUAAUGAGAACUUAAAUGGAUAUUCCAUACAUAGGACAAUUCCAUAUAUGCUUUUUCAACAUUUAUAUCGAAAAGCCAAAUUGUUUUGAGGAAAUUAAUUGUAGCAAUGAUCCCUUAACUUUUAUCUUAUUGGAACAAUGGUCUCUCAACUAAAAAUUCAUGACCAUUGGUUCCUUAACACCACACAACGUGUAGUUAUGGUCAUUUUCAUUAACUCCGUCAGAACUUUUGUUAAAACAAGUAAUGUUAGAAGAAUCAUUGCUACAAUUAGGUUAAAGUUGGGGACCAUUGCUCUAAUUAAAUUAAAAUUGAGGGAUCAUUUCUCCAAAUUGCUUAAAGUUCAAGGACCAUUUCUACAAUUUUCUCAUCUAGUUUCCCAUAUUUACCCCAUGAUUCAGCUUCACAUGCAUUGCACAUGACUCAUUUUGACAAAAAAUUUAACAAAAUUGACGAAAAUGACCAUAAAUGCACGUUUUGAAGAGUUAAGAGACCAAUGGUCGUGGAUUUUAGUUGAGGGAUCAUUGCUCCAAUUUGGUUAAAGUUGAGGGAUCAUUGCUACAGUUUUCUCAAAUGUUUCGUAUGCGAAAAUAGGCAUUUGUAAAGUUUGGCUUGUUUAUGGCAUUAUUACUUUAGUCUAAAGUAAGGCUGGGAAUGGCACUGUAGAAAUGAAUAGUGUUCCAAUCCGAAUUUCAGUUUAAUUACAACAAUGCCAUUGCUCUUUGUGUUGCCUUUAGGUGAGCAGCCCGGCUUGCAGUCAGGCCCAAAUGUAUUGGUUUUAGCUGAGAAGCCCGGCCCUUGGUCAGGCCCAAAAUUUUAAAUUACAGUUUUGCCCAUACAAAAUAACAAUCCGAUUGUAUCGGGAAGGACAAUUUUGUCCUUUCAGUUUUGGGUGAGAUAAGGGGUAACAGGGUAAGUUUCAUUUGCUGUCGUUUAAUGAGGGUUUCGGGGAUGAGGGCUCUGUGUGUGUGUGGAUGAGAGAGAGAGAGAGAGAGAGAGAGAGGGAGAUGGCGAUGGAAGGAGAGCGAGGGGGAAGGGAAGGGUUCUCGGCACUGUUGCUGCAUGUGGAUUUCACAUGUGGGAGAGUGGGUAUGGUCAGAGAAAACCAUAUAGGUCAUUGGGAUUUCAGGGAAACGGGGUAGGGGUCAUGAAUGAACUCUGCUGAGAGUGUGGGUACCGGAUCUUGCGCUGCAUGCCUCAAAUCAAAGAUAAGUUCGUUUUUUUAUUGUAUUUUUUGUGGUAGCUUAGCUUUUGGAAUUGUUUAGUAUGUUAGGUCCGAUUUUGGGGGAUUUAUCUUUUUAGAGAGAGAGAUGGACAGGGAGAUAGAGAGAGAGAGAGAGAGAGAGAGGAGGAGGAAGCAUGACUGUGUGCAAUUUUUGGUGUUAAUUAAUGGGUUGGUGCGUAGGGUGAGUGACAGAGUGACAGAGUGAAGGAGGGACGUGUGGGAGGGUAUGAGUUUUCAGUUCUUUCUUUUGAUUCAACAGGUUAUACAUUGUUUGAAAAACCUUUUUUUAUUAUUUUUUUCUCGUUUGCUUUGUUAAAACCAUCAUUUGAAUUUUUGGGUUUCACUGUGUUCAUUUCUCUGCUUCUUCAUAAUUUGCUGGUGUUUGCUUUUCAUCCCUCUAUUGGUAGAUCUUUUUCUCAUUUCUUGGUUCCUUAUGUAUUCUUUGGUACAAAUCUAUUUACUUUUUGGCUGUGUGAUAAUCUUAGCAGGUGAACUAUAUGAACGUUUUUUUUGAAACGAGUUAAGAAGAUCCAGCUGAAAAGAGCAUGCAAGAUAGAGAACUGGUAUGCUGCUCGCCAGGGAAAGGCUGCUGGAGAGGCUGAGACGGAUGCCUCCUUCAAAAACCAGGUCAGUUUCCUGCUACUCGGCGUCUUAAUGUAUCCAAAUUGUUUAUCUUUUGAUGAAAUUAGCUGGCUUUAUUUUCUAUUUUAUUUAUCUGCAUAUUAUUUUGGUUUGUUGAAAUUUUGACUAUAGUCAUUGUGUCACAUGGGCGCCCAGCCCAACCCAAAUUAGUUGAGGAUAUUUAAAUCUUCACCAUGGUAUUAUAGUACUCACUCACAGUUGUGAAUACUAAGGUGCAGGCAUGGCAUGAAGAAGUGGACCGUGCACGCCAAGGUCAGAGGGAUGCAGAGGGCAAACUUUUUUCUUUGGAGGUAAGUAUCCUUUGUUUAUUGCCCAACAGUGUUGUUAUUAUCAAUUUGUAGCUUUGCGUUCUGAAUUUUUUGCUUUGUCAAACAACCUUUUUGAAAUGCUCGAUUUCAAGCCGAAGUCCAAAAAAUGAGAGUUGAGAUGGCUUCCAUGAAGAGGGAUGUAGAGCAUUACUCGCGCCAGGUGAAAUCUGCUUCCUCUCUUUUCGUAUAUCUUCAUAUGAAGAGUUUUACUAAGUUAUAUUGAGAACUAUGUUAUUUAUAGGUUAUAUUUUCCAUUUUGCAAGAACACAUGGAGCUAAGGAAGAGCUAUCGUGAACUCACUGAUCUACUGGUAAUGUCACUCAAACUGCUUUAUUUGUGCAUGCUGCUACUAUGCGCUUGAAUGCAUUUUAUUACUGGCGGGAUGCGAAGAAUGCUAGAUAUAUGUGCUGGAUCGCUUGAUUAGUGUUAGGGUUUUAACAACUAAUUGUUAGCAGCUAGAAGCUCUGGUUAGAUGAAUGCUAAUUUGAUUUUCCUUACAGUACUUGAGUGCCAGUUUCAUAUUGUUUGUUCCCUGCUGGAUACAUGCUGUACAGUUUCAUUUCUGUUUCUUCAUAACUUUCUUGGCCCUGCGAUAUAUGCAUAUUGAGUACAAUGAAUAUCCAUUGUUCUCUAACUGUUGGGCUUUACUAUCUUUGUAGCAGCCUGCCUAACAUUUUUUAGGCUCUACACUCUACCAUCCAAUUUAUGAAAAAUUCAAAGAUUGGACGGUAUUGAUUGCAUAAAUGAAAAAAAUACUAUGAUAUUAGAAAGGUGAAUGUAAUUGUGUUAGAAGAAGCGUCUAGCAUGAUGGGUAAUAUUUUAAGUUUGUAUUUCUAAAAUUUUUUCGUUCUGGAGUAUGAUUUACCUCAAUUGUUUUGUACUUUAAUCUUUACUAAUUUUCAUUGUGGAGUAUGAUUUGCCUCAACUAACAACUUUUCAUUGUUUAACUUUUUCCUCCCUUAGAUAGUUGCAUAUGUUUGAUUUGUUAAUCUGCUUCUUACACAUGUUGUUUCCUAAUGGUGUAGGUGGAUUGCCGGAUGCAUGUGCAGAUUACUUGAAUAGACGAAGCUAAGAAUGACUUAGUAUUAAGUGAGAAAGAAGCUUGGGUCAGUUGGAUUUUGACAUUUGAUUUAUUCAUGUUUUUUUGUUGCUUGCAAUGUUCUCUCAUUGUUUGUUCUGAGAUUCUGUGAUCUUAUUUUUCAUAGGAACUGACAUUGGUUUGCCAUAUAAUGUUUCAGGAACUAAUACAACAACUAAUCACCUUGCUUAGGUCUCAAGACACAUACUUAACAGGUUAACAAACGCUAACCUAUAAACUUAUCUACUAAGCUGGACCAUUAACCUCUGUUUAUAUCCCUGCCACUCAUCUUUUGGCACUUAUCAAUAGCAAAAUCUAGAGUUGUUGAAACCCCAAUUUUAAUGAAUAUUAUUUUUAGUUGAUAAUUAAAAUUAAUUGAUGAUUAAUCUAUUCCAUUGUGCAUUAUUUUAUCGCCAAAUACUUUGAAUAUUCAUUAGCAAAAGAUAUAGGGUUCACUAUUUAAUGAAUAGAAUUUUGAUGGUGGAUUGCAUUUCCUGAGUUAUAAAUGUGGUGAAUCCAUUAUUUACUAGCUGAAUAAUCAUAAUGUUUUGGCCACUUACCUUGAAUUUUGUUCAAAUUGAAGAAGUCACAUGUUUCUUUCUGUUGUUGAGGUAAUCUCUCUGUUGAAAGCUUCUAUUUCUUUUUUCUUUUUCUUUUUUUCAUUUGGGUAGAUUUUUUUUUUAUGGAUUUAUGUAUUUUUUUUCUUCAGAGAAUUCGAAAUGAAAUAAGAAUAGCGGAUUGAGCAUAAACAAAUUGAUGAAAUUUUUAUUUGAGUGUUUGUGUUGGUCCUUUUUUGAUUUGUUGAGGUUUGGAAUUAUUUGAGUUUUUUUGCUGUUAGUACUGUGAAGGAUGCUUGGCAAUCGCGAAAUGGGGGCUACCUCUUUGGAAAGAGAAGUCUCGCUAUCCAACCUCUCAUGAAUUACAAACAGGGUGCUUUCUUGCUGAAAAACCACUGAAUCAGUAGAACUUUCCUCGGUUCUUCAAUUCGAUUCGAAUAAUUUUUUUACCCAGAAAAGCCAGCGUUUCCUGGUGAGUUUUACAGCUUUCUCAAUGUUUUUUUUAUUUUGGAUUUGCAAAUUUGUUUUCUGUUCAAAUUUCCUUUUGUGAUUUUGGAGGUUUUGUUUAUCGAUUCUCUCACUCAUCUCUCAGCUCUCUCCCACUUUUGAGGUACAUGUCGUUGGAUUCCGUUUGCUGCUGUUGAUCUGCAGGUAAAGCUUCAAUUACCAUACAAAGUUUACAUUUUUCAUGAUUUCUUGAAUUUGGGUUUUAAACAAAGGAAAUAUUGCUAGAUUCUUAUCUUAUGUGCAAAUUACUGGCUAUUUGGAUUGGUGCUUGAGAUUUAGAGAAUGUCUCGCAGCUUUAAUUUCUUUUUCCUUCAUUAUUACUGUUUUCAAAAUUUUUAUUGCUGGGUAUUGAUAAUUUGUAGUAUGUGAGGGCUUCAAUAUGUUGGAAUUUUGAAUGGUUAUUGCUUCAUCGGAAUUUGGGUGGUCCAAAUUUUGAAUUAGAAGAAACCCAUUUGAUUAAUAUUUUUGGUGGAUUGGUUCUCUGUGUUUUCUUUGCUAUUUCUCCCCCAGUUGGAAAUUGGAAGCCCCAACUUUGAGCUCAGAGCUUGAAUUUCUCAAUCGUUCGUUUCUCUACACUCUCAUCAGUCACUCUUGAUCCUCUAUCUAAAGAACUGGGUAAUUUUCCAGCUCUAUCAAGUAAUACUCAAUUUAAUUGCUUAAUUGAGGUUUUUUGUUUCUCUUUUUCGCUCUUUCAUCAGUUCAUUGGCUUUGAUGUUGAGCUUAAGUAAAUGGGAGAUCAUUAAUUGGCAUUGUUCAAAAUAUAAUUAUGUGUUUUUGGAUUUGUGAAACGAUUUGCCUAAUGAUGAUAGUGGUUAAAAUAAAUUUUUCGUUAUGAAAGAGAACAUUGUUCUUCAUUUGCCUACGGUUUUAACUACAAAGUUAAACUACUAUGCUUUUGUUCAAUUGAUUGCAACUCAUGCCGCAGUUUGCUUCACAAACCUCUAUGGUUAGCUUCCAUACAGUAUGUUGCAAGUUUGAGGAUAUCUUUACAUCUUAAUUUUUGCUCUCUCUGGUUGCUUCAAGUUUGUAAUUUUACGUGUUACAUUGCUACUUGAUUUGAUUAUAAAAAUGCAAAAGAAAAUCCAUUUUGCUUUUAUUCAACUUAAAUGUAUCCUUUUGUUUGUUCAUAAUUGUGUUGAAUUUAUUCAACUUAAAUGUGUUUUAUUCAUCUGUUUACGCUUAAAACAACUGGUUCCCCUAGCAAUGCGCGGACCUAAUUUCUAGUACAUAUACUAAAAGCCAGCAGAAAAUUACUGUUCAUCAUGGGAGAUAGAGCACUGUUCAUUAACAGUGAAAGGGAAAAAAUGCCCUCGGUUUCUUCUUUACUUCACGUACUGUUUACGAAUUGCUACAGUAUAAAGUCCGUUUUGUCAUUCCUGUCCACGCAUCUUUCAUCGUCCGUUUCUCUUGCUUCGACCGCAUCUUUUUCGCUUUACCUUUCCUCUUCGUUUUUCGCCUUCGCUAGGCUGCAAUUUUCGGAGGUGGAUUGUUUGCCCUUCUAUUUCCAUGCUCUCCCCAUGCCCUCCAUUGAUGUGUGGUCACGGUUAAACUAUGUCAACAUUUUAUAUUAAUUUUUUUAUAGAAAUAAUAAAAUAAAAAGUAAUAGGUAUCCAGGAAAUUUUCGUCAAAAUAUCCAGGAAAUAGGUAUCCAGGAAAUUUGCUUUACCGAUAUUUUAAUAGGUAUCCAGGAAAUUUGCUUUACCGAUAUUUCGCCGAUAUUAUCGGUUUUUUGCUUUACCGAUAUUUUAAUAGGUAUCCAGGAAAUUUUCGUCAAAAUAUCGCGAUAUUAUCGAUAUUAUCGAUAAUAUCGCGAUAUUUUAGAUAAUAUCGAGACAUUUUGGUUUCUCGACAGUCAGUCACAAUCUCGCCGGAGAAUCAGAAUAACUCCGAGCAAGAACAAAACCUGCAACCAAACGGAACAAAAUCAUCACUAUCUUUCAACAAAAAUCACCACUUUAUACCAAAAUCAGUGACAAAAUUACACUAAUCCGAGAAGCAAGGGCUUGAAUUCGAGCAAGAUCUGGAAGAAAACAGUAGAAGCUGAGAAAUCGAGUACCUCACCGGCAGUUACAGUGCUAAAGAUCAUCAUCUUUGGAAGGCCGCGGAUCAGACGGAGCUGAGAGAUCAAUGAGUAAGCAUUUCAUAGAUCGUAUUCGAUGAGCAGCUGAAAGAGAGGAGAGAGAAAGCAGAGAGAGACGCGGACGAGGAGGAUCUCGCUGAUGGGGACGACGAAGGAGAGGUAGAGGUCGCGGCCCGCGGGACAUGGUGACGGGCUCGACGAGGAGGAAGGCGAAGGAGGAGCAGAGGAGAUGGGUGCGUGCGUGCUGCGGUGCAGAGAAGAGAGAUGAGGGAGAUAUGAGAGAGAGAGAGCCGAGAGGGAGACAGAAGAAAAAGAAAAGAAAACAGAAAGAAGAAGAAAAGAAGAAGGGAGUCGCGGGGGAACAAAGAGAGAAAAGAGAAAAGUGGAGGGGCUGCCACGUGGCCACUUCAGAAAGAAAGGGAUCCAAUGUUUUGGAUCCUGAUUGGGUAGUCAAAGAGGACCAAUUUGAUAUAUUAAAAUGUUUAGGGGAUAAUUACACAAAUAUAUCUUUAUAAAUGGGGGUGGGUGUUACAUAUUGCCCUAAAAAACUCCAAGUAAUUACAACAUCGUAUUAGAAUUGUAAUUGAUCCUUGUUAGAUUUGGUUUAGAAAUUCUAUGUAAUUUAGUGAUUGUUUCAUAUUAGAUUUAGAUUUGAAUUUUUUACUCCAUUCAGAUUUUAAAUGAUUAUAAUAGAUUUAAAAAUUUACGAACUUUGAUGAAGUUUAAUAAUUUUUAAAACUUUUAUGUAAAAUUUUAAGUGAAUUCCCUCAAAUUUUCAGGUAGCGAUUUGAGAAUGUUUAAAAUAUUAUGUGAAAUAUUUCUAAUUUUUUCGAGUUUCCCAGCUUUUUAAAAAUCUCUUUGAAUCAAUUUCUAAAUUAAUACAUUUGGAAUGUAUGAAUUUCUUAAAAAUCAUGAUCGAAUACCCCUUAAACUUUAAAGAAUCACUUAAAAUCCUAAUUAAAUGCCCUUAGAUUUUUAAGGAGAAUUAAAAUGUUUAUAAGCCCCAAUUGGAUGUACCGCUUAAUUUAACUAAUUGACACAACACAACAUAACCAGUUAAGAUUACAAAUUAACACAAAAGACGACUUGAUGCGAGGUCAUAUCUACAAAACUUGCCGCAAUAAGCCCCAAUUGGUGUGUUUAAACUUCUUUCAUUAAUUACUACAUAUUUUCUACACUCAUAAUGUUUGUCAGCUCGCUAUAUAAUCAACUUGAUAAUGUUAAAUCCAUCAUGCAAUGCAUUUCCUUCCAAUUUUUUGUGAUAAACUAAUAGAUAAUUGACUAAAUAAACAUCCUGCAAAGUUUCAAUAAAAAUUUUCAAGUUUUUUUUACAAUUUCCGUGAUUUUCAUGUAAUUUUUAUCGGUAUCGAUAUUAUGCCGAUAUUUUUAUCAAUAUUUCCGUGUUUUCGAGUACAUAUUUCCGAUAUUACCGAUUCAUCCGCGAUUUUCUCCCUUUUCGCCAGCCCCUCUUUUGCUCUCAAAUCCUUGCUCUUUCUUUUUCAAACUAGUCUCAGAAGAGAUCCUGGGUUUAUCUAAUCCUUUGUUGUUCGGCGUUUUGUUCUCAUCUUGCGAUCGUCGGGGCAGCAGCUUUAAGGUAAGUUUGUUUUUAAUGAUUUAUCCUCAAUUUACGAUGUCUGGGCUAACAAAUUUAAGAUCUUUAUUUUUCUUUUUGCUGUGGAUCUGCAGGUUUUGACAAGUUUUUUGUGAAAUUGGUGCUGUCAGUGGGUGUUAAUAUCAGGUACCCAUGUUCAGUUUUUCGUUUUGAUUUGAAGGAAUUUCUUGCGCAGAAGAGCUAGGUUUCUUGGUGAGUUCUUCGGGUUGUGCAUAUGGGUAAUUUUCUUUUAGGUAUAACCCUCUGCUUCUGCUGCUCUCUCUCUCUCUCAUCCCUGCCUGCUCCUCUCCAAUUGUUUGCUGUUCUUAAAUAUUGUGUUCAUUGCCUGAUACAAGGAGCUGCAGCAAUCUGUUUUAUCCUACACGGGACAACGAGGCAAUGGCGUGACAACAAGUGAGCUUGGAUAUCCAAAGAAAAAGAACAGUUGGUUCAUCUGCUGGAGUCUGAAGCUCAGAGAAGUGGAGGAAAAUUGCAGGUGUGCGAGAAAUUUUAUUUUGCUGAUAGGACUCCUUAUUUACCGAUGCAUUUUGAAUUAAUUGAAAAGUUGGAUUUGAGUUAACAGCUAUAAAAAUGUAGACAUGAUUGCUGAGAUUAUGCUAUGAAAGUGGAAUAAAAAAAUGGUAGUUUAUAAUAUUGCGUACCAAUUUUUUUCUCUCUUUUUUACCAAAUGAUAAGGGUGGUGGCUCAGGCCGCCCCCCUACGCGUCCCCACUCUUCGACAAGUUGAAAUCAUGGUGAUAGUUUAUGGGUUGCGGUCUUGGGAUUCUGCAAAUAGAAUAAAAAACAGACACUUAACUAUCUUGUUAUUAAGCAUUUCUGCAUCAUUCAGUUGCUCUUGAUUUUCGUCUUUUAAGCGCUCUUAUUUCUGCGAUCUGACUUGAGGAGGGGUUUUAGACCUAUGGUUGUGGGUGUUUUGUCUGACCCCAUUAAAUUGGUUUCCGAGAUUUGUAGACUUGCGAUCGGCGGUCAAACAUUUCGUGAUUCUUGCUUUUUUUCCGACUGGGAUUGACGAAUUUUGGCCGAAUCUGUUUCCUGUUUUCUUCUCUGUUUGAGCGGCCGCUGCCUUUCGGUCGUUGAGCGCCGGCAGUCUUUAGAUCUUUGGCAAAUCAAUUUAAUACAACCGAGGUAUGUUUUAUAACUGCUGUCUUUCAAUUUUUGUUCUGUAUUUUUGUUAAUUUGGAUGAAGCUCUAAUAAUUUUGUUUUGGAUCAGUUG
rnacentral:lncRNA from 1 species